rnacentral:lncRNA from 1 species
AAUACCCUACUGCAUCAGAGGUACUUGCAACACCUCCCAACGCCACCAAAAGUGUUGCAACGAUUCGAGGCGUUGCUUUAGGUGCAAAACCUUGCAGUGAAAGUUCGUGAAAUCACUACAAGAAAUGUGUUGAGUUAUGAUGAAAAUUUUAUGACACAUUUGUUCUUGUCAUAGAUUUAUGACGUUUCUUGUUGAAAACUAUUAGGAAGUAUAUGUGUAUUUUAGGAUGUAUUUAUCCUUUCCUUGUACACUUGAUGUAUUCCUUGUACUCCAAACCAUAUUGACCAUAUAUAUAGAGGUCAGCCCCCCUCAUUAGGGUGUGUAGUGUUUUCUCAUCUACUUCUCUACAUGGUAUCACGAGAUUAGAUCGCGGACCUCCUCUCGCUGUGCCUUCCCCCUGAUCCGUGCAACCCUAGGUGGUGCCCCCAUGCUACGCCGCCACCUCGCCCCCUCCGCUGCACCUCCCCGACCAGCUCCCCCUCCCCCGGUCGUGCGCCAUGUCCUCCGCCGACUCCUCUGUGUCCGGCAACACCACCACUCCUGCUGCUAAUCCUGUGCCGCCUCUUGGACCACCCCCUGCUGCCAAUGGCGGUGCAUCUGUGCCGCCAUCUAGCAUAGGCGGCUCCUCUAGUGAUGUGCCCCAAGCUCCUCCUACCGGCGACGCGCCCGGCAACGGUGGCGGUGGCUUCAUCGUGUACUCGGCGCCACUUCCGCCGUCCACCCCUACGCCACCGUCUCUAUCAAGUCUCACGUCCCCAUGACGCUGACGAUGAAGUCCAACACCUACUCUAGAUGGGCGUCCUUCUUCAAGUCUAUGUGCGGCAAGUUCGGCCUCAAGUCGCACAUCGAUGGCACGGUGGCGCCCCAUCCCCAGGACCCCGACUAGGAUCAAGCGGAUUGCUGGGUCCGCUCCUAGUUCUUCAGCUCCGUCGAUGACUCCAUCCUCAACCUCGCCAUGACCGACGAUGAUCAGACUGCCCAGGAUCUUUGGCUCGCCAUCGAGGGCCUCUUUCGCGCCAACAAGUAGUCCCGGGCGAUCUUUCUCAGCCACGAUUCCACUCCAUGACACAGGACGACUCCUUCAUCACCGAGUACUGCAGCUGCAUGAAGACCCUUGCUGACGCCCUCCGCGACGUCGGCCAUCCCAUUCAGGACUCCCAGCUUGUCCUGAACCUCCUCCGUGGCCUCAACCCGCGCUUCUCCAACACCACCAACGACAUCGCCAACUCUAUCACCGGCUUCCCAUCCUUGGCCUAGGCGCGGGACAUGCUCGUCCUGAAGGAACUUCGCUUCACCAACGAGGAGAAGAUCUCCAACUCUACAGCCCUCCUCACCGGGAACUCUUCGUCGUAUCCAUCCUCCGGCUGUGCGAGCUGGUGUUGCCUGCUGUCUAGUUCUGUCCAGGCUGGCUGCGGCGGUAGUAGUAGUAGCGGCGGCGGCAAGAAGUGGCAGCAGAAGAAGGGCGGCGGUGGCUUCCAGGCGCAUCCUGUUGAGAUAUGAGGUAGGCUACACUAGCGCAAAUCAAAAUUUCUACCACGUAAAACCAGGAAGAACUGCCGUAUAAGGAUCACGGGAUUACCACUCGACGCACUACUGGUGCGGAAGAUGUAGAUAUGCGUCGAUGCAGUGAAGACGAUCACGUAGUCGUACGUAGUCGAUCAACGUAGUCGUACGUAGUCGAUCACGUCAACGUCCAGCAGCUCCUCAGCAGCUCGUCCACGUGCAGCAAGAUCGCCUCCCGUGCCGCGGCUUGUCGUCGGCUCGUCGUGGCUCGUCGGCGGCUCGUCCAAGUGCUGCAGGCGCAACACCUCCAAGGUAUCCACACGUGCAGGGAGGAAGCGUCGCAAGCCGGACUGCUAGAUCCGAUAGUUGCAAUAGGUGAGGGCGUGGGAGGCGCGGCAGGUGUGUUUCGCCAAAAAAGUGUAAACCCUAGGGCGCCCCCACCCCUCUAUUUAUAGAGGUUCCUGACGGGCCUCUGGAUCCGAGGCCCAUUAGUACUUCUAAACCUAAUCCAACUCGGAUCAGAUCCGAAUUGGGCUUCCAGCCCCUUAAGUGUGUGACCCUAUGGGUUCGGAUAUGUAUAGACAUGGCCUGAGUACUCCUACUCGGCCCAAUAGUCGGUAGCGGCCUCUAGCAAGACGUGCCAACUCCUAUACGCACACGAAGAUCAUAUCAGACGAACCAUCACAACAUAAUAUACAUGCUAUUCCCUUUGCCUCACGAUAUUUGGUCUAGCUUCAAGCCGACCACUCUUUCUCGAUCCUGUGAUUCGGAAUCCCUUUGUAGGUUAACUCUGAACCGUACGUAGCAUGGCCAUGCAUUUUCGGAUCCGAUCACUCGAGGGGCCCAGAGAUAUCACUCUCAAUCAGAGAGGGGCAAAUCCCAUCUUGAUUGACCAUGUCUCAUAGCAUGCUUCUUGACAAACCCGAAAGCUACCUUUAUAACUACCCUGUUACGACGUAGCGUUUGAUAGCCCCUAAGUAGGUCGAUCCAAAUCUAGAAUACAUGCGACAAUCUCAGGUCUAAGGACAAAGCGUAUAUGUUGUUUAAAGAGAGAACUACUUCUCGUGUUGGGUCAGUCCUAACACAUGUCUCCACAUGUGUCCACAUUAUUAGUUCAACAUCUCCAUGUCCAUGACUUGUGAAACAUAGUCAUCAACUAAUACAUGUGCUAGUCUAAUAUUCAUGUGUGUCCUUACAUGAACUCCGACUAGGGACAACUUUAGAAUAACCAUACAAGUAAAGAGUUUCAUAUACAAUUCACAUAAUUGCAAAUCAAUUCAAGUAGCCUUUAAUGGAUAUUCAAUGAACACAAUAUACAAAUCAUGGAUACAAAUGGAAUAUCAUCAUCUCUAUGAUUGCCUCUAGGGCAUACCUCCAACUCAUCCUGGCUGGGGCGACCUCCAUGGCAGUGGACCCCCACAACCUACCAACCCGUGGUUCUGCUUUAGUCCGGGGGCUGGCUCCUACGACGCCCCGGGUUUCUAGUAGGCUUGCGGUCGGGACGGUGGGGGCUGGUGUGCCGGCGCCCAUAGCCUCCUCAGCCCCCCUCCACAGGCCCAUGCCGCCUACGCACCCGUUCAGGAACCCCCUCAGGUGCCAACCUAGGACCAAGCGGGCCUGGUAGCCGCCUUGAACCAGACGGCGCUGCAUAACGGCAGCUGGGUUGUUGACUCGGGCGCAUCCGAUGACAUGUCAUCCUUGGAUGGUAUUCUUCUUUGCCGCCUCCCUCCCUCUCACUCCUCCAUUACUAUCGAUAACGGUCACAACCUUCCCGUCACGUGUCGUGGCAACUCCACCCUAACCACCCCGACCUCCCACUUUUGCCUUAACAAUGUCCUUGUUAUCCCUUCUUUAAUUCGUAAUCUGAUUUAUGUUCGUCAGUUUACUAAGGACAAUAACUGCACCAUAGAGUUUGACGCCGUUGGUUUUUCUGUCAAGGAUUUUCUGACUAGACGUGUGAUUCUUCGCUGCAAUAGCGCCGACGAUCUUUACACCAUGCCUCCAGCAUCCAGCUUUGCAGCGCCCUAUGCCGGCCUCACCAUCUCCUCCAGUUUGUGGCAUCUUCAUCUUGGUCAUCCUGGUCCUACCGCCAUCGCUACACUUAGACAAACUUCAUCUAUUGCUUGUAAUAAAGAUAGUCACACUCUAUGUCACUCAUGUCAAUUAGGGAAACAUGUACAAUUACCUUUCUCAUAUUCUAGCUCUCGCAGCUCUACUCCUUUUGAGUUAGUUCACUGUGAUGUUUGGACUUAUCCCGUAGCUAGCGUUUCUGGUUAUCACUACUACCUAGUCAUUUUGGACGACUUCUCGCAUUUUUGUUGGACGUUUCCUCUAGUUCACAAGUCUGAAGUCGCUUCACACAUCACCGACUUCUGCGCCUAUGCUCAUACACAGUUUAGUCUUCCCGUUCACAGCAUCCAGGCUGACAACGGGACCGAGUUUGUCAAUAAGACUCUCACAUCUUUCUUAACUUCUCGGGGUAUCCACCUGCGCCUCUCGUGUCCCUAUACUUCUCCCCAAAAUGGGAAAGCUGAGCAUGUCCUCCGCACCCUCAAUAACGUGACUCGCACCUUGCUCAUUCACGCCUCCAUGGCCGCCACAUACUGGGCUGAGGUGCUCGCCAUCGCCACCUAUCUUCUGAACCGGCACCCCUACUCUGCCAUUUAGAAUGACAUCCCCUACCGCCUUCUCUACUCCUAGCCUCCCAGGUACUCUCACUUACAUGCCUUCGGUUGUCUUUGCUACACCAACCUCUCAGUCACGACACGCCACAAGCUUGCUCCUCGCUCCGCAUCCUGUGUCUUCCUCGGUUAUCCCUCAUCUCACAAGGGGUACCGUUGCCUUGACAUGUCCGCCCGUUGAGUCAUCAUCUCUCACCAUGUUGUCUUUGACGAGUCCCUCUUUCCCUUCUCCUCCCACCCUACUCACCCAUCGCAGCUCGACUUCUUUUUUCUAGCCCCUCCGAUGUUCCUGCUUCCACCUCAGUCGCUCCGUCGUCAGACGUUGAGCAACCGCGGCCCUCACCAGUUGUUUUGCAGGAACUCACUGACGACGACCCCGCCAUCCUGUUAAACGGGCCGACUGUGUAACCCACUCCGUCUACGGGUGGGUUGCCACUCUCCACCGCACUCCCAACUGCUCCGACCGUGAUAGCAGCAAUUCCGAUUGCGACCACGACGCGCGCAGGCACGCUCUCGACUGCCCCGACCGUGACCGCGCCACGCGCAGGUGUGGCCCUGACCGCGACCAUAGUGCCCCCUGUUGGAGGUAUGCCCUAGAGGCAAUCAUAGAGAUGAUGAUAUUCCAUUUGUAUCCAUGAUUUAUAUUGUGUUCCUUGAAUAUCCAUUAAAGGCUACUUGAAUUGAUUUGCAAUUAUGUGAAUUGUAUGUGAAACUCUUUACUUGUAUGGUUAUUCUAAAGUUGUCCCUAGUCGGAGUUCAUGUGAGAACACACAUGAAUAUUAGACUAGCACAUGUAUUAGUUGAUGACUAUGUUUCACGAGUCAUGGACAUGGAGAUGUUGAACUAAUAAUGUGGGCACAUGUGGAGACAUGUGCUAGGACUGACCCAACACGAGAAGUAGUUCUCUCUUUACACAACAUAUACGCUUUGUCCUUAGACCUGAGAUUGUCGCAUGUACUCAAGAUGUGGAUCAACUUACUUAGGGGCUAUCAAACGCUACGCCGUAACAGGGUAGUUAUAAAGGUAGCUUUCAGGUUUGUCAAGAAGCAUACUAUGAGACAUGGUCAAUCAAGAUGGGAUUUGCCCCUCUCUGAUUGAGAGUGAUAUCUCUACGCCCCUCGAGUGAUCGGAUCCGAAAAUGCAUGGCCAUGCUACGUACGGUUAAGAGUUAACCUACAAAGGGAUUCCGAAUCAUAGGAUCGAGAAAGAGUGGUCGGCUUGAAGCUAGACCAAAUAUCAUGAGACAAAAAUAAUAGCAUGUAUAUAAUGUUGUGAUGGUUCGUCUGAUAUGAUCUUCGUGUGCGUAUAGGAGUUGGCACGUCUUGCUAGAGGCCGCUACUGACUAUUGGGCCGAGUAGGAGUACUCGGGCCAUGUCUAUACGUAUCCGAACCCAUAGGGUCACACACUUAAGGGGCUGGAAGCCCAAUUCGGAUGUGAUCCGAGUUGGAUUAGGUUUAGAAGUACUAAUGGGUCUCGGACCCAGAGGCCCGAUAGGAACCUCUAUAAAUAGAGGGGUGGGGGCGCCCUAGGGUUGAGACCUUUUGGCGAAACACAUCUGCCGCACCUCCCACGCCCUUGCCUGUUGCAACUCGCGGAUCUAGCAGUCUGGCUCGCGACGCUUCCUCCCUACACGUGUGGAUACCUUGGAGGUGUUGUGCCUGCAGCACUUGGACGAGCCACCAACGAGCCACGACGAGCCGACGCACGAGGGCGAUCUUGCUGCACGUUGAUGAGCUGCUGAGGAGCUGCUCGACGUCGACAUGAUUGACUACGUAUGACUACGCUGAUCGACUUCGCUGCAUCGACGUGAAUCUACAUCUUCCGCAUCGGUGCAUCGAGUGGUAAUCCUGUGAUCCUUAUACGACAGUUUUCCUGGUUUACGCGGUAGAAAAUUUUGAUUUGCACUAGUGUAGCCUACCUCGUAUCCCAACAGUGGUAUCAGAGCUGUAGCUAUUUAGUUUUGGAUUCGGGAUGUGUGCAUAUGGAGAUAUGCGAGUUUUCAGUUUGAUCUAUGGCCUGGUUUCGUGUUCUUGCUGCAAUGGUAGUGUAACGACAUACUCUUACCGGUCGGGUUUCCGCCAUUAGAGUUAAGUGAUACACGUAAUGCCAGUUGCAGUGAGCGAAGAUCAAUGUGAUUGGUCGAAUCGAGAUGCAAGUUCAUACGCCAAGCACAUGAGAUGUGCAAUAGUAGAUUGGAUCUACUACCGGGUUGGGAUUUUGCCGUAUGCGUGUGCUUCGGUAAAUCAGCCGUAACUUUUCGGUACAAUCUCGGAUUGGGGCGAAUUUUACAUGAAAAUUGAUCUACAGAAAAAGUUACACAUGAAAUUCAACCGCUUGGCCGUUUUUGGUGAAAUUAGAUUUCCCAAAUUUGGCUUGGAAGAUGGAGUUUCGGGCCUCCGAAGUUUGGAUCGUUAGAACACCUAACUUUGCUUUGCAGGAUGUAUGUAUCUUGUGAUCAGUAUGGCCCCUUUGUGUAUAUGAUGCAUGUGUGUAACUCAUUUGUGACCUGCGUGUUGCGCGUACGGCAACACGGCUGGAGCCAUAUGUGUUGUCACUUUAAUGUAUUUAAUGGUCUGCGUACCAAUCUGUGAUGAUCCGAGCAACUAUGUAAUCUUCAUUACUAGCUUCUUUACUAGCUAUUAGAUGUAAUAGCAUGUUCUAGUUCUUGGAGGACUCAUCACCAGGAGGAUGGCGCACAUGGAACAUGGAGAUGGAGAUCACCAUGGUGAACAGGUUCUGUGGAGAUGGAGAUCACCAUAAGAAAACGGGCCGUACUAUGUCGCAACUGUGUGAAUGCUAUUUUGUUUAUGUUUUACUUUCUGCAUGCUGUGAUGUUAGAAGUAGAAUGAUCCCUCACAAAGUUUAAGUUAGUAUGCCCUCCCAACUAAGACUUGCACCGUUCCAUGUCUUGUACAAUUAGUGGUGGGUCUAUGAAAUUAGGGUGCCACUAGUUUUCCUUGACUAGACGGGUUUGUGUCGGACACUUACAUGCAUAAGGGUUGGUUUGCUUAACAAGGUUAUCUUAACGGUUAAGGACCUUGGGGCAUAAAGGUUGGACGCCGAGACAUAGAGAUGUCACCCAACAACAGUAGUCAUAUGUGAUAUGAUUAGCAAGAAGUUGCUUACCGAUCUACCUUGUUUGCUAGCGAUGAUGCUAAAGCUCACUAGUAGACUUGUUAGUUGUGGAUCCUGAAUCACUAAGUAUCAAUAGAGGGAUAUUGAUUUUAGUGGGAGUAGAUUGUGUUAAAAUAAUUUAAUGUGAUUUGCUCUAUCAUGGAUACGUUUGUCUUAGUGUAUUUUGCAUUACUUUUGUUUUAGAUUAAAUGACACCUAGCAGCACUACACCGUUUGCUUUGCGUUCUGUCCUUGAGAAGGACAAGUUGAAUGGAACAAACUACUCGGAUUGGAUCCGUAACCUGAUAAUUGUUCUCAGGGCUAAUAAAAAGGAAGAUGUUCUAGACAACCCACUACCAGAAGAACCUGCUGAUGAUGCACCUGCUGCUGCUAAGAAUGCUUACAAGAAAACAUGUGAUGAUAACCUCGAACUAAGCUGCCUUAUGCUUGCUUGCAUGGAAACCGAGCUGCAGAUGCAGUUCAAAACAAACCAUGAGGUGCACGAUAUGAUCGAGGCGCUUAGAGACAUGUUCCAAACACAGGCCAGGACUGAAAGGUUCAAUGUGUCUAAGGCCUUUGUGGAGAGCAAGCUAGCAGAAGGCGCAGCAGUAGGACCACACAUAAUCAAGAUGGUUGGUUACACUCAACGGUUGGAGAAGCUGGGCUUCCUACUAGGCCAAGAGUUGGCCACUGAUUUCUUUUUUUCGUCUCUUCUGCCUAGCUAUGGGAACUUCAUCUCAAACUACCAUAUGCAUGGGACGGAGAAGGGUCUGAAUGAGCUGUGUGGCAUGCUUAAAACAGCAGAGGCUGACAUCAAGAAAAGCGCUAGUAGCAGCUAUGUGAUGGCUAUACAGAACAAGCCUAGCUUUAAGAAGAAGGGCAAUUCUUGGAAGAAGGGCAAGGUUGAAACGUCCAAGCCAAACCCAGCGCCCAAGGUUAAAGCUGGACCUGGACCUGCUCCAGACAAAGAGUGCUUUUUUUGUCAUGAACUUGGUCACUGGAAAAGAAAAUUGCAAGCAGUACCUAACUUCGUUGAAGAAUGGCGGAAGUAAGAGUACUUCCACCUCAGGUACGCUUGUUAUUAAUGUUAUAGACAACAUAUUUCUCGCUGAUAAAAUUAUUAAUUCUUGGGUAUUUGAUAUCGGAUCGGUUGCUCAUAUUUGCAAUUCGAUGCACGGAAUGAUAAGAAGUAGAAGCGUGGAAAGAGGAGAAGUUGAUUUCCGCGUGGGCAAUAAUGCAAGAGUUGCUGUGUUGACCGUUGGGACGAUGCAACUCCACCUCCCGUCAGGAUUUAUUAUGGAGUUGAAUAAUUGUUAUUUCGUUCCUAGUUUAAGUCAAAAUAUUUUGUCUCCUUCAUGCUUGAUGAAGGAUGAUUAUUCAUUUGCGAGUGAAAACAAUGGUUGUGUGAUCUCUAAGAAUGAUAUGUUUAUGGCUUUUGCACCCAUUGUGAAUGGAUUGUUUGUUUUAAAUCUUGAUGGUUCACCUUUCUGUAACGUAAGUGCUAAAAGACCUCAGCCUAAUGAUUUGAGUCCUACCUACUUGUGGCAUUGUCAUUUGGGUCAUAUAAGUGAAAAACGCAUGAAGAAGCUCCAUUCUGAUGGACUUCUAACUUCAUUUGAUUUUGAAUCAUACGAGACAUGUGAGGCUUGCUUGCUAGGCAAGAUGACCAAGACGCCUUUCACAGGAUUUCCUGAGAGAGCAGUAGACUUGUUGGAACUCCUACAUAGCGAUGUAUGCGGACCAAUGAGCACGACGGCUAGAGGAGGAUUCCAAUACUUCAUAACUUUCACUGAUGAUUUUAGUAGAUAUAGCUAUGUCUACUUGAUGAGGCACAAGUCUGAAACCUUUGAAAAGUUCAAGGAAUUUCAGAAUGAAGUUGAAAAUCAGCAUGACAAGAAAAUUAAGGCCUUACGAUCUGAUCGUGGAGGCGAGUAUUUGAGCCACGAGUUUAGCAAUCAUCUAAAGAGUUGCGGAAUUACUCCACAACUUACGCCGCCUGGAACACCUCAGAGAAAGGGUGUAUCCGAGCGACGUAAUCGAACUUUUUUAGACAUGGUUCGAUCAAUGAUGAGCUAGUUGGAGCUACCAUUCUCAUUUUGGGGAUACGCUCUAGAAACAGCAGCUUUUACACUUAAUAGGGUACCAUCUAAAUCCGUAGUUAUCACACCAUAUGAGGUGUGGACUGGAAAAGUUUCUAGUUUGUCUUUUCUAAAGAUUUGGGGAUGUGAAGUGUUUGUCAAGCGACUUCAGUCGGACAAGAUCACACCCAAGUUGGAUAAGUGCAAUUUCAUGGGAUAUCCAAAGGAAACUUUGGGAUAUUAUUUCUACAACCAGUCAGAGGGCAAAGUGUUUGUCGCUCGGAACGGGGUUUUCUAGAGAAAGAGUUUCUCAAAGGAGAAAAGAGUAGAAAGACAGUGCAUCUUAAAGAAGUUCAAGAUGAGCCAAUCGGGCAAGAAUCAAUGAGUGAUGCUAACGUAGCAGAACAAGUUGAGAUACCCAUGGCACCGCCACAACCACGAAGGUCGGGAAGGCUCCGCGAAAUGUGAGAAAUAUUAUUGUUGGACAAUGAUGAGCCUGCGACAUAUGCAGAAGCAAUGAUGGACCCAGACUCCGAAAAAUGGUAGAGUGCCAUGCAAUCCAAAAUAGAGUCCAUGGGAGACAAUCAGGUUUGGAACUUGGUUGACCCGCCUGAUGGUGUUAAAGCCAUAGAGUGCAAGUGGAUCUAUAAGAAGAAAAAGGACAUGGAUGGAAAUGUUCACAUCUAUAAAGCACGACUUGUCGCAAAAGGUUUUCAACAAGUUCAAGGAGUUGACUACGAUGAGACCUUCUCGCCCGUAGUAAUGCUUAAGUCCAUUCGGAUUAUUCUAGCUAUAGCUGCAUAUUUCGAUUAUGAGAUAUGGCAGAUGGAUGUCAAGACAGCUUUCCUGAAUGGAAACCUAGCUGAGAAUGUGUAUAUGAUACAGCCCGAGGGUUUUGUCGAUCCAAAAAAUGCUGGAAAGGUAUGCAAGCUUCAGAGAUCCAUCUAUGGAUUGAAGCAAGCAUCUAGGAGUUGGAACAUUCGUUUUGAUGAAGUGGUCAAAGGGUUUGACUUCACCAAGAACGAAGAAGAGUCUUAUGUUUACAAGAAGGUUAGUGGGAGCUCUGUAGUAUUUCUAAUCUUAUAUGUGGAUGACAUAUUGCUGAUUGGAAAUAACAUUCCUAUGCUUGAGUCUGUAAAGACUUCACUGAAAAAUAGUUUUUCGAUAAAGGACUUAGGGGAAGCGGCAUAUAUUCUGGGCAUUAAGAUCUAUAGAGAUAGAUUGAGAAGGCUUAUAGGAUUAAGCCAAGAUACUUACAUUGACAAAGAGUUGAAGCGGUUGAGCAUGGAAGAGGCAAAGAAAGGGUUCUUGCCUAUGUCACAUGGCAUAAAUCUCAGCAAGACUCAGUGUCCUUCGACUGCUGAUGAGCGGGAUCGCAUGAUUAGAGUGCCAUAUGCCUCGGCUAUUGGAUCUAUCAUGUAUGCAAUGAUAAGUACUCGCCCAGAUGUUUCAUAUGCGCUAAGUAUGACAAGCAGACACCAGUCUGAUCCAGGUGAGAGUCACUGGAUAGCGGUGAAAAACAUUCUUAAGUACUUGAGAAGGACUAAAGAUAUGUUCCUCGUCUAUGGAGGUGAGGAGGAUCUCGUUGUAACAGGUUACACCGAUGCUAGUUGCCAAACCGACAGAGAUGAUUCAAAGUCACAAUCAGGAUUUGUGUUCACGCUAAAUGGUGGUGCUGUUAGUUGGAAGAGUUCCAAGCAGGAGAUGGUGGCCGAUUCUACGAAAGAAGCCGAGUACAUUGCGGCUUUGGAAGCCGCGAAGGAGGGUGUUUGGAUAAGGAAUUUCCUCAUUGAGCUUGGUGUGUUCCCGAAUGCGUCCAGCCCAUUGAAUCUCUACUGUGAUAACAAUGGGGCAAUUGCGCAAGCAAAGGAGUCAAGGAACCACCAGAAGAACAAACAGGUAAUGCAGCGAUUUCAUAUCAUUCGAGACUUCAUUAACCGGGGUGAGAUCAAGAUAUGCAAAAUACACACGGAUCUGAACAUUUCUGAUCCAUUGACAAAACCACUCCCGCAGGCUAAGCAUGAUGCGCAUGUAAGACCUAUGGGUAUUAGGUACCUUCUAGAUUGACUCUAGUGCAAGUGGGAGACUUUUGGAGGUAUGCCCUCGAGGCAAUCAUAGAGAUGAUGAUAUUCCAUUUGUAUCCAUAAUUUAUAUUGUGUUCCUUGAAUAUCCAUUAAAGGCUACUUGAAUUGAUUUGCUAUUAUGUGAAUUGUAUGUGAAACUCUUUACUUGUAUGGUUAUUCUAAAGUUGUCCCUAGUCGGAGUUCAUGUGAGGACACACAUGAAUAUUAGACUAGCACAUGUAUUAGUUGAUGACUAUGUUUCACGAGUCAUGGACAUGGAGAUGUUGAACUAAUAAUGUGGGCACAUGUGGAGACAUGUCCUAGGGCUGACCCAACACGAGAAGUAGUUCUCUCUUUACACAACAUAUACGCUUUGUCCUUAGACCUGAGAUUGUCGCAUGUACUCAAGAUGUGGAUCGACUUACUUAGGGGCUAUCAAACGCUACGCCGUAACAGGGUAGUUAUAAAGGUAGCUUUCGUGUUUGUCAAGAAGCAUGCUAUGAGACAUGGUCAAUCAUGAUGGGAUUUGCCCUUCUCUGAUUAAAAGUGAUAUCUUUGGGCCCGUCGAGUGAUCGGAUCCGAAAAUGCAUGGCCAUGCUACGUACGGUUAAGAGUUAACCAACCAAGGGAUUCCGAAUCAUAGGAUCGAGAAAGAGCGGUCGGCUUGAAGCUAGACCAAAUAUCAUGAGGCAAAGGGAAUAACAUGUAUAUAAUGUUGUGAUGGUUCGUCUGAUAUGAUCUUCGUGUGCGUAUAGGAGUUGGCACGUCUUGCUAGAGGCCGCUACCGACUAUUGGGCCGAGUAGGAGUACUCGGGCCAUGUCUAUACGUAUCCGAACCCAUAGGAUCACACACUUAAGGGGCUGGAAGCCCAAUUCGGAUGUGAUCUGGGUUGGAUUAGGUUUAGAAGUACUAAUGGGCCUCGGACCCAGAGGCCCGUUAGGAACCCCUAUAAAUAGAGGGGUGGGGGUGUCCUAGGGUUUACACCUUUUUGGCGAAACACAUCUGCUGCGCCUCCCACGCCCUUGCCUGUUGCAACUCGCGGACCUAGCAGUUCGGCUUGCGACGCUUCCUCCCUGCACGUGUGGAUACCUUGGAGGUGUUGCGCCUGCAGCACUUGGACGAGCCACCGAUGAGCUAGGACGAGCUGCCGACGAGCCACGACGAGCUGCCGACGAGCCACGACGAGCCGACGACGAGCCACAGCAUGAGGGCGAAUCUACAUCUUCCACAUCAUUACGUCGAGUGGUAAUCCCGUGAUCCUUAUACGGCAGUUUUCUUGUUUACGCGGUAGAAAAUUUUGAUUUGCACUAGUGUAGCCUACCUCGUAUCCCUACAUGUGCGACACAGAAGCUGUCGAGUUAGCCGUGACUUCUCAAGUGCCCAAUUUAAUGCAGCAAGUUUUCGUUGCCUCAAAGAAGCUCUCCCCGGCCGAACUCGAAAUUCCAAAGAACAAGUCGGGGGAUACCAAGGUCAAGCCAGCAAGCGACAUGGACAUCAAAGCCAUUAUCCUCAAGACCGGUGACACCUCCAAGACAGCCCUGAUUUGUUCAGGGUUGGAUCCUAAAUAGGAAAGCAUGCUCGUCAGCUUCCUUUGGGACAACUGAGACAUCUUUGCAUGGAAACCAGCAGACAUGCCAGGUAUGCCUAAGGAGCUGAUCGAGCACUCACUAAAUGUCGAUCCAAAAGCUACUCCAAAGAGACUACGACUACGACGAUUCGCCCAGGACAGAAGGGAUGCCAUCAAGAAAGAGUUGGAAAAAUUACUCAUGGUGGGUUUCAUAAAAGAAGUCUACCAUCCUGAGUCGCUAAUCCCAUCCUGGUUUGAAAGAAGAAGAACAACGAGUGGAGGAUGUGCAUUGAUUAUACGGAUCUCAACAAGCAUUGUCGAAAGGACCCCUUCGGGCUCCCAAGGAACGAUCAAGUCAUCGACUCCACUGCUGGAUGCACACUACUCUAUUUUCUAGAUUGCUACUCGGGGUACCAUUAGAUAGCUCUCAAGGAAGAAGACCAGGCCAAGACCGCAUUUAUCACCGCUUAUGGAGCUUUUUGCUAUACAAUGAUGUCCUUUGGGUUGAAGAAUGCAGGCGCCACCUAUCAACGUGCAAUCCAUAUGUGGUUUCAGAAACAGCUACACCACAAUGUUGAGGUGUACGUGGACGACGUGGUAGUCAAAACAAGAAAUCUAGACGACCUCAUCGCUGACUUGGAGAAGACCUUUGCUAGUUUGUGGAAAUUUCGGUGGAAGCUCAACCCAACAAAGUGCGUCUUUGGCGUACCAUCUGGGAAACUACUUGGGUUCUACAUUAGCCAUAGAGGCAUUGAAGCAAAUCCCGAGAAGAUAUCCACCAUCAUCGAUAUGCAAGCUUCGUCUGGUGUCAAAGACGUUUAGAAGAUGACUGGGUGUAUGGCAGCCUUCAACAGAUUCAUAUUAAGACUUGGAGAAUGGGGCCUUCCCUUCUUCAAACUACUCAAGCGGCAAGACAAGUUCCAGUGGACCGAGGAGGCAGACCAAGCCCUACAGCACUUGAAGGAUAUCCUAUCAAAGCUACCCAUCCUCACGGUGCCUAUCCCCAAUGAAGACUUGUUGCUGUACAUCUUUGGAACUACUAACGUCGUAAGUAUGGCAAUACUAGUCACAAGAUUAGAAUCCGGCCAUAUAUACAAAGUACAGAGGUCCACCUAUUUCGUCAGUGAAGUACUCUCAGAUUCCAAGACCAGAUACCCAUCGGUCCAGAAACUACUAUAUGCCAUACUACUCACCUCGCGGAAGCUGCAAUACUACUUCCAGGAACACAAGAUCUCCAUCGUUACUGACUUCCCCUAGGUGAGAUUCUCCACAAUCGGGACACCACAGGAAGGAUUUCAAAAGUGGGCAGUGGAACUUGAAGCAUUGUCCCUGGAUUUCAAGUCAAGAACCACGAUCAAGUCCCAGGCUCUAGUCGAUUUCAUGGCAGAGUGGCGGGAAAAUCAAUUACCAACACCGCCAGAGUGCCUAGAGCAUUGGGUCAUGUACUUUGAUUGGUCUCUCAAGCUCGAGGGUGUCGGCGCAGGGGUACUUUUGAUAUCUCCCAAAGGUUAGCAACUCAGAUACGUUUUGCAAAUCUUUUGGGAGGUAUCCAAUGACAAAGCUGAAUAUGAAGCGCUACCGCAUGGGCUGCUCCUGGCGGUAUUGGUUGGAAUCAAAAGAUUGUUGGUCUAUGGCGACUCACUUGUAGUGAUCAAUCAAGUGAACGAUGAGUGGGAUCGCAACAAGGGGAACAUGGACACAUACUGUAUGGAAGUAUGUAAGCUCGAAAACAAAUUUUUGGCCUAGAGUUUCACAAUGUAGUCCGCGACAACAAUAUCACCACGGAUGUCUUGUCCAAACUUGGCUCUCCUCAUGCCCAAGUCCCAGCAGGAGUCUUUGUCCAUGAACUACGCAAGCCAUCCAUAGCAGAGCCGGCACCCUCUACAACCACCGAUCGUGGUCUUGAGGCAUCAGAUCGGGAGGUAAUGAUGAUUGACGUGGAUUGGAGAACCUUGUUCAUCGACUACAUAAGGGAGCAAAAACUACCCUCAGACAAGACACAGGUAGAGCAGAUCCUACAACGAAGUAAAAAUUACGUUCUAGUCGGGGACAAUCUCUACAGAAGAGGUGUAUCUUCAGGAGUACUCAUGAAGUGCAUCACACGACAAGACGGCAAGGACAUAUUGGAGGAGAUACACAAGGGCAUUUGUGACAACCACGCAUCCUCACACAGAAUCAUGGGCAAGGCUUUCAGAGCAGCGUUCUAUUGGCCCACUGUCCUAGCGGACGCUGAAGAACUAGUCCAUCGGUGCUAGGGUUGUCAAUUCUUCGCCAAGUAGCAGCAUGUCCUUGCUUACAAGCUUAUCACCAUACCGCCAACAUGGUCCUUCGCAUACUGGGGGCUCGACAUGAUUGGUCCACUUCCUACAGCACCCGAAGGAUUCAACCGAGUACUAGUAGCCAUCGACAAGUUCACCAAGUGGAUUAAGGUCAAGCCAGUAACCUGCCCCAAGGCAGAUAGAGUACUCGACUUCCUCGACAAGAUCUUUCACCGCUACGGAUUCCCUAAUCAAAUAAUGAUAGAACUAGGUUCCAAUUUCAACAACCAUGAGUUCUGGUAGUACUGUGAAAAUAGUGGCAUCGACGUUCGGUACGUCUCUGUUGCUGACCCACGGGCCAAUGGGCAGGUUGAGCGCGCCAACGGGAUGCUACUAGAAGCCUUAAAGAAAAGAUUGCAUGAUAUUGGCGACACCAAAGGAGGCAAGUGGCUCAAGGAACUACCCAACAUUCUCUGGGGGCUACGUACACAGCCGUGCAAGACUAUGGGGCAGUCACCCUAUUUCUUGGUCUACAGAUUAGAAGCCAUCCUUCCCGCCGACGUGAUGUGGAAAUCUCCAAUAGUCGACCAAUACGAUGAAGAAGCGGUAGAGGAAACAAGGCGUCUAGACCUAGACAGCCUAGAAGAAGCCCGCUGUGCAGCACUCGUCCAAUCUGCAAGGUACUUCGAGGGUCUUCGCCGCUAUCAUGAUCGCUGCUCCUAUACAUAUCAGCUACUACUCAUGUCAUCAGCACAGCAAUAGUAGUCGAACGGUCUGAACCGGGCCACACUUACAAGGUCCAACGACCUGUCUACUUCAUCAGCGAAGUACUCUCGGACUCCAAAACUCGGUAUUCACCUAUACAAAAGCUCUUAUACGCAAUUCUGCUCACCUCCCGGAAACUGCGCCAUUAUUUCCAGGAGUACAACAUCACAGUCAUCUCUGACUUCUCGCUCGGUGAAAUUCUUCACAACAUAGAUGCCAUGGGUAGAAUCUCUAAAUGGGCAGUUGAACUCGGAGCUCUCACCUUGGACUUCAAGCCAAGGACAGCUAUCAAAUCCCAAGCUUUGGUCGACUUCGUAGCUGAAUGGACUUAAAAUCAAGUACCAACACCAGUCAAACGGCCAGAACACUGGGUAAUGUACUUCGACGGGUCCUUCAAACUUGAAGGGGCCGGUGCAGGCGUAUUACUCAUCUUUCCCAAGGGAGACCAGCUACGUACUGCAAAUCUUAUGGGAAGCAUCUAACAAUGAUGCCGAAUACGAAGCACUGCUACACAACCUUCACCUUGCAAUCUCCCUCGGCAUCAAAAGACUACUGGUGUACGGCGAAAGAGUAAACGGAGGUAAUGACCCCGUGUUUUCACCUCUAGUUGUUAAUUUUGCAUCUGGCCGUUAGUUUUAAAAGUUACCGCUAGAGAUAAGGUUACUAUUGGCACCGAUCAUGAUGACUGGUGGUUGACCCUUAUACAUCUUGGAACUAGUCGGGUAACGGCUCAGGGGCUGUGUGCCAUGUGCCCGUCGGCUAAAAAGUUUUUUCUCCAGAGUUUAAGAUGAAAACAAUGCAAAUGCAAAUUGAUCCUGAUUCUUCGAUUCAACCUAAGGCUCAAGGGCUACUCCAUAUGGAGUGCGAUUCUCAUUGCACUUCCACAUAUCCAUUCAAGGACAAAUAUUCAAGAUAGCGUCAAAUGAGGCUUGAGCACAUUCUAGCCGCAUGACAGUACUCGAGUUACUUGAAGAAUCAAGUUCGAUAGGGUACUCAGAAUAGCACCAAUAACUAGUUAGAUGAAGCCUAUAAAGGUACUCGGGACUGUUGCAUUUGACUAAAAUGUACUCGGGAGCUUGUCGUACAUACACCUAUGGGCCCACCAGAAGGUUUGGAUAGAUCUGUAUACAGGGCUAUACACUGAGACGUGUCAGACAUGGAGACUACGGUGCAGGACAGCGUAGUAUACAUGGAGGACAGGAACUAGUCAAGGACUCGAAGACUACUCAUAGCAGUUAGAGUAGCGCUCUCUAGUCGAAUCCAACUAGUACUCUUAUAAAACAACCGACCUAUAACCCUGCUGUAACGACCGACCCCUAAGCCUUUCCAGUUAGUCUUGAUCGUAGCCCUUAACCUUAGUCAGCUGUCUUGCUUGACCGCACCUAAGUGCUCAGGUUUCCGCCGGUCCCGACCCCUGAGAUCCGACCCCUUCCCGCUUCGCUCCUCUUCCGACCCCGGCGAGCUCAGCCCACUGUCGGAUUCUGCUAAUCUUCCUCACCCGUCCGAUCUAUCCACCAGUGGACCCGCGAGAUCUUUUCCAGAUCCCCCGCGACAGCCGCACUCGAGUUGCAUGGCCGCCUCAGAGUCUUCCUGCCGCGUGGCUUGUCUUCCCCGACGCCUGCCGCUCAGUUUUGUCUCUGGCAAGCAGCCGAGUGGGUUCCCGCGCCCCCUUUUCCCCAAUGGCAGCGGAAGCCCUCUACACCCCUUUCUGCAGAGCCUCGCCUCCCGCGCCCAUCAUCACGCCACCAGAUCCCGGCCCCAGAGCCCGAUGUCGCCCGUCUUUUCCGUCCCUUCAGCCACAGUCGCGCCGCCUGGUCGCCGCUACACGAUGAUUCCUCCACCGCCAACCCCGACCGCGGCCGAGACAGUCCCUUUCCCCCGCUCUGUCAGAAGCCGCCCGACAAUCUGUUGUUCCGCGCUCUCCCCCGCGCCCGCGUCCGCCUGUCUUCUCACCUGUGCGCCCUCGAUUCUAGCGCCGUUAAACCGGUCGCUUCUAUCACCUCUUCCGCACGGCGACGCCCGCUUUCCGCCAAAUCUCAACCACCAGUCUACCCGCUCCUACGCCGCCCUGACGGCAGAACGCAAUGAUCGCUGGCGUCACCCCCGGAGUUCUGCGCCACCGCCCUCUUCGCUCAAUCGCCGCCCCGGCAGAGCACUCCAUUGCUUCUCCCCGGCCUUCGCGCCGCUCCCCUUCUCUCUCUCCGUGCCGUUUCCUUUCCUCUGCUCCAGCAGCUAUAAAAGGAAUGCCCCUGUCGCCGGAGUUCCCUCCGCCCUUGUUGCCUUCAGCCUUCCCUAGCUCCCUGCUCAAGCUCCUAGCGCCACCCACCCAGUUCUUGAGGAGUUCUUCUCUCAGUUCUCUCUCAGCUUUCUCCAAGUCACCCAGCAGCUUGCUCCUCCAUGCUGCGUAAGAGCUCUCUUGUGAUCCGCAAGAAGCAGCGCCGCCGCCGGAGCAUUGCCGGUCUUAGCUUCUGUUCAAACCUUAGUCCCUCCGCCCAAGUCCGCUUCUUCCCAACCGCAAGCUUUCCUUUUAGGAAGAAGGUGAGUUACCGACCCCAGUUCGCCUCGCCCGACCCCUCCUAUCCGCCCGACCCCGGUUCCGUCUCGCCCGACCCUGUCUGUUCCGCCGACCCUUAUCCGCCUCGCCCGAGGGCUUGGCUGUGAUCUUUUCCUUCAACUUGAGGGUGUAUGUGUAAAACUUGGGAACCCUUCAGCGCUUGCGUCUAAGGACCCCCAGUUUAUCACAUCCUCUAGUUCAAGGAUCGGACCACUAAUUCCUUUCCUACCCUUACCUCUUGAUCAUCAUCAGCUCUCUCAAGCCACCUUAACUCCUGCUCCUUGUCGCAAGUUUCUGGGCGCAGGCGAACCAGUGUUGCUGUUGAAAUAACUGUCUAAGCUAACCCUUGCAUUGCAUUCGUGUAGAGCUGCACCUCGCCGACGGUUUCUACGAGCUUCACCCGGCGCCAGAAGAAGAAGCUGUAGCCGAGCUCCUGCCCUCCGAAGCCGAAGUCGCCCCCGAAGUCGAGCAGUUUCCGUCCUCCUUGCUUGAAGGCAAGCCCCGGUUGCAUGAAAACCUUGAGUGUUUUCCAAACUUGCACAUGCCUUCUGUAACAUGCUUUUGCAUUUACGUAUAGGAGUUGUGUGAAACCCUAGAUGCAUGACUCAGUUAACCCAUGAUCUGAGCACUAGCUGUUGGACCGAGUAGCUGCUUUGCUUAACUAGGAGACGGUAAAAGCCGAGUGAUUUCCUGUCACUCGCGAGUUGUAGGAGUUGCAUGUUUACUCUCCUGUUAUAACUAUAAGGACGAUGGACGGGGCAGGGUUUUGGUAACUCUUUGGUGGAUGGUUGUUGCCCCGUCUAUCUAUGAAAUCUUGCUAAGGCCCGACAGUGGUGGUGUUCGUGAUCAAGUGUUUGAAAGUACUAGCCUCAUACUUAGUAUGGGAUGAGGAAGCCUAGUACCGGAUUGAACCUAGACGUGAGCGGUCGCCCCAUUGUUCUUGGAACGGAGUUUCCCCUACUGGUUGUCGCACGUGGUGGCAAGCGUGGUCACAGAACGGCAGAGGCCGGGUCUGUGGAACCUUGCACCAAAGGAAAUGGGCCCGACAUGGGUUAGGGGAUUGAUGGGGAAGGCCGACACAGGAAGCAACCUCCGGGUGCGCGGAUGUCGUGAGGCUAGGUUCACCAUGCAUGGUUAAAGAACUCGAAUCGAUUUGUCUACCUCUCACAGUUUGAGAUUGCUUGAUCUCUAUGUCCGACCCCGACAAAGUCUUCCGCUAGUGUUUUUCUGUGUUGUUUCUUUUAGAACCCUGUAAAACCUUGAUGUUGGAUUUUAAGGCUGAACUAAAUGGGUAAAACUUGUUUAACUCAGUGGACUUGUUGUAUUCUCUGUAACCACUCACCUUCGUGUGGGUUUGCUAAACUCGAUCCUGUCUAAGUGGUUAAAUCGGAUGAAAUCCGACGGCGCUACGUGUUAGCUCGGGUUAGGCAGAAGUGUCGCAUGUUAGGCGGCUUAACCCUACUUAAUCAAGCUAAUCCGAGGUGCUUCCGUCACAGCUGGUAUUAGAGCCGUGUUUAACAUUUCAGAGAACCCAAUGAGCCCUAAACACUUCUUUGAAAAAGGAUAAAAGUUGCAAGAAACUUUUGAAAAUCUCGUACGAUUGUUAAGGAUGACUUAGUACGAGAGGCCCUAGGGGAUUUUGGGGUUGUUUUAGGUGACUAAUAAGUAUCUGGUUAUUUUGCUAACCCUUCCAGCACAUCUCCACGUCUAUCAUACAUGUGCCGAGAUCCGCAUCGCGAGCAUGCGAGGGUUGAUAGGGAGCUCCAUUCAAAGGACCCUAUCUUCGCGGUUGUUGUCGCCCACGUCUAUUACACGUGCGCAAGUUCCGUAUGUGUUCCAUACGAAGGUUGGUACGGUUCGAUUCCAACGAACCUAUCAGCACGGUUGUUUCGCCACGUUUGUCAGGUUGGUACCAGGGCUAAAAUCUCCAGGAAAUAACAUUAAUGUGUAUUUGCAGCCCCUAAUUGAUGAGCUCAAAGAUCUUUGGCUCAACGAUGUUCAGACAUGGGAUGCAAAGGUAAAGAAUAAUUUCACUCUGCGUGUUGUUCUACUUUGGAUAAUUAAUGACUUCCCAGCAUACGGCAUGCUAUCUGGUUGGAGCAUAAAAGGUAAGUUUGCAUGUCCAUACUGCCACAAGGAUACUGACUUUUUAUGGUUGAAAUUUGGUUCAAAGCAUUGCUACAUGGGUCAUCGCCACUUUUUGCCAAUGGAUCACAGGUGGCGUCGCAACAAGAUUAGCUUUAACAACAAGGUGGAAACCAGGGAGCCUCCAGUGCCACUGCAUGGGGAAGGUGUGCUGCAACAAUACUAGAUGGCACAAUUUGUGGAAGAAGAGUAUUCUUUUUUGAACUGCCUUACUGGGAAAAGUUGCUUGUAAGGCAUAAUUUGGAUGUGAUACACAUUGAAAAAAAUAUCUAUGAGAGCAUACUGGGAACUUUGCUUGACAUGGCAGGUAAAUCCAAGGAUAGCGAGAAGGCUCGUCUUGACAUGCAACAUUUGGGCAUGAGGAACGAUCAACAUCCUUUGGUGAUGAAUGACAAAUACGCUUUGCCUCCAGCGUUGUACAGUUUGGGUCAAGAUGACAAGGUAUUGUUGGAGGUAUGCCCUAGAGGCAAUCAUAGAGAUGAUGAUAUCUGAUUGUAUCCAUGAUUUGUAUAUUGUGUUCAUUGAAUAUCCAUUAAAGGCUACUUGAAUUGAUCUACAAUUAUGUGAAUUGUGUGUGGAACUCUUUACUUGUAUGAUUAUUCUAAAAGUUGUCCCUAGUCGGAGUUCAUGUGUGUCCACACAUGAAUAUUAGACUAGUACAUGUAUUAGUUCAUGACUAUGUUUUACAAGUCAUGGACAUGGAGAUGUCAAACUAAUAAUGUAGGCAUAUGUAGAGACAUGUGCUAGGACUGACCCAACAUGAGAAGUAGUUCUCUCUUUACACAACAAGUACGCUUUGUCCUUAGACCUGAGAUUGUCGCAUGUACUCAAGAUGUGGAUCGACUUACUUAGGGGCUAUCAAAUGCUAUACUGUAACAAGGUAGUUAAAAAGGUAGCUUUCGGGUUUGUCAAGAAGCAUGCUGUGAGGCAUGGUCAAUCAAGUUGAGAUUUGCCCCUCUCUGAUUGAGAGUGAUAUCUCUGGGCCCCUCGAGUGAUCGGAUCUGGAAAUGCAUGACCAUGCUACGUACGGUUAAGAGUUAACCUACAAAGGGAUUCCGAAUCACAGGAUUGAGAAAGAGCGGUCGGCUUGAAGCUAGACCAAAUAUCGUGAAAUAAAGGGCAUAGCAUGUACAUAAUGUUGUGACGGUUCAUCUGAUAUGAUCUUCGUGUGCGUAUAGGAGUUGGAACGUCUUGCUAGAGGCCACUAUGGACUAUUGGGUCGAGUAGGAGUACUCGGGCCAUGUCUAUAUGUAUCUGAACCCAUAGGGUCACACACUUAAGGGGCUGGAAGACCAAUUCGAAUAUGAUCCGAGUUGGAUCAAGUUUAGAAGUACUAAUGGGCCUCGAACCCAGAGGCCCGUCAGGAACCUCUAUAAAUAGAGGGGUCGGGCGCCCUAGGGUUUCAUCCCUUUGGCCGAAACACAUCUACCGCGCAUCCCACGCCUUCGCCUGUUGCAACUCGUGGACCCAGCAGUCUAGCUUGCGACGCUUCCUCCUUGCACAUGUGGAUACCUUGGAGGUGUUCCACCUGUAGCACUUGGAUGAGCCGCCGACGAGCCACGAUGAGCCAACGACGAGCCGUGGCACGAGGACGACCUUGCUACACUGGACGAGCUUUUGAGGAGCUGCUCGACGUCGACAUGAUCGACUACGUGUUCGACUACGCUGAUCGACUUCGCUGCCCCGACGUGAUUCUACAUCUUCCGCACCAGUGCAUCGAGUGGUAAUCAUGUGAUCCAUAUAUGGCAUUUUUCCUAGUUUACGCGGUAGAAAAUUUUUGUUUUGCGCUAGCUGUAACGACCUAGAUUUAAAUCAGCUAAGCUUAAUCUUAAGACAAGUUCCGUAAUCCGGUUGACUAAGCUUUUCUUGAGCUAUACCGACUUAGUCUAGUUUUCAGCCCAACCUAGCGCCUUAGGGAGGGUUUAUCCUUGGAAAGAUGAGCUGAACACUCAGAAUCCUUUGGUAGAAGUUGGAGAACAAAGCCCCUGCUACAACUUUGCUCAGUGGGACAUGGGCUGGUGUUCUACAACUCUUGUUAAGGGAGUCAAAGUGGUGUAGUUCAGAAAUCGGGAGAUCAAGAGGCUGGAAGAUGGACCCAGAAAAGGAUUCUGCGGAUCUCUUGGGCCAAGCGCGCCAGAGUGCGUGCGCCCUAUCUCAGAGCCCCUCCACCGCAUGGCAUAACCUCACUGACGAGCGCCGUCUCACCUAGUCACCGGCCGUGACACGAUGGAUCAGCGUGCCUCCUCCCCAAUCGCGCGCUAGAGCCCCCUGCCAACUUUUCCACCCCGUCCCAUCUUGCCCGAGAUCUUGCCGGCCGCGCCAGGCGUCCUGCCGCCGCUGCGACCAAAGAUUGGCCGCUACCGCGCCAGUCCGCCUCGCCUCCCGCACGCAUCGCCUCACCAAGAUCCCCGACCAUGCCCCAAUGCCUUUCGGCUUUUCCGUCGUAUCUCAGUCGCAUCGCUCGCCCUGUCCGCCGAUACCGAGUCACCGCACCCAAUCCGUCACUUGGUGCGACCAGGCACGCACUCGACCUUACCAGUCCUUCCGUCCGGGAAAACCGCGCCUACCUAGCACUGUCUUCAGUGCCCAAUGCCGUAAGACCUGAUCCCCGGAGCUCCGCUUCGCCAGCCAAUGGCGACACCGACCAAUCACCACCGCGGCAGAGCACUCCAUUCUCUCUCGAUCUUAUCCUCGCGCUGCUCAAACUCCUUCACUUCCGCGUAGCUAUAAAAAGGGUACCGAAGCCUCUUACCAGAGUUCCCCUUGCCACCAUCGCCCUUGCCGCCUUGUUUGCUCGUUCUUCUCCAGCGCACCCGUCGCCACAUACUCCUCUACUUCACGUGCAAGUACUGCCGCCUGAGCUCUCUGUGGAGCUCCCCUUCCGCCCAACACCCUGCUAGCCGUUUUGCCUUCCUUCGCGCUGUGCUAGAGCGUGCUUGUUGCCCUCAAGAAGCACCACUGCCACCGGAGCACUGCUAGACCUCGCCACUGCCAGAAACUUAGUGCCUUUAGUCGUUUCGCCUGAGCUUGCUUCUCCCCGACCCCAAGACUUCAUCAGUAGGACCAAAGGUGAGCUACUGACCCCUUUCCAUUUUGCCCGACCCCUUUCCGUUUUGCCCGACCCCUUUCCAUUUCGCCCGACCCCUAUCUGUUUCGCCCUAUCCUUGUCCGCCUCGCCCGAGGGCUCGGCUGUAUCCUUUUCUUUUGACCAAGGGUAUCUGUGUAAAAUUUUGGGGACUUCUCUAUGUUAAGUCUGAGGCCUCCGGUACAGUUAUUCCUUAGAUCUAAGGGUCAGAUCGUAAGUUUUUCCCGACCCGACUCUUUUAUCUUGUUCUAAAUCAACAGAAGCUUGCGGAAAUUCAUCUCAAAGCGAGCAAAAAUCAGAAAAAUGUGAAAUCACUUGGGUUGGAAUCCUCUUCUGAGUAGAAUCCAAUAAAAUGGGUUUCACACUUUUCCUGUAGUUUUGCUACAGUUGUUGGGCUACAUCUUGCAAGUGUUGUUGAAAUAACCGUUUACGUGUUUAACCCCUGCAUUUGCAUUCUGUGUAGAGCUAAACCUCGCUAACGGCAUGUACGAGCUGCACCUGGUGCUAGAAGACGGAGUUGUAGCUGAGCUGCCGCCUGCAGGAGCUGAAGUCGAGAGCGCCGAAAACCUGUUCGCUUCCACCCCGCUCGAAGGAAAGCCCCGAAGCAUAACCCAAUCUUUCUAAACUUGCGCAUGCCUUCAUUUGUAUGUAUGUGCAUUUAUGUUACAGGAAUUGUUUGAAACCAUAGAUGCAUGACUUAGUCUCCCCUGAUCUGAACACUAGUAUGAUAGUUCGAGUAGUUGCAGUGCUUAGCAGGACUCGGUAAAAGUCGAGUGAUUCCCUGUCACUCGCAAGUUAUAGGAGUUGCUUGUUCUCCUUUGUCACCACUAUAAGGACGGUGGACGGGGCAGGGCCUUGUGAACUAUUUUUGGUGGUCAGUGGAUUGCCCCGUCUUUCUACAUGAAUUUGAUUAAGGUCGGAAAGUGUUGGUGUUCGUGAUCAAGUGUUUGAAAGUACUAAUCUCAUACCUAGUAUGGGAUGGGGAAGCCUAGUACCUGAUUGAACUAGGGCGUGGCUUAUACCCCUGCUAUCCUUGGAACGAGGUUCCCAUGGUGCAUCAUGUGGGUGCAAGUACGGUCACAGUAUGGCAAGAGGUCGGGACUGUGGAGCAUUGCAUGCCAAGGGAAGUUUGGACCAGACACGCACCUGAGAAUUGAUGGGGACGGCCGACACAGGAAGCGACCCUCUGUGGUGCGCGGAUGUCGUGAGAUUAGGUUCGCCAUGCAUGGUUAAGAAAUUCAAAUCGAUUCGUCUACCUCUCACAGUUUGGGACUGGUUGAUCACUAUGCUACACUAAGUAAAGAUGGAACAUAAUGAUUAUGUGAACCUUAUUGCUUGUUCUUUAAAUUGUUUGGAAACUAUGUUUGUUUAGCAUAAGUUGCUAAUGUAGAUUGGUUAAUGAACUUAGAGCAUGAGCUAAAAUAUUGAAAGUAAGGACCUACUGUAGUCGCUUUUGGCAAAACCAACCCCACAGCCAAAGAGCCUGGCAUGUCUAGAAGUUGGUGGAGUAGUUCCCACCGGUCGGUUAAGUCUUGUUGAGCGUAGUCGCUCAGCCUUGUUGUGGCAAUUUCUUUCAGGUGAUGUUGAAGCUCCCGAGUCUACCGCUUGUGGCACUUGGCCUCCCCAGCUUCCUUCUGGGUGGACGGUCGAGUGGGAUCCCUCCUCGGACGGCGAGGAUAGGGACCAGUGGUGUUAGGACAGCCUCAUCCCUGACAUUCGACCCCGGCACUAGCUCCUACUGUUUUAUCUUUUCCGCUGCUUAUGAACUCUGUAAAACUUUGAGAAAUUUUGAACCUGAGCUGAAAAAUUUAUGUAAUUGUUUAAGUUAGAUGAUCUAUUGUAUUCUUUGGAACCACUCACCUUCGUGUGAGCUCUGCUGAUCCGGUCCUGUAAAGUGGUUCUAUCGGAUGAAAUCCGACGGACUGCCGAGUUAACUUGGUUAAAGCAUAAGACCGCGUGUCAGGCGACUUAUUGUGCUUUAGCUAAGCUAAUCCGAGCGGUUCCGCCACACUAGCAUAGCCUACCUCGUAUCCCAACAGUGGUAUCAGAGCCAUAGCUAUUUUGUUAUGGAUUCGGGAUGUGUGCAUAUGGAGAUAUGCGAGUUUUCAGAUUGAUCUAUGGCCUGUUUUCGUGUUUUUGCUGCAAUGGUCGUGUAUCGACAUACUCAUACGGGUCGGAUUUCCGCCAUCGGAGUUAAGUGAUACAAGUAAUGCAAGUUGCAGCAAGCGAAGAUCAGUGUGAUUAGUCGAAUCGAAAUCUAGGUUCAUACGCCAGGUGCAUGAGAUGUGCAAUAGUAGAUUGGAUCUUUUACCGGGUCGGAAUUUUGCCGUAUGCGUGUGCUUCGGUAAAACAGUCGUAACUUUUCGGUACGAUCUCAGAUUGAGGCGAAUUUUAUAUGAAAAUUGAUCUACAGAAAAAGUUACACAUAAAAUUCAAUCGCUUUGCCAUUUUUGAUGAAAUUAGAUUUGCCAAAUUCGGCUUGGAAGAUGGAGUUACGGGCCUCUGAAGUUUGGAACGUUAGAACGCCUAACUCUGGUUUGCAGGAUGUAUGGAUCUUGUGAUCAGUAUGGCCCCUUGUGUAUGUGAUGCAUGUGUGUAACUCAUUCGUGACCUGCGUGUCACGCGUACGACAACACGACUGGAGCCAUAUGUGUUGUCACUUUAAUGAAUUUAAUGGUUUGCGUACCAAUAUGUGAUGAUCCAAGCAACUGUGUAAUCUUUAUUACUAGCUUUUAGAUGCAAUAGUAUGUUCUAGUUCUUGGAGGACUCAUUACUAGGAGGAUGGCGCACAUGGAACAUGGAGAUGGAGAUCACCAUGGUGACCAGGUUCUAUGGAGAUGGAGAUCACCAUAAGAGAACGGGCCAUACUGUGUCACAACUGUGUGCAUGUUAUUCUUUAUGUUUUACUUCCUGCAUGAUGUGAUGUUAGAAGUAGAAUGAUCCCUCACAAAGUUUAAGUUAAUAUGCCCUCCCAACUAAAACUUGCACCAUCCCAUGUCUUGUACAAUUAGUGGUGGGUCUAUGAAAUUAGGGUGCCACUAGUUUUCCUUGACUAGACGGGUUUGUGUCGGACACUUACAAGCAUAAGGGUUGGUUUGCUUAACAAGGUUAUCUUAACGGUUAAGGACCUUGGGGCAUGAAGGUUGGGCGUCGAGACAUGGAAAUGUCACCCAACAACAGGAGUCAUAUGUGAUAUGAUUAGCAAGAAGUUGCUUACCGAUCUACCUUGUUUGCUAGCGGUGAUGCUAAAGCUCACUAGUAGACUUGUUAGUUGUGGAUCCUGAAUCACUAAGUAUCAAUAGAGGGAUAUUGAUUUUAGUGGGAGUAGAUUCUGUUAAAUAGUUUAAUGUGAUUUGCUCUAUUUUGGAUACGUUUGUCUUAGUGUAUUUUGCAUUACUUUUGUUGUAGAUUAAUGGCACCUAGCAACACCACACCAUUUGCUUUGCGUUCAGUCCUUGACAAGAACAAGUUGAUUGGAACAAACUGCUCAGAUUGGAUCCCUAACCUGAGAAUUGUUCUCAGGGCUAAGAAAAAGGAAGAUGUUCUAGACAACCCAUUACCAGAAGAACCUGCUAAUGAUGCACCUGCUGCUGUUAAGAAUGCUUACAAGAAAGCAUGUGAUGCUGACCUCGAAGUAAGCUGCUUUAUGCUUUCUUGGAUGGAACCCGAGCUGCAAAUGCAGUUUGAAACAAACCCUGAGGCGCACGGUAUGAUCGUUGCGCUUAGAGGCAUGUUCGAAACACAGGCCAGGACUGAAAGGUCCAAUGUGUCUAAGGCCUUUGUGGAGAGCAAGCUAGCAGAAGGCGCAGCAGUAGGACCACACGUAAUCAAGAUGGUUGGUUACACUCAAUAGUUGGAGAAGCUAGGCUUCCCACUAGGCCAAGAGUUGACCACUGAUUUCAUUCUUUCAUCUCUUCCAUCUAGCUAUGGGAACUUCAUCUCGAACUACCAUAUGCAUGGGACGGAGAAGUGUCUGAAUGAACUGUGUGGCAUGCUUAAAACAGCAGAGGCUGACAUUAAGAAAAGUGCUAGUAGCAGCCAUGUGAUGGCUAUAUAGAACAAGCCUAUCUUUAAGAAGAAGGGCAAUUCUUGGAAGAAGAACAUCAAGGCUGCCAAGCCAAACCUAGCGCCCAAGGUUAAAGCUAGACCUGGACCUGCUUCAGACAAAGAGUGCUUUUAUUGUCAUGAACUUGGUCACUGGAAGAGAAAGUGCAAGCAGUACCUAGCUUCAUUGAACAAUGGCGGAAGUAAGAGUACUUCCACCUCAGGUACGCUUAUUGUUAAUGUUAUAGACAACAUAUUUCUCGCUGAUACAAUUAUUAAUUCUUGGGUAUUUGAUACCGGAUCGGUUGCUCAUAUUUGCAAUUCGAUGCAGGAAAUGAUAAGAAGUAGAAGUGUUGAAAAGGGAGAAGUUGAUUUCCGCGUGGGAAAUAAUGCAAGACUUGCUGCGUUGACGGUCGGGACGAUGCAACUCCACCUCCCGUCAGGAUUUACUAUGGAAUUGAAUAAUUGUUAUUUUGUUCCUAGUUUAAGUCGAAACAUUAUGUCUCCUUCAUGUUUGAUGAAGGAUGGUUAUUCAUUUGCGAGUAAAAACAAUGCUUGUGUGAUCUCUAACAAUGAUAUAUUUAUGGCUUUUGCACCCAUUGUGAAUGGAUUGUUUGUUUUAAAUCUUGAUGGUUCACUUGUCUGUAACAUAAAUGCUAAAAGGCCUCGGCCUAAUGAUUUGAGUACUACCUACAUGUGGCAUUGUCGUUUGGGUCAUAUAAAUGAGAAACGCAUGAAGAAGCUCCAUACUGAUGGACUUUUAACUUCGCUUGAUUUUGAAUCAUACGAGACAUGUGAGGCUUGCUUACUAGGCAAUAUGACCAAGACACCUUUCAUAGGUCUUCCUGAGAGAGAAUUAGACUUGUUGGAACUUGUACAAACCGAUGUAUGCGGACCAAUGAGCACGACAGCCAGAGGAGGGUACCAAUACUUCAUAACUUUUAGUGAUGAUUUUAGUAGAUAUGGAUAUGUCUACUUGAUGAGGCACAAGUCUGAAACCUUUGAAAAGUUCAAGGAAUUUCAGAAUGAAGUUGAAAAUUAGCAUGGCAAGAAAACUAAGGCCUUGCGAUCUGAUCGUGGAGGCGAGUAUUUGAGCCACGAAUUUAGCAAUCAUCUAAAGAGUUGCGGAAUUCUUCCACAGCUUACACCGCCUCGAACACCUUAGAGAAACGGUGUAUCUGAGCGACGUAAUCGAACUUUGUUAGACAUGAUUCGAUCAAUGAUGAGCUAGUCAGACCUACCAUUAUCAUUUUGGGGAUAUGCUCUAGAAACAACAGCUUUCACACUAAAUAGGGUACCGUCUAAAUCCGUAGUUAAGACACCAUAUGAGAUGUGGACUGGAAAGACUCUCAGUUUGUCUUUUCUAAAUAUUUGGGGUUGUGAAGUGUUUGUCAAGCGACUUCAGUCGGACAAGAUCACACCCAAGUCAGAUAAGUGCAUUUUUGUGGGAUAUCCAAAGGAAACUUUAGGAUAUUAUUUCUACAACCGGUCAGAGGGCAAAGUGUUUGUCGCUCGGAAUGGGGUUUUCCUAGAGAAAGAGUUUCUCAAAGGCGAAAAGAGUGGAAAGACAGUGCAUCUUGUAGAAGUUUGAGAUGAGCUGAUCAGGCAAGAAUCAACAAGUGAUGCUAAUGUAGUAGAACAAGUUGAGACACCCAUGGCAAGAGAAGCACCCCCACAACCACGAAGAUCGGCAAGGCUCCGCGAAAUGCAGGAAAUAUUAUUGUUGGACAAUGAUGAGCCUGCGACAUAUGGAGAAGCAAUGAUGGACCCAGACUCUAAAAAAUGACAGAGUGCCAUGCAAUCUAAAAUAGAGUUCAUGGAAGACAAUCAAGUUUGGAACUUGGUUGACCCGCCUGAUGUUGUUAAAGCCAUAGAGUGCAAGUGGAUCUAUAAGAAGAAAAAGGACAUGGAUGGAAAUGUUCACAUCUAUAAAGCAUGACUUGUCGCAAAAGGUUUUCAACAAUUUCAAGGAGUUGACUACAACGAGGCCUUCUCGCCCGUAGUGAUGCUUAAGUCCAUUCGGAUUAUUCUAGCUAUAGCUGCAUAUUUCGAUUAUGAGAUAUGGCAGAUGGAUGUCAAGACAGCUUUCCUGAAUGGAAACCUAACUGAGGAGUGUAUAUGAUGCAGCCCAAGGGUUUUGUCGAUCCAAAAAAUGCUGGAAAAGUAUGCAAGCUUCAGAGAUCCAUUUAUGGAUUAAAGCAAGCAUCUAGGAGUUGGAACAAUUGUUUUGAUGAAGUGGUCAAAGGGUUUGGCUUCACCAAGAACGAAGAAGAGUCUUGUGUUUACAAGAAGGUUAGUGGGAGCUCUGUAGUAUUUCUAAUCUUAUAUGUGGAUGACAUAUUGUUGAUUGGAAAUAACAUUCCUAUGCUUGAGUCCGUAAAGACUUCACUGAAAAAUAGUUUUUCGAUGAAGGACUCAGGGGAAGCGGCAUAUAUUUUGGGCAUUAAGAUCUAUAGAGAUAGAUCGAGAAGGCUUAUAGGAUUAAGCCAAGAUACUUACAUUGACAAAGUGUUGAAGCGGUUCAGCAUGGAAGAGGUGAAGAAAGGGUUGUUGCCUAUGUCACAUGGCAUACAUCUCAACAAGACUCAGUGUCCUUCGACUGCUGAUGAGCGGGAUCGCAUGAGUAGAGUGCCAUAUGCCUCGGCUAUUGGAUCUAUCAUGUAUGCAAUGAUAAGUACUCACCCAGAUGUUUCAUAUGCGCUAAGUAGGACAAGCAGACACCAGUCUGAUCUGGGUGAGAGUCACUGGACAACGCUGAAAAACUUUCUUAAGUACUUAAGGAGGACUAAAGAUAUGUUCCUCGUCUAUGGAGGUGAGGAGGAGCUCAUUGUAACAGGUUACACCGAUGCUAGUUUCGAAACUGACAGAGGUGAUUCAAAGUCACAAUCAAGAUUUGUGUUCACGCUAAAUGGUGGUGCUAUUAGUUGGAAGAGUUCCAAGAAGGAGACGGUGGCCGAUUCUAUGACAGAAGCCGAGUACAUCGCGGCUUCGUAAGCCGCGAAGGAGGGUGUUUGGAUGAGAAAUUUCCUUAUUGAGCUUGGUGUGUUCCCAGAUGCGUCCAGCCCAUUGAAUCUCUACUGUGAUAACAAUGGGGCAAUUGCAUGAGCAAAGGAGCCAAGGAAUCACCAGAAGAAUAAACACGUUAUGCGGCGAUUUCAUCUUAUUAGAGACUUCGUUAAUCGGAUCUGGAAAUGCAUGGCCACGCUACGUAUGGUUAAGAGUUAACCUACAAAGGGAUUCCGAAUCACAGGAUCGAGAAAGAGCGGUCGGCUUGAAGCUAGACCAAAUAUCGUGAGGCAAAGGGAAUAGCAUGUACAUAAUGUUGUGACGGUUCAUCUGAUAUGAUCUUCGUGUGCGUAUUGGAGUUGGCAGGUCUUGCUAGAGGCCGCUACCGACUAUUGGGUCGAGUAGGAGUACUCGGGCCAUGUCUAUAUGUAUCCGAACCCAUAGGGUCACACACUUAAGGGGCUGGAAGCCCAAUUCAGAUAUGAUAUGAGUUCGAUCAGGUUUAGAAGUAGUAAUGGGCCUCAGACCCAGAGGCCCGUUAGGAACCUCUAUAAAUAAAGGGGUGGGGCGCCCUAGGGUUUCAUCCCUUUGGUCGAAACACAUCUGCCACACCUCCCACGCCCUCGCCUGUUACAACUCGCGGACCUAGUAGUCCGGCUUGCGACGCUUCCUCCCUGCAUGUGUGGAUACCUUGGAGGUGUUGCACCUGCAGCAAUUGGACGAGCUACUGACGAGCCACGAUGAGCCGACGACGAGCCGCGGCACGAGGACGACCUUGCUGCAUGUGGACGAGCUGCUGAGUAGCUACUCGACGUCGACGUGAUCAACUACGUGUUCGACUACGUUGAUCGACUUCGGUACCCCAAUGCGAUUCUACAUCUUCCACACCAGUGCGUCAAGUGGUAAUCCCGUGAUCAAUAUACGGCAGUUUUCCUGGUUUAAGCGGUAGAAAAAUUUUGUUUUGCACUAGCGUAGCCUACCUCGUAUCCCAACAGGUAUAUUAAUGCAAAUUUCUGCAAGGUGUCAAGAUGACUGAUGGUUACGCGUCUAAUAUCAAGUGAUGUGUGGAUGUGCCAAGGUGUAAGCUUCCUGAACUCAAAACUCAUGACUGCCAUGUUAUAUUUCAGAAACUGUUACCCAUUGUGGUUCGUAACAUACUGCCACAAGAGGUUGUUAAACCACUGAUUAAGCUUAGUAGGUUCUUCAAUGCAAUAUGUUCAAAAGAGUUGUGCUUCGAAUAAUUAGAAAAAUUGAACAUUUCGAUUAGAGAGACUCUUUGUCGUCUAGAGAUGAUCUUCCCACCAGCUUUUUUUGAUAUCAUGAUGCAUUUGUUAGUUCAUCUUGCUGAAGAGGCUAAACUAGGAGGACCUGUAUGCUAUAGAUGGAUGUAUCCAAUAGAGAGGUAUCUACAUACGCUGAAAGGUUAUGUGUGGAACAAAGCCUAUCCUUAAGGUUCAAUAGCAGAGGGAUAUAUACUAGAGGAGUGCAUGACUUUUUACUCUCGCUUUUUGGAUGACGUGGACACCAAGAUUAAUCAUCCAGAGCGUCAUGAAAGCACGACAAUAAAUGAACCACCAGCUGAUUUAAGCAUAUUCAGCAACAUUGAUUAUACUAAGAAAGGAUUUGCAAUUGAGCAAAUUGCUAGGCUACAUAUGCAACAGAUGAGGCACUGGAUAUUAACAAAUUGUGAUGAGACUAUUCCAUGGGCCAAGUAAGUAGUAAUUUUAAUUUACUUACUUUCAAAUUUGCACAUACAUGUUUUUUUGCUAACUUUGUAUUGCCCCAUUUUGCCCUUUACUGUAGUGAGCAUAUGGAUUUACUCAGAAAAUAAUGUGUCAGGAAUGUUGAACAAUGUCAUAGAGAUCAAUUUGUAAGCUAGUUUGAGCGUAAGGUGGGCUACAAUUUCAUUUAGCUUUUAUUGCCUUUAGUGCACGUGUACUUAUACAUUGUUACAAAUAGGCUAAUUGACAUUAGGAUUCUUUUUAUACAUCUUGGAGAUCAACAAACUUUAUGCAGAAGGAAAAACAAGUGAUGCCAUGGAUGCGCUUUCUCAGGGACCAGACCAUCAGGCAUGUGUUUUCAACAGGUGCUUCAUCAAUGGAUUUCUGUUCAGAACUACUCAUGUAGAGAAGAAUCUGAUUACAUAAAAUAGUGGUGUUGUUGUGAAUGGUGAUCCUAAUACUGGCAACAUCGACUGGUAUGGUGUAGUCAAGAAAAUUUACGCACUAGAUUUCCCUGCACAAAAGGAAGUCAUCAUGUUUCAAUGUGACUGGUAUGAUGUGCCUGUUGCUAGUAGGACCAAAGGUAGAGGAUUCAACAAGGAUCAGUAUGGUAUUAUAGAUAUCGAUACAACUCGAUUGCGAUAUUUAAAUGAACCUUACAGUUUGGGGACACAGGCUCAGCAAGUGUUUUAUGUGAAAGGUUCGAAGAAACCAGAUUGGUGCACUAUAAUUAGAAUGAACCCCAGAAAUGUGUUCGCCAUGCCCGAAUAAGAUAACCAGGAAGAAAUUGAUGUUGAUUCACUUGAUGUCGGAGAGGGAGAUAUGAUCGAUUCGGGCAAUCAUGAAGAGUUGAAAAAUUGGACUAGGUUAGGCAUCGAAGGUGUCACUGGUGAUGCUUUUAUUAUUCAAAAGGCACUUGCUGAGUCCAUACCUGAACCAAGAACUAUUGGCUUAGUAGAUGAAGAAGAAGAAGAAGACAUAGAUGACUACAUCGAUGAUGAAUACGUUGCACCUAUGAAUUCUACUGUGGAAGCACCGGAGGAUGUGUUUUUUUGUUUAAGUGUCCUAAUUUGUAGCACCUAAGUUUGCAAUUAAUGGUGAAUAUGACAAGAGAAUAAACUGAUAAUUGGGGAUUUGGUGGUACCACUUGGAUGCUGCCUUCAUCGGUGACUUGGAGUUGAAGAAAUUGGUGGAGGUCACCACAACCCACGAAGGCUCAGCGAGGGUCACGUGCGCGAGUCUCCAGCCCCGCGGCGGUCGACGACCUGGCAGGACGCUUGGUUGCGGAAGGAGCCGGGGUGGCACAGGAUCUCGAGGUGGCGUAGGAGCUUGGGGCGGUGUGAUUUGGGGCCUAUAGGAUUGAGGAAUGGAAGAGGGGGUUGGUGGCAGGGCAACUGAUUACGGACGAAGUGAGCAAAACAGAGCUGAUUUCGUAAUGGGCCAGCCCACUUACAAAAUCUGGUGCGCUAGCGUUCAUGGCCACAAUUUUUAGUACCACCUCGCUCACGAAGAAGCUCCUUGCCUUACUUAAAAGCAGAGGCGCACAAGCAACAUCGAAAUCCUCUGACCUAUCAUUGUUUUGCCAUCUCAUUCGCUACCUGACUACUUGCUCUUGCUGGACUCAGUUGGGCUCCCUCUAAAGGUUGAGCCUGAUCGGGCCCUCCUUUUUUUUAAAUUUCAUUUUUUAUUUUCAUCUAAGUUUGGAACUACAUAUAUUGUACAUUUGGUUAGGCCUUUUUAUAUUUUCAUUUAAUGGUACAUUCGAACUACAUAUUUCCUUCAUUAGAAUAUUAAUAUUUGUUGAGUGCCACUGUAGUUGGCAUCAGGCAUUAAAAAAAGAUCACCAUGAACAAGGGGAAUGCACAUGCUAGUAACACGUUGAAUAGCAGAUCAAUCUUCAUUAACCGCAAACAUAGUUCCAAUAGUACAAGUUGAGCCAACCAAUCAUGGACAUCAUGAGGCAAAAGCAAAAGAAACGCAAAAGCUACGGUAAUUCACAACUGCAUACAAAGAGAGAAUUAGUUAUCUAUUCCCAUUCUUCUUUCGAACGCCACAAUUUCUUGGCGUAUCCUACAGUCCUCGCUACAAAACAACGUAGCUUGUGCCCAGCCCUAAACCUUGCCGCAGUCACCUCCAGCGCAUGGGAAGUCACCAUGAACUGGUGCUGGCGGAAGCAGAUCGCCAUGCCCGUGCCAUGUAACUCUGGUGACGAGGUAGGUGGCCUCCUUGUGGCACACCUGGCAGCCAUUGUUGCGCAGCUUCUUUGGGUCGCUCGCUGCCGAACCAUCCUCGCAUUCGACGCAGCGGAUGUACAUCUUCAUGAUGUUGUUGUCCGCGGUGCCACUGUUGUUCUUGUACAUCAUCAGGGCGUACAGAUAGGCCCCCACAUUGUGCCUACUCGCGGUGGCGUGGGGGAGCUCGUGGAGCGAUGGUUGGGAAGCGGCGAAGAAAUCUACUAUCUCGGUGAGGGUGCAGGCCUCCGGGUUCCCCACGCGAACCAGCAGAGGGAGGAGGGCGUAGUACCUGUCAAGCUCGUUCCAUUCCAUAUCCUCCUAGAACGUUCUGAGCAAUGCCACGCGUCGUCCGACGGAGGGGUUGCCGCACGCAUGGUGCAUGACACGGCAGGUCGCCCGUAGCCUACCGAGGUCAUCCAUGGGCUGGAAGGAGGUUGCAGCAACGUGCCCGGCGAUCUCAGUGACCAGCUCCAUAGGGAGAUCUUCCAGCGAUCGGCAUUGCCUCGACGCCAUGAAUGCUGGAGAGGCGGAGGGUAAGGAAAUCAAAAGGGGAAUGCUGUAGAGGCGGAGGGUACCGGAGGAGUUAUUGGGAACUGCCGAAGAGCGCAAGGAGGAGACGAGGAGACGGGGAGAUAAGGAGGCGCUGUCGUUUCUUAGAUAUAUAUGGCAGGCAACCAUCUGAGCAAGAACAGGAUUUUUGGUUUCUGCUUUCACCCGUGCGGUUGACAUGCAGGUCCCACCUGUGAUUUGGAUCUUUAACCGAGCACUGAAAAUUGUGGAUUUUAAUUUCAUGAGGCACUAGAUUGUUGAUAGUGUUCGGAGGGGCCUCCGAUUUAAGUUUUGUCUUGGCUCAGGCCCCUCAAAACUCAGGAUUGGCUUGGUAGUUGCAUGAUGACUUGUUUAGGUGCUACACCUACGCCUGCCAGGCCAAGCAGUUGCCACAGCAGUAGAAGCUGUAGAACAAGAUGAAAUGUCCCAGGCCCCUCGAAACUCAAAACUGGCAGCCCAGCACUGUACCUGACACAUAAAGCUUCUUCCUUGUAGCACUGUGCUGAAAGACCGGUUAAAGGGCGACUUUGCAUGGGGAAUCAACACGAGCAGCGAAUGGACUACUGGGUAAUAAAUGGGAUCUGCAUAGGGAAGCUCCGCGACCGUGCGAAUACUAACCUCCCGCUUUGACCAAAUCAUUGAGCCGCUCACAAGGGCGGCCAACACGCCUGGCACUGCGUCUUCUUUGAGGCAGUAACGGCGGAUGUGCGUCGGGAAGCAGCGCGAUUGAACAGUCUUUGAGCAAAUGUUUUUUGCGGCAAUAACUGCCUCACGUCGUGCAUGUUGGGGAAGGCACGUAUGCUAGUUACAUAUCACAUUGGGGAAGACUGCUAGGUAAUUUACAUAUCAUGUUCAAGUGCUUAUAAUUGCUAACAUGAAACAAAAAAAUACAGCAUAUGACGUUAAACAAUCAGAUACCUAUAGUCUACUAACAUGAAACUAUUGAGAACCAAUGGUGGUCACCCUUGGAUGAUGAGUAAUUGACAACAUGGUCAGAUACCUCUAAUUUACAUAUCAUGUUUGAUGUUGUUCUUGGCUUGUGAUGUGCAGGUCUAGGAUGCGGUGUGACGGCCGAUGGCGUGCGGUGAAGGUCAAGCGAAAGGUUCAUGCUGAUGGACCAAGGGCGGUGAAGGAUGAACAUGAGUAGGCUUGAACCGAUGGACCUGAGGAGUCCGGGCAGAGUCAUGGGCGGUCCACAUGGUGCACGGAACGGCAAGACAACAUGAUGGAAAUGGAGACGACAUCGGUCGAGUCAAACAAGACGGAGGCAACUCAAGUAGGUGGCCCGGGAGCCGGGAGCGAACAACUUGGAGGCGCGUGGUGGCCAAGCGAAGAUGGAUGGUUUGGAUGGUUUGGGCCUCAAAACCACCGCGCUGGUAGGUUUCCCAGUUUGGGCCUCAAAACCGGAGGCGAGCCUAGUGCGGCCGGAGCUUCGAGAAGGAGGGCACAACCAUCUUGUGAAGCUUGCGUCGAGGCAAAGCAAAGUCGUGAGGGUGGCGUGUACGUUUGAUGAGUGCACAAAAACUUGGACCAAAAUGCCCUGCGUGGGUUGUUAUCUUAGUAGUAGCUAUAAGGGUAGUUUAGUCUUUUAUCCGUGCCUAUAGAUAGACAUGGGGGGCUAAAGUUUUCAGCACCUCUUCCACCUAUCUACCGCCACCUCUCUCUCAAGUAUUUCAUUUGGUUUUUUCCUCUCUCUCUCUCUACUCUCUCCUAGAGGUCCGCGGAUGUUUUGAACACUGAAUCCGUGUAUUGAACCGAAGUUUGUUGCAGGAAUGGAGGACCUAACCUCCUCGAGUCCUCCGUGUGUUGGGGGAUGACGGUUUUGUGAAACUCUCAUUUGUGUUGUUCGCGUUCUUGUUUUCUUCCUUUUUCCCUUCUCACUUUUUUGUUCGAUUCAUGAUUUCUAGGGAGUCUUGACUCAAACCGAUCAUUUGGAAAUGAACUAGGAUGUGAGUGAAGUGCUUCUACCAAAGGAAUUCAUCUAACUCCUCACGAGUUCAUAGAUCAGAGCGAUUCAAGUUCUAGGGUUGAAAAAGCGGUGUUCUUCACAAGAUUUCUAAUUCCCUUUGUUUGGCUAACCUUUUUGAGGUGAUCUUUUGGGAAUAUGCUUAUUAUGAUGUUGGAAGAUAUGGUUAAAAUUUCGUGAUUUUUGGAGGUCCUUUGAUCAAGUUUCGGAUUUUUCUUCCAUCUUCACGCAGGCUCUUUUGGAAUUCCGAAAUAUUCUAGACCUAAUUCCAGAAAUUUCCGGACCUCCGGAAAUCUCCGGAGGUUUCUCUGGAAAAUUCCACACGUCCGGAAUUUUUCGAAGGUUUCUCCGAAUUUUUCCGCACCGAGGUGUUGGUUUUCAAAGUUUGUCUUUCGGAGCUUGUUUGGAGCCUUUGUUGCUUCCGCUAUUCUCGAAUUGGGUUCCUAGCAUCAUUCCUAGGUCCAUUAGCUUGUGCAUAGCUAAGUGGACUUGAUGUAGCUAGAAGUGAGGCUUGUGGAUUUUUAGCCGAAGUUCUUGGAGAAAAUUUGAAUCGGCUCCCAUUCACCCCACCUCUGGUCGCCUUUCUGGUCCUUCAAUUGGUAUCAGAGCCAGUUAAGGUUUCUCAAUACCCUAAUCAGUUUUGAAAUCCACGAUGAUGAUCUCUGAGUGUUCUUCCUCGAUCACUGCACCUUACUUUGAUGGGACUGACUAUAGAUAUUGGAAAACUCGUAUGAAAGCCCAUCUUAAUAGUAAGAGAGUAGAGGUUUGGGAAAUCACUCAGGAUGUGAACUAUGUGAUUCCUGCUACUCAUGUUUCUCAAGAUGAUAGGGAUAAGUAUGACGCCAACAACAAGGCGGUUGAUAUUCUGUUUGCGAGUCUUUGCCGUGCUGAGUUUGACCAUGUCGAGGAUCUCACUCUUGCUCAUGAGAUUUGGUCCCAACUUCAGAGUUUCCAUGAGGGAAAUAGUCAGGUGAAGACUAGGCUCUUUGAGACCUAGAGGCAUGAGUAUGAGAACUUUGUCCAUUUACUUGGAGAGUCUGCCGAUGCUUUGUUUUAACAUUUCUUGGCUAUUCUGAACAAGAUGAAAGCAAAUAUCACCAUCUUACCCUACACUGAUUAUGGUAGAGCCUUAAAGCUCCUGCAUGCCUUGGAUCAUGAAGUGUGGGGUACGAAGGUUGAUGCUAUCAUUGAGUCACCAAAUUAUGAGACGCUUUCCACUGAUGAGCUCUUUGCUAAGUUGAAAUCAAUGGAGGUUGACAAGAGGCUCCGAGCUAAACAGGGGAGCCCUACUGAACCAAAUAUUAUGGCUCUUAUGUCAGGCUCUGGACAGCCUAAGUCUUUGAGUGGCUCUUCUUCGAUGUCGUCUGCCCUGUCUUCUUUGGUUUCAGUGUCCGAGGAGCAGUUGGAGCUUCUUGAUGAUGAUGAGCUCACCUUCAUCACAUGGCGAUUCAUGCGCUUCAAUGACAACCGCAAGAACCGGCGAAGCAACAACAACACCUGCUUCGACUGUGGGAAGCCUGGACACUUCGCAGCUAACUACCUUAACAAGAACAAGUCCAAGAGCGGGUACAACUACAACAAGCACAAGAACAAGGAUGACACUAGGAAGAAUAAGAAGUACACCGACCAUGAGAAGAAGGAGCAUCGCAAGAAGGCCACAGUGCGCGCCUUCAUCGCCUCCCUCAGCAACGUCGACUCCAACACCAACGACCACACCGACUCAAGCUCAAGCGAGGAGGACGACGACCACAAGGCGAAGAAGAAGGAUGACAAGGAAAGCGACUCCGACAAAGAAAUUGAGGUAAAGCCUACUCCUGAAUAGCUUGCUGUAGAAGUAGAAGAACUGAAUGACUGCCUGAUCAAUCAAGAUAAAUUACUUAAGAAGGCUGCUAGAGAGCGAGUUGAGCUUAAGGCUAAGUUAGAUAGUGCCUUGAUUGUGAUUGAUAUGCUCAAGCCUGCUCCCACCGUUUCUGAUGUUGUUGAGUGUGAUGAAUGUGCUAUUCAUAUGGCUAGUAUAGCUUCUUUGCAAUCUAAGCAUGCUUUGCUUGUAGAUGAACUUGAUUUGACUAGGGCUGCUCUAGAUGAGAUUAAGACUAGACCUGUUUUGCUUCGUACUUGCAAAUCUUGCCCUACUUUACAAACUAAAUUUUAUGAUGCUUGUGCUAGGAUUAAGGUUCUUGAGAAAUCUGAAGUUUCUGUUUGCAGUGAAUGUCCUGAAAUUAGAGAUGCUUUGCAACAUGCUAAGGAUGAAAAUUCUUAUUUGCACACUAUUCUUAGUUGGGUAUCAAGUAGGAAACCUCAGCUAGGCAUGAUGAUUCAUGAGUUCAAAAGGGCUAAUGGUUUUGGGCUUGGGUCUGUUAUCAAGGGCUGUCAUUUUAAUGGGUUGCACAAGUUCUUUGAUGGGUUGUGUGAGAAGGUGGGUCAAAACAAUGGUGAGAGAAAGAAACCAAGCUACAACCAGUGUGAGCCACCAACUGACUAUACCCCUCGAGGGUCACCCACACUAAAUAGAGAGCAACCCAAUCCAUCUUGUGAGCAAAAUGUGUCUGAGUGUGUGAGAGAUGGAGUUUUCAUUGAGACACCACCCAGAGCACCCAAGAAAGCUAUUUGGUUGGAAAAUCCAAACCACCUCAAGAACAAGCUUGACACACUUCCAGAAAUUGCUCCCAAGCAUCCUUCUCCAAAACCCAAAGUCAAACCACAACCAAGAUUUAACCCUCAACCCAAAGCAAAUCCACAGCCAAAACAACCUACUAGAUUCCAUUGUGAGUAUUGCAAGAGAGGGGGUCACCUUGAGGAGUUUUGCUUUUGCAAGAAGAAGGCUUUGAGGUGUGAGUGUGAGUGGGGCUACAGGGACAUUUACCAUCCUUCUCAUGGUGUACAUGCGCCUAGAGCAGCUCCUCCACCUCGUCGUGUGGAUAGUGUGCAUUUUGCUCCUUCACAUGGUUUUGCCAGGCAUGCUCCUCGCCAUGAUCAAUAUGGCCCAGGAUGGCAUCGUCGUGGCUUUGAGUCUCGGAGCUACAAUGGACCACGUUUUCCCCCUAGUGUUGGCCGUAAUCCUCCUGUGAGAUGAGAGAUGGUUGAUUUUGCUAACCCCACUCUUGAGCAAAUGGUUCGACACUGGUAUUCUACUUGGUUUUCUAACCCCAGUGUUGAGUCAUUUGCUCAUCCUUGGUCUCACUUUGUUUGAGCAGGUCAGAGGCCUAGAGAACAUGUGGCUUAUUGAUUCCGGUUGCUCUCGACACAUUACCAGUGAUCACAGAUGGUUCUCGAGCCUCACGCCGGUGACGACCAAGGAGUACAUCACUUUCAGGGAUAAUAGCAAAGGUAAGGUUUUGUUUGAAGGUGCAACCAAGGUGAAUGAGAAUUUCAUGCUCAAGCGAGUUGCUCUUGUUGAUUCUCUUGGUUUCAAUUUACUCCCUAUGUCGCAACUGCUUGAUAAUGGUUUUGAGGUCCGCUUUAAGCAAGGGACCUUAAGGAUUUUAGACUCUCGAGGAGAUCUUGUGUUUAUGAUCGUUCCCGAGGGUCAAGUGUUUCGAGUGGAUUUUUCUAAGUCCUUUGGUCUAUCUUGAUGUUUGGUUGUUGGCUCUUCUUCUAACUCUGGAAGUGGCAUAGGAGAUUGGGUCAUUUGAGCUUUGAUUUGCUUUCCCGGUUGAGUACUCUUGAUCUUAUUUGAGGUUUGCCCAAGUUGAAAUUUGAGAAAGAUCUUAUUUGUGCUCCCUGUCGACGUGGAAAAAUGGUUGCUGCUUCCCAUCCACCUAUGAAUCAGGUGAUGACUGAGCAUCCAUGUGAGCUAUUGCAUAUGGACAUCGUUGGUCCAGCUCGUGUUUGCUCAGUUGGUGGGAAGUGGUAUGUGCUUGUGGUCGUUGAUGAUUUCUUGAGGUAUUCAUGGGUUUCCUUCAUGGAGUCUAAGGAGGAGGCAUUUCCUUUUGUUCGAGAUUUGAUCUUGAGGUUGAAAAAUGAGCGACCUAAAGAUGUCAUGAGACCUAUCCACAGUGACAAUGGCAUAGAAUUCAAGAACGCUUAUUUUAAAGCCUUUUGCAAUGAUCUUGGCCUUGAAAACUAGUUUUCAUCGCCUUGUGUCCCUCUUCAGAAUGGUGUUGUUGAACGAAAGAAUCGGACCCUUUGUGAGAUGGCUAGGACGAUGCUUGAUGAGCAUAGAACUCCUAGUAAAUAUUGGGCUGAAGCCGUUAACACUGCUUGCUAUGUUUCCAAUUGAAUCUUCUUGCAAGCGUUUAUGAAGAAAACCUCUUAUGAGUUGAUGCAUCAACGUUCCCCCAAGGUAUGUCAUCUGAGAGUGUUUGGAUGCAAGUGAUUUAUUCUUAAGCAAGGCAAUUUGGACAAAUUUGAGUCUCGGUCCACUGACGGUAUCUUUCUUGGUUAUGCAUCUCAUAGUCGUGCUUAUCGUGUACUUAACCUUUAAACUAACCGGAUUGUGAAAACUUGUGAGGUUACUUUUGAUGAAACUAUGCCUUGCACAACCCCUAUCUUUAAUGCUACAGGUGAACAUGAAAUGGGACAAAGCAUUUUUGAAGAAGAGGACAAGCAUGCUGAUAGUGGUGAUGAAGAAGAUGAUGAAGUGAACCGUGCUCCAGCUGCUGCUCCUGUACCUUCUACUUUGACUACAAGAGUUGACGGCCCUGCCACUACUUCCACUGCUUCAAGCCAUCAAUGAGUACCACUACAUGAUGAUGAAGAAGAAGAUCAGGUGAUCCACCUGUUGUUGAGGGGGAGGCGACUUCAAAACGAGAGGCUCCGCGACACAUUCAGCGUAACCAUCUUCCACAACAGAUGAUCGGUAACUUGCAUGAGCACACCACUAGGCAUAGCUCUAGGCAGAUUUCACACUUUGCACAUUCUGCUUUUGUUGCCUCUUUUGAAUUUUGAGAUAUUGGACAUGCUUUAUCUAAUUCAAACUGGAUCAAUGCUAUGCAUGAGGAGUUAGAAAACAUUGAGAGAAACAGGGUUUGGAUUUUAGUUGAACCCCUCCAAAUUGCCACCCUAUAGGAACAAAAUGGGUUUUCAAAAACAAAUAGGGUGAAAAUGGGUUGGUUGUGAGAAACAAAGUGAGGUUGGUUGCUCAAGGUUUAAGUCAGAAAGAGGGGAUAAACUAUGAGGAAACAUUAGCUCCUGUUGCCCGUUUGGAAGCGAUUAGAAUCCUUCUACCCUUUUCUAUGGCUAAAGGUCUUAAGCUCUUCCAAAUGGAUGUGAAAAGUGCCUUCCUAAAUGGCUUCAUAGAGGAGAAAAUGUAUGUGAGACAACCCCUAGUUUUGAGAGUCCUAAAUAUCCUGACUGUGUGUUCAAACUCCAGAAAGCUCUCUAUGGCCUAAAACAAGCACCUUGAGCAUGGUAUGCUAGGUUGAAAUCCUUUUUGCUUGGGAAUGGUUUGAAAUGGGGUCAGUUGAUAAAACUUUCUUUCUCCUCAGGCAAAGCAAAGACUUAAUGAUUGUUCAGAUUUACGUGGAUGAUAUUAUCUUUGGUGGUUCCUCUCAUUCUUUGGUUGCCAAGUUUGCAGAUGACAUUAGCAGGGAGUUCGAGAUGUCGAUGAUGGGUGAGUUGACUUUCUUCCUCGGGCUACAGAUCAAGCAAAGCAAGGAAGGAACCUUCAUAUACCAAGGGAAGUACAUGAAGGAUGUGCUGAGGAAGUUUGACAUGGCUGAUACUAAGCCACUGUCCACACCCAUGGGGAUAACGAUGGCACUAGAUGCGGAUGAAGAUGGUGAUCCGGUGGACCAGAAGGAGUACCAAAGCAUGAUCGGCUCCCUCCUCUACUUGACAGUGAUGAGGUCGGACAUACAUUUCACAGUGUGUCUGUGCGCUUGUUUUCAGGCUUCACCAAGGACAUCUCACCGAUAGGCAGUGAAGAGAAUCAUGAGGUAUCUUUGUUUCACACCUGAAUUCGGUUUGUGGUAUUCUGCCUCCUCGACACUCACUCCCCGCGGAUACUCCGAUGUGGACUUUGCUGGGUGUCGCUUGGAUCGCAAGUCCACCUCUAGCACUUGCCAGUUUCUCGGUUCGUCUUUGGUCUCUUGGUCUUCCCGCAAAUAGUCUAGUGUGGCUUAGUCUACCACCAAAGCUGAGUAUGUUGCUAUUGCUAGUUGUUGUUCUCAGCUACUUUGGAUGAUUUCCACUUUCAGAGACUUUGGUUUGAAUUUUACUCGUGUUCCUCUUCUUUGUGAUAGCACGAGUGCCAUUAGUGUAGCCAAGAACCCUGUUCUCCACUCCAAAACUAAACACGUUAAUGUGAGAUAUCAUUUUCUGAGAGAUCAUGUUGAGAGAGGAGAUAUUGGCCUACCUACGUUGCUACCCAAAACCAGCUCGCUGAUAUCUUCACCAAACCCCUGGAUCAAGCCACAUUUGCUCGUUUGCGGGGGGAGUUGGGUGUUUGCUUUCCUUUCUGAGUUGGGUUUUGGUGCUUCUCCUGUAUUAUAUCUGUAUAGCCUUUUCCUUUCAGCAUCUUUGUAGUAUGCUAGUUUGGCUUUUAUUGCAUCUAUAUCAUAUUGCAUUUGUAUCAUACUGCACUAGAUGAGCUUCUCUUAUAUGCCCUAACUACUGUCUUAUGCUACUUGUGAGCUAGUGCCUUGGUUGUUUACUUAGAUGCAAUGUGCAGUUAUGCUCUUGAUAAUCUUGUAUACAUGAUGAAAAUUGCUUUCUGAAAUUCAAUGCUAAAUUCUACUUUAUUAACUUGUGUAUCACCCAUGAGUAGAUGCUUAGUUUUGAUUUACCCUUGUUUGAAUGCUAGUUCCUCAUUUAGCUUGUGGCUGGAAUUCAUGUUCUUUUCAAUUGGGUCAAAGUUCUAGGUAUCAUUGCAGAUGUUUAGCCCAUGUUGCACCCCUUGGGGAAGCAUGGCUUCUUUAUGCCGCAAAGACCCUUCAUGUAUUUUGCUUGUGAAUAAUGGAAAAGGAAAAUGCUGAAAAGAAAAAUUUAUAAAUUCAUCAAGUCUUUAUGCUUAAAUGUUCAAAUUCUGGCUCGCUUAGUUGUUACAAGAUGUCUACCAAAAAGAGGUAGGCACUUGGUUUCAACAAGCCUCACAUGACUUGUGAUGUGUUGUGGGUGUCUGCACUGAUCUUUUGUCAAGAAUGUUUGUUCCUUGUAUGAGCUUUUGAUGGCCUAGUUCUUCUUGCUUGGGUAUUUUUGGACUAGGUAUUUGCUCAUGUGGUGAUCUUUUACAACAAUGCUAAAACUGGACAUUUGCUUCAGCCCCUUGCUGUAACAUGAGUUCAUCUUGUUUGUGAUGCUAUUGCUCCUUGUAAUCCACCAAGCUUAUCUCUCUUGUAGCCUUUGAGAGUCUUCUGUGGUAUAUCUGAGAAGCUUGGUAGUUUCUGCAUUUUCAUGGCAUGUUUUUUAGGCUUUCAUGCUUGACUUGAUGUUUGCAAUGCCAACAAGGGGGAGAAUUGCAAUUCAUACAGACUCUUGGGAGAAUUUGGGAGAUUUUUCAUGCAUUUCUUUCAACAAGGGGGAGAAAUUUCAUGCAUUUGCUUAGGGGGAGUGCAUUUGUUCGGGGGAGUCUAUGUGAGCUUUGUCAUGCUCUUGUGCUCUUUUUCCGGUUGCGUUGAGCUGUUUUACCUCUUCUUAAGGAGCCGGAUUUGGUUUUUCAUGUGAUUGGUGUUGAGCCUGUUUUCCACCUCUUCUUGAGGGAUCACAUGAUUUCAUCUCAGUCGUGUAGAUCCAUUGCCCUUAUAUUAGGGGACUGAGAUUUUCUAUUUUUAGUUUCUUAUUUUCCUUUUCAGAUACUAUGAAUUUGUGGUGUGUUGUCAAUGUGCUCAUCAAGGGGGUGAUUGAGGACCAAUGGUGGUCACCCUUAGAUGAUGAGUGAUUGAAACAUUGUGUUCGUUUGAUGUUGUUCUUGGCUUGUGAUGUGCAGGUGUAGGAUGUGGUGUGACGGCCAACGGCGUGCGGUGAAGGUCAAGAGAAAGGUUCAUGCCGAUGGACCAAGGGCGGUGACGGAUGAACGCGAGUAGGCUUGGACCGAUGGACCUGAGGAAUCUGGGUGGAGUCAUGGGAGAUCCACAUGGUGCACGGACUGACAAGACAACAUGACGGUGAUGGAGACGGCAGCGGUCGAGUCACGCGGGAUGGAGACAAGUCAAGUAGGCAGCUCGGGAGCCAGGAGCAAAUGACUUUGAUGCAUCAAAGGCUUGGCGGAGACCGGACACACGUCGACAUUGAGGAGGUCGCGUGGCGGCCAAGCGAAGAUGGACAGUUUGGGUGGUUUGGGCCUCAAAACCACCGCGCUGGCAGGUUUCCCUGUUUGGGCCUAAAAAUCGGAGGCAAGCCCAGUGCGGCCGGACCUUCAAGAAGGAGGGCACGUGGCAUCAUCGUGAAGCUUGCGUCGAGGCGAAGCAAAGUCGUGAGGGUGGCGUGUCCGUCCGAUGAGCGCAUAAAAACUUGGACCAAAAUGCCCCUGCGUGGGUAGUUAUCUUAGUAGUAGCUAUAGGGGUAGUUUAGUCUUUUGUCCGGCCUAUAGAUAGUGAUGGGGGGCUGAAGUUUUCAGCACCUCUACCACAUCUCUACCACCACCUCUCUCUCUAGUGUUUCAUUUGGUUUUUUCCUCUCUCUCUCUACUCUCUCCCUAGAGGUCCGUGGAUGUUUUGACGCAGGAUGUUUUGGAAUUCCAAAAUAUUCCGAACCUAAUUCCGGAAAUUUCCGAACCUCCGGAAAUCUCCAGAGGUUUCUUCGGAAAAUUCCGCACGUCCGGAAUUUUUUGAAGGUUUCUCUGGAUUUUUCCGCACCGAGGUAUUGGUUUUCAAAGUUUGUCUUCCGGAGCUUGUUUGGAGUCUAUUUUGCUUCCGCUAUUCUCGAAUUGGGUUCCUAGCAUCAUUCCUAUAUCCAUUAGCUCAUGCAUAGCUAAGUGGACUUGAUGUUGCUACAAGAGAGGCUUGUGGGUUUUUAGCCAAAGUUCUUGGAGAAAAUUUGAAUCGGCUCACAUUCAUCCCCCCUCUGGUCGACUUUCCGGUCCUUCAACUAUUCUUUGCACUUAGUACAAAUUUCUACAACGAAAUCAAAUUAUGUUGCAUCUAAUCAUUACAUUGGUACAAGUCAAUCUGGAAGCCACCAUGAAAUGCACCGUACUCUAGGCCACGUUGGAAGGAUAACCUUCUAACAUGAUAGUGUUGCACAUAAACCGGGCCCCUCGAAACUCGCGCUAUAGGCUGCGGCUACAGCGGCACAGCAGCCCAACACUGUAGUACCUACUGAUUCGUACACUGGCUGUGGUCGAGCAGCAGAAGCUGCUUGCAAGCUUGUGCACGUUUGCAAUGCUCAGUCGGGAGAGGCAAAUUGGCUCGCUGAGGCUAGCAAGGAUUUUGUUGCUCUAGCAGGCUAGCUUGCCUAGCAACAUAUAGUAGGAGUAGGGUUUUAGAUGCACUACCAAACACACAUAUCCUUGCUUAGUAAACCUAGGCAAGGUUGGGCAACGGUUGCAAAGUGCCCUUGCUCUCCUCUAUAGUACCUUGCCUUUUCCCCCUUCAAAAUAAGUUCCUUGCCUUUGACUUACCAGCCUGCUGUUGUAUGUACAUAUGGUCAUGGUGGAGCCGUGGCGGCUACAUGCACAUGCGCGCAUGUGGUCAUAAAUAUCGGAGGCCGGCAACAUUGCACGUAUAUGUGGAGAGUCGACAAAGUAUCUCAAGUUUCUUGGAGAGUAAAAGUAUCCCAAAUUACUUGAGAUGUUUGACUCUCCAAGAUUUUUGGAAUGACUUAUAAUUUGGAAUGGAGGGAGUACUAUCUUAAGUUAUAUAUGCUUAUUGUGUGCCAUACUAUCACAAAGUAGACCAUGUAUAUAUACAUAUAUAUGUGUGUAUAUAUAUGUAGGGAUGAAGCAAUGAGAAUAGUGAUUACUAUAUUGAACACAUAGCUCAAAUGUUCCAAUUAAACAUGCAUGAAACAUAUGCGGAGGUGCAAUGAAAAGUGGAAAACUAUGUGGUUACUAGCUAAAUCUAUUACAACUGACCAAAGAUUAGCACAUCUUUACAGAUAAGUAUUGUGUUACAAAUUUUUAAUUGUUAGGUAUGUCUCCUAUUUUUUAUAUAAACUUUGAAUACUUAUAAUAUACCUCUAGAAAUUAGUAAUUAGUCCAUAUGGGAGUAUAUGUUGAUGGACUAGUUUUGUUAAUAGUUGAUCACAUAACGUAUAGAGAUAUACCAAAACUAGUCACAAUGUGGUCCGGAACGAACUAUAAAAGGCAUGGUAAUCAUUUGUUUUCGCUAUUAUGCUUUAAAAAAAAGAAACACCGCCUCCUUCUUCUCCCCAACCAAUUUUGCCAUUUGCCCUGCCCAAUUUUUUCCCCUAGCCCCACCCAAAUAAGCCUUCCAUAUUUACCAAACCACAUCUACUAAAAGUCCGGCACCAUCAAUCAUGUUUCCUUUACGUACGUGGGGGAGAGGGGGGCGCCGAAUCUCGGUUCCUUGUCGAGAUGGAGACUGAAGAUGAAGAUAGGAGGCCGAGUCCUCCCAGCACCGCCGGCGACCAAGAGACGAAUAUCGCAUGGUCUUUUGAUCAGGAUGAGUUUUUGUUUGAACCUCCCCGAACCAGGUAUGUUUUAUGAUGCUAUUGCAAAUCCAAUCGAAAUUCACAUAGGGUUAUAGUCCUAUCUGAUAUUACAUGAUCUAGAUACAUGACUAGGGUUAUAGUCCUAUUUGAUAUUGGAUGAUCUGGAUACAUAUGGAUUAAUAUUCCUGCGCGUGUAAUAGUAAGGACAUUACCUUGGUCAGUGAAUGCUUGCAUAUAUGUUUGAUUGUCAAUUUGUAUGCUUAUCACUACCUAAUGCUUUUGUUGAAUGCAUGUAUGUUUUUGUAUACCUCUUUAUAUAAUUACAUAACUAUGUCUGAAUUGUGGUUGCAGACUCACUGGUGAGAGGUGCCGUGUAAUUAUCACUUGCGCUAGGGCACCUUUGGGUCAUGAAAUUGCCUAGUUCACUUGUGAUAGGGCUAAUUUUUAAACUUGGUUUGUAUAAAGUCAAAGCUCGGCUACUGUGGAUGUGCUUUCUUGUACUAUAAGGAGCGAUGUGGCAGGAACACAGCAAGCCUCGUCUGUCGAGCAUACAUUCCAGGCCCACGAGUAGGCCUUGUGCGGCCGACUAAGGGGCGUACUCAGACAUAAUCAAGACUAGGGGCCUACGCGGCAAGAAGCAUAUCCCACUCGGACUAGUUAGGUGUGCAUAUGGAAACUACUCAGUCUACACUGAGUAGAACUCUGUAAUCAUACCCGACUAGGAUUCAAACUUAUAACUCUGCCCUCCCGAGUAUAUAAGGGCGGGCAGGGACCCCCUCAAAGACAAUUCCUUCAACUCAUCCAAGUUCAAUACAACCAACUCACAGGACGUAGGGUAUUGCGCGAUCUAGCGGCCCGAACCUAUCUAAAUCAUGUUCCUUGCAUCACCAUUGACUCCUUGAUUCUUGACGGCCCUUACCCUCUAGGCGGGUUGCUGGUCUAAAACACCGACAGCUGGCGCGCCAGGUAGGGGCAGUCGUCGAGUUUCUCCGUGCGAGUUCAAUGGCACCUAUCAUCAUCAGGCCUGCUUUCACCUUCGAGGCAGGCGCAACCUUCAUUUUCGGAUCCUGGCUCUACAUCGCCGACAGCGCUGGAUCGUUUCAGCGCUACAUCGUCAGCAUCCAGGAGAAGAAACUCCUUGACAAAAGCUUUUCUCAGCCGAAAACCGAGGAUUUGGUGAGGAAAAACCAAAACUUCAAAAUCAGCAACACCGAGUUCAACUACACUUCGGACUCGACCCCAAUUUGGACUAGUCGAUCCCAGUCACUUCACAAGUCGACUUCGACUCCAAAACGGUUCCCAUACGGACUCCGCAAUACAGCCGAAGUCUACCAAGGUCUCCUCACUCGAACUCAACUCGAACACGGGGAAAAUGAGGACUGCGACUACAACUCGCACUGUGUCCCAGAGAUCCUGCUAUCAGGACCAGCCCAAGGUCUGGUAAUAACUUCAACACCGCAAGGCAGAUUCGUUCACUGGCCAGGAAUGAGACCAUCUCUCCUCGCCCGUGACUACGAGUCACGCCUUGUCGCUUACAUAGACAACCUUUCGUACCAAGACGGCGUCCCACUCACUUCAAGCCGCGAGAAAAGUUCCACAAAAAUCGCAACAUCAAGCUCUGGAAGCUACUACCCAGACAGACAAGUCUGUGUCAUUACUCAAAAUAACAACAUGGGUACUAGCCAACAGAGAACCCCUCGACGAAUAGCACAACUCGACAAUGUCUCAGAGGACAAGUCAUUAGCUGACGCCCCACAAGAUGAAACUUCCGAUCAAAGAAACCAAAGAAGGAUGCAAAAUAUUACUCAGGCUGAACGCCGUCAAAUGCUAGCUACAAACAUUCCCAUCACAAACCUGGAAAGAGCAUUUGACGCAGUACAAGCUCAAGAGCACAACACUCCACUCGCAGCAAUUGCCUCAAUCAACCUUAUAUCAACUCUCAUACCUCAAGAAAGAGACAAUGAAAUGACAGCUCAACUUGUGCAACGAGGCAAUGGACUAAUUGCACAACUCGCAGAACAAGCUUACAAGUUACUUGAUAAAGAAUCACCAAUCCCAUCUGUUCCUCGCAAUUCAGCUCAUCGAGAGGGCAGUAGGGGUGCCGCAGUCAACAAUGGCUUCCACGAAGCACAAAGAAAUAACAACGAAGUAGUCAACCAACCAAGGCAACAUAGCCAAGGACUGAGCAAACACGAAGCUCCAGUGCGACAAAAAGAUGUUGGAAAAAUCAGUUGCACCAAUUCCGCAAAAAGUCCUCGCCACAUCAGGAAAAAUCAUGAAAUAUCAAAUUUCAGUGACCUACGGGAAAUAAUCAAUAGUUGACACAAGCGAGAAGUCGACAAUUUCAACCACUUUCCUACCUUCACAACUCAGGUAAUGAUGACAGGACUACCCGAAAAAUUCAAGCCAACAGGAAUCACUAAGUAUGAUGGCAAGCAAGACCCAAUUCAAUGGCUCCGAUGUUACUCGUUGGCAGUCCAGGCAGCCGGAGGCAAUAACGACACCAAAGUCAUCCAUUUUCCCAUAUGCAUGGAACCCACGCCUCUAACAUGGCUUGAGUCACUCAAGCCUACAACAAUUGACUCUUGGGAAGACUUGACAAAAGCUUUCACCAACAACUAUGCCGGCUCCAUGACUAACCAGGCAACAAGAUCGAUCUAAGUCAAGUAAAACAGAAAGAAGGCGAAACACUACGCGACUACUUACGAUGAUUCUUUGAAAAGAAGGCCACUAUAGUCGAUAUUUCAGAAAUAGACGUCAUCGAGUGCUUCUAAAAUUGCCUCUAUGAUCGACGAACAUACCAAGACUUCGGCAGACGACGACCAACCACUAUCAAAGAUCUCAAAGUCAUGGUGCAACAAUGGGCAGAUGAAGAAGACAAAGAGCAAGAACAGUUCGGCUCUCAUCGCAACCGCGGGCGCGACAAUAACAACCAUGACCAGAUAGGAACCAACACAGCGAUACUCGAGACAACUUUUCGAGUAACCAAAAUUGCAAACAGAAACCUGACAACACCAUUGCUUCCAUGACAAACUCAGGGAAGAAGGGAUCCCGCAAAAAUGAUGACGGACCAAGCUUCACCGAACUACUCAAAAAACAGUGCCCAUGGCACCCAACUAGCAAACACUCAGCAAUAGACUGCUACAACAUGCGCCGAGUAAUGCAAGAUUUGCCCGCACCACUACCUCCCAAGGAGUACAACAAGAAAAAAGAUAAAGACAACAACAAAGUCCAUAAAGAUGAAGAAGGAGAAGGCGACUUCCAAACCACCUCCAAAACAGUCAAUGUCAUCUUUGGCGGAAUCCCGAGUACCGCACCCAAGCGAUCCAGUAAACUGGUACUCAGGGAAAUCAUGGCCAUCGAACCAACAGAUCCAACACCGCUAAAAUGGUCAGAGGUACCCAUAAACUUUAGCAGAAGGGACCAAUGGACAAAAUUCUCAGAACAAGGCUGAUUUCCUCUAGUACUCGAUCCUGUCGUUGCAGGCUCUAAACUGACAAAAGUACUCAUCGAUGGUGGAAGCGAACUCAACAUCAUUUUCGCCAAAACACUAAGGAAAAUGUGUCUUGACAUCACAGACAUGCUCACUCCAACAGACUCACCCUUCUACGGAAUCGUACCAGGAAACGCAGUCAUACCACUAGGACAAGUCGUCCUACCAGUUACUUUCGGAACCAAGGAACACUACCGAACCGAGUACAUUAGAUUUGAAGUCACCAACUUCGAGACCUAUUACCAGACCAUACUCGGGAGACCAGCUCUGGCUAAGUUCAUGGCCAUACCACACUACGUUUACUUGGUACUCAAAAUGACAGGACCCAAAGGGGAACUAACGCUACGAGGAGAUUUACGGCGAUCCUACGAGUGCGACACCGAAGCCGUAGAGAUUGCCGCAACCUCUCAAGCACCCAGCCCUAUGCAACAAGUUUUCUCAGCUUCAAAGAAACUUCACCCAACAGAACUCAAAAUACUAGAAAAUAAGCCAGGGUCAGCAAACAUGAAGCCAACAAAUGAGAAAGACUUCAAAACAGAUGUCCAGACCGGCGACUCUUCUAAGACAGCUCUGAUUGGAACAAGGCUAGACCCUAAAUAGAAAACCGCGCUCAUCAGUUUUCUUCGGGCUAACCACGAUAUCUUCGCCUGGAAACCAGCUGACAUGCCUGGUGUGCCCAAGGAACUAAUUGAGCACUCUCUAAACGUUGACCCCAAAGCUACCCCAAAGUGACAGCCCCUCCGCAGGUUCGCCCAAGAUAGGCGAGAAGCAAUCAAAAAAGAGCUAGCCAAACUACUCGCAGCAGGGUUCAUCAAAGAAGUCUUUCACCCUGACUGGCUAGCCAAUCCUGUACUCGUUCGCAAGAAAAACUACGAAUGGAGAAUGUGCGUUGAUUACACAGACCUCAGCAAACAUUGUUCAAAGGACCCCUUUGGACUACUCAAGAUCGACCAAGUAGUUGACUCUACUACUGGGUGCGAUUUACUAUGCUUUCUCGACUGUUACUCGGGUUACCAUCAGAUAAGCCUCAAAGAAGAAGAUCAAGCUAAGACAGCCUUCAUCACUCCAUUUGGGGUCUUUUGCUACAAAACAAUGUCAUUUGGAUUAAAAAACGCGGGAGCAACUUACCAACGCACUAUAGAGAUGUGCUUCGAAAAGCAAUUGCAUUGGAACAUAGAAGCUUACGUGGACGACAUAGUCAUCAAAACAAGAAAUCAGGAGGAUCUAAUCGUCGAUUUGGAGGAAACCUUUUCAAGCCUACGAGCUUUCUGAUGGAAGCUUAACCCUACCAAAUGCAUUUUUGGAGUACCUUCCGACAAACUACUCGGGUUCAUCAUUAGCCAUCGCGGCAUUGAGGCCAACCCAGAUAAAAUAUCUGCCAUCACAAAUAUGCACGCACCAGCUAGCAUCAAGGAUGUGCACAAACUCACGGGCUGCAUGGCAGCCCUUAAUCGAUUCAUCUCGAGACUUGGAGAAGGAGGACUACCCUUCUUCAAGCUUCUCAAACGACAGGACAAGUUUAAAUGGACAGAAGAGGCAGACAAAGCAUUGACGCAACUCAAAGACUUUCUGUCAAAACCACCAAUCCUCACUGCUCCAUCUCCAAAUGAGGACUUGCUCAUAUACAUAGUGGCUACUACUCACGUCAUCAGCACCACAGUAGUAGUCGAACGGUCUGAACCAGGCCACGUUUAUAGAGUCCAGAGACCCGUGUACUUCGUCAGCGAAGUACUCUCCGACACCAAAACUCAGUACCCGCCAAUACAAAAGCUGCUCUACGCAAUCCUGCUCACUUCACAAAAACUACGACAUUAUUUUCAAGAGCACACCAUUACAGUCAUCACCGACUUCCCGCUCGGUGAAAUCCUCCACAAUAGAGAUGCCACGGGUAGAAUUUCCAAAUGGGUAGUAGAGCUCGGAGCCCUAUCCUUGGACUUCAAACCAAGGACAACCAUCAAAUCUCAGGCUUUGGUCGACUUCAUGGCUGAAUGGACAGAAAACCAAGUGCCAACACCAGUCGAGAGGCCAGAGCACUGGGUAAUGUACUUUGACGGUUCCCUCAAACUCAAAGGAGCUAGCGCAGGCAUACUCCUCAUUUCCCCAAAAGGAGACCAACUCAAAUAUGUACUACAAAUCUUUUGGGAAGUCUCAAACAACGAAGCCAAGUACGAAAUACUGUUACACGGCCUUCGUCUUGCAAUCUCCCUCGGAAUCAAAAGACUACUCGUAUACGGCGACUCACUAGUCGUUAUAAACCAAGUCAAUGACGAAUGGGAUCGAAACAAGGACAACAUGGAUGCCUACUGCAAAGAAGUCCGUAAAUUGGAAAACAAGUUCUCAGGCUUGGAAUUUCAUCAUGUCAUCCGCGACAACAACGUAGCCGCUAACGUAUUAUCAAAAAUGGGUUCAACUCGUGCAGAAGUUCCAGCAGGAAUUUUUGUACACGAACUCCAUAAACCGUCUAUACCUAAACAAGUUACACCAUUAGUGGUCAAGACUACAGAAACUAGAUGGGAAAUUAUGAUGAUAGAAGUCGACUGGAGGUCACCCUUCAUCGACUACGUCAAAUACCAUAAGUUACCAUCUGACAAAAGUCAAGCUGAACAAAUCUCCCGAUGAGGAAAAAAUUACGUUCUAGUCGAAGACAAACUCUACAGAAAAAGCGCAUCAUUAGGGGUACUCAUGAAAUGUGUCACCCGAGAAGACGGCCAAGAAAUCCUGGAAGAAAUUCACAAAGGGAUUUGUGGCAACCACGCAUCUUCACGAACAAUCGUACGCAAAGCUUUCCGAUCGGGCUUCUACUGGCCCAUGGCGUUGGCCGAUGCAAAACAAAUAGUUCGAAAAAGGCUGUCAAUUCUUCACUAAACAACAACACGUCCCUACCUACAAACUAGUCACACUCCCUCCAACAUGGCCUUUCGCUUGCUGGGGGCUAGACAUGAUAGGACCACUGCCAACUGUGCCAGGAGGUUUCAACUUAGUACUCGUGGCCAUCGACAAAUUCACCAAAUGGAUCGAGGUCAAACCAGUCACUUGCCCCAAGGCAGACCGAGUCCUCGACUUCUUGGAUGAAAUCAUACACCGUUACGAUUUUCUAAACAGAAUCAUCACAGACCUGGGAUCCAACUUCAACAACCACGACUUCUGGGAAUACUACGAAAAUAGUGGAAUUGAUGUCCACUACAUCUCAGUUGCUCACCCACGAGCCAACUCGAAGCUCUCAAGAAAAGGCUACAUGAUAUUUGCAAUACAAAAGGAGGGAAAUGGCUCAAAGAGCUACCUAAUGCUCUGUGGGGACUACGAACCCAACCAUGCAAGCCUACCGGGUUCUCCCCCUAUUUUUUGGUAUAUGGCUCAGAAGCUAUCUUACCCGCGGACGCCAUAUGGCAGUCUCCUCCAGUCGAGUAAUACGAUGAAGGAAUAGCAGAAGAAACAAGAUGCACGGAUCUGGAUAGUCUAGAAGAAACGAGAUGGGCAACAUUAGUUGCUAGAUACCUCGACGGGUUAAGACGAUACGACGACCGCAAUGUUAAGGAGUGAUCCUUCAACUUAGGCGACAUGGUCCUCAAACGAAUCCAGGACAUGUCAGGGUUGCAUAAAUUCAAUUCACCAUGGGAAGGUCCCUACAUCAUAUCCAAGGUCACAGGACCUGGAUCUUACAGACUACAAGAACUUUCAGGAAAGCAAGUACCAAAUUCCUGGAAUAUAGAACAUCUCUAUCGCUACUACCCAUAGUAGACAAAUGCACUCGAGCCCUCACCCCAAGCAUCUCAAAACAAACUCAUUCCAGCUACUGGGAGCCGAUAGCCCAACUACCGACUACAGAUGCACUACUCUUGACACAAGACUUUACCAAAGGUCAGCAGGCACCCCAGCCUCAGUACGAUCCAAAACUUCAAAGGGCACAGCAAUUUUUUACUCGAGACUGAUUCAAGCAGAAAAUUUUGAAGUUACAUGUGAUUACUCAUAAUAGAGUAAGGGUACUCAAAAUACAACAUAACAGCACAGCAAAUACUACAAGCAAUUGCCUACUGGCGGUCUGCAUUUAAGCCUUAGGCUUUUACAAUAUCACAACGCCACACAGGCCUACCGACUACUACAAAGGGAAGGGCCCACACGCAAGGAAGCUGCGCAAAAUGCAGCCAUAUCCAGGUCCUCCUCCCAAACAACACUAGGAACUCCUGCAUCGCCGCUACCUUGACAGCAACAAUGAUGAAUCCCGAGUGCUGCAUAAGGGAGAAAAAACAAGGCUGCUCUCUUGCUAGCCUUGGCGAGCCGUCCCACACUGCAUGCCACACCUCCACCUCUAAGAGAGCCGGAUAAAGACCACGGCACUCAUCACCCAUCACUCGCGAGUUCCAGCACGGACUUAGCUGGAUCACGAGCUGCAAAAUGAGGCACGCGAUGAACCCUUCUACGAGGAUUCUUCUAGCAUCGCGGCUAUCCCUACGAGCGCUAGAGUCUGUGGAGGGAAGGUGGCUCUAAUCUACGAGGAAUCUUCUAGCACCGGAGUACUCUUUGAAGGCUCUCUACAAUAAAAUAAUAGCAACCAAAAGCAAUCCAUCACUACUCAAGCCUGAUCCCGAUCGACCUCCAUGGCAGUCUAUUUAUAGCCGAACGCCACAACUACCAACCACUCGGGAGUUACUAUUUGCUCGUGACAACAAAAGUACUGAUGAGUCAAGACGCUCUCUGACUCCAUUCACGUGAAAGCAUUCACUCAACAAAAGACAAAAGAGUACAGUACACCCGUGCACCCCCCCCCCUCCGAGAAUAAAGGGACAAAGUACUUGACAAUCGCGCGACUACUCGACUAAGUACUCGGAUUUGCUCCCAAUGACAAGGAUUGACAAUCAUUCAUUUCAAACAAAAUUCAAAACAUUGUCUCGAGUACUCGGCAGAUUACAAGGCUACACAAGCCUGAGGCUCCUCCAAAGAUACAAGCUCAAACAUCUUCAAAGCAAUUGGCUCAGCCUCCUCGAGGUAUUGCGCAUAAGCAUCCUCCAUGCAGUUCUGAGCAACGCCGUCACCAGCUGCCAUUAAAUCUGCCCGCGGGUAAUAAGACUUGACCACCGCAAGGACUUGUUUACGAACAGCCUUUGCAGAGGCCAACAACCUUGCUCGGAGCAGUUUUCCACCGCUCGACUAGUGAACGGAGCUCUGCGUCGUCCUCAAGAGGAGAAAUGGUAUUAACAACAUCUUGAGUGGCAUCAGUCAACUCUUGGAGCUCGCCUCGAAGCCUUCCUAUGGUCCGGCCAUGAUCCCUAUAGGCUACCAUGGCCAUAGCAAGCAUAACUCCGUUCUGGUUCUUCCUGUCCCUCGGAUGCUCGCAUGCAACCUGAGCUUCAGCCAGUGAUGCCCGAAGAUGAUUAGCCUUGUCAGCUACUUAGUCAUGCGUGUUCCUCCAAUCAAGAAGCUGGCUACUCGCAACAGCCUCUUUUCUCUUGAGCUCUGCAAAAACCAACAAGUUCAAAAACCCCGAGUACAGUCGGAAAUACUCAAAGAAUCGCAAGUACUCACCUUGAUACUUCUUGUUCAAUGACUUGUAGCGAUUCUCCAACUUCUCUUGCAAUACCUCGUGAUCCCUACACUCAACGGCAAAAGACUUCGCAGCCUCCUCAUGAACCUUCAAGGACUCAGUGAGAUAGCUGCACUCUUGCUCCAAUUGUGCUAGCCGCUGCACAGAGUCAUUUCACUCCUGAAGGGCCCGGGCAUUCCUGUGAGCUAUGUCAUAAAGAUCCUGCAAAUAAAAGCAAGUCAUCAAGUUUUCAGCAAGAAAUAGUCAGACAAAGAGACAACACACCUGAAAGCUCUGGAUAGCUCUCUGAAACUCCGACUCCGACGGAAGCUCGAGUACUGGACCUUCAUCAUUCUUUACAACAUGAGGCUCUGGAGCUGUACCCAAGGUUGUACCUGAAACAACACACAUUAGUCAUUUCAGGAAACAAUACAACGACUACAACACUUGUACCCCGACAACAUACCUGGUGCACCUGCCUCAUUAGCCUUAGCCACAUCAACUAAUGGCAGAAUACUACCAGUAGACAUUGAAGAUGGUACACCACCAGAACCCGAAGGAACGGCAGGGUCCUCCACCAAGCGGAGUACUUCUUGAAGCAUAGACAUGGUGGCACCUAGACGACUAGUGUCAACCUCGGAUACAUCAUCAACAGACAAAUCAACCAAGGGAGCAGAAAGAGUAGUCGAAGGACAAGACUCCACUCCUGCAUCCACAGGGAUAGUGUCCUCCGCAUCCCUGCAUCAAAAUAAAAGAAUGAUCACAUGCCCUUCAGCAAAUUUGAAGAUACGUUACAAAGAAAGAUUCAAAAACUUAUCGAGAUGACCGUGGCGGUAAUCGCACACGCUUCUUCUCAGCAAUGGGCAGUUGAGUACUCGGCACCCCAGGGUCAGCCGAGGGUACAACAUUUUCGCCAAGUCCUGGAAAAAUCAGAGAUAAGACUACAAUAAUUUUGGAGUAACAAAAAUAGUCAGAAAAAACUCACCACUAGCGAUAACAUUGGACAACAAGGAGCCAGGGGUGAUCACCGGCGAUUCUGCCUUCGCACCAUCCGCCACCCCAGCAGGCAAACCUAAAACUGCCUGGUCAGGGACCGGCAACUCGGUAGCCGAUGGGGUCGGGACUGCUGGCUCGGGGGCUGCUCUAGAGUCACAAGCAGCACCACCACCGGCAAUUCUUCAACACACGCAACACUAACAUCAUCCUUGGCGGUAGCGACUACCUCAUCACCACCAAGGGUCGCGUCGACAACCUUCUCAAUCAAUUAAAAUCAUCAAAGGAUUACAGGACAACUCUACCAAAAGUUACCAAUGAAUGCAUGACUACGUACCUUGGUACUCUGCGACCUCUCAGGGGUCAAACUUGAGGUUGAAACAGACUUCACAGCAGGCCUCUUCCAAACUACUCGACAUUUUUUUGUAGGAGGAGAAGGCUCGUCUUCUGAUUCAUCAACAACUAACUCCUCCUCAGAAUGCACCAGAUAGCCGGAGAGAACCUGGGACUGCAAACAAGUCAUUACUCAAAGAUAUCCCAAUGUCUCAAAAAAUACAAAGUCAAAACCAAAGAACAUACCUCUUGUGACCCAUACCAACUAUCAAAUUGGCGAAGGGCUCCAGGAAUAACCGGUACUCCCUGAUAAUUCCUGAAGAACUUUGCUAGCAGCACCUCCACAUCAUCACCAGAUAUAGUGUCAGGAGACAUACGCGAUGAGUCAUCAAAUCCCGAGUGCUCCAAACCCGAGUGAGCCCGCUGCUGCAAAGGCUGAACUCUCCUCUUAAGAAAACUGGCAGCUACAUUAAUACCAGUCAAGCCCAACGACUUCAACUCGGCAAUCUGACUUAACAAGUUGACAAUCUCAGGAGUAUCUUCAUGCUCGCUCACCCAAUUCUCCGCAUGCUUCGGGGCAUGACCAGUGACCAUAGGCAAACGAGGGUCAUGAUUCCCAAUAUAAAACCACCUCCUCUUCCAGUCACCAUGCGAGUCAGUCAAGUUAUAGUCAAGAUAAGCACCCGAGUUUCUAAGUUGGAACCUGGCGCCUCCGAAAACCUCUAUCCUAAUUGCACUAGGCUGCGGCUUACAGCGAAACAGCUUCCUGGAGAGUUCAAGACUAGGCGAAACACCCAGGUAUACUUCACACAGGUGUACAAAAAUAGACAUAUGAAGCAUACCGUUGGGGUUCACGUGAACCAACUGAAGCUUGUAGUACUCGAGGAUACCUCUGAAGAAGUUGGAAGCAGGUACCGCCAAUCCCCUCUCGACAAAGUGCGCAAGCAUGACAGUCUUGUUCGGAUGCUCUUCGAACUGCCACGCAUUACCAAAGGCAGGCCUCCAUUCGAGUUGAAGAUUUGGCUGCAAAAGCUUCGCAUCAACCAAAGCCUGAACAGCCGCUUCCCUCAUCAUAGAGUUCUGCUAGAAGAUCCCGGGCAGUGGUGGCGUAGUCUGGUUCGUAGGACUGCACUUCAGCGCCGGCAACACUAACUCCUUCCCCUUCUUGGAUUUAGAUCUCAACUUACCCACCGCCGCAGCCUAGCCUUGAGUCUUCUCGGGUUUCUUCCCCAUUUUCUUGAUGCGUAUCAGACGAUCCCGGAGACAGCAAAAAAGAGAGGAGUCAACCUCUGAUCUCUCUCAAAAGCAAAGAAGCAAUGACGGUGGCGGAACUUGAAAUUGUGAUGGCGCAACGAGGAACGGGAAAAAGGGGGAAGGGACAAAACAGAUCUGCUAAAAAGAAAUGUAACCCCAAUCAUAAGGGUGCUCUCCCGUUAUAUCUCCAUCACCUUCGGAUUCCAAGCGUUAGUUACACAACGGUCAGAUAUAAACCAGAUUUAUUGCCAUAAUAUCCAACGGCUACUCAAAUCAAAGGGUUUGACCACUUCAUCGACAACGAAGAAAUCUCCUAAGUGCUCGGGGGCUGCGGAUACUAUACCCGCUGGACAAAGUUUUCUUUUUCAGACUACUGAAAGAGAAAUAGCCAAAACGCGGGAUCAACCCUAAGCCUGACUCUUCGACUCAAACUAAGGCUCGGGGGCUACUCCAUAUGGAGUGCUAUUGUCAUCGCACUACCAUAUAAUUUCUCAAGACAGAAGCAACUCGAAGGAAAAGAAGAGUACCUUCCAGCCACGCGACACUACUCAAGUACUUAAAGACACUACAACCACUGCUAAGAACUACUCGGAUGAUGGUCUCAAAGUACUCGGAACUGUGAUGCUCGACUACAAAGUACUCGGGGGCUUGUCAGACAUACAUCCUAGGCCCACGAGUAGGCCUUGUGCGGCCCACUAAGGGGCGUACUCGGACAUAAUAAGGACUAGGGGGCUACACGGCAAGAAGUGUAUCCCACUCGGACUAGUUAGGUGUGCAUAUGGAAACUACUCGGUCUACACCGAGUAGAACUCUGUAAUCGUACCCGACUAGGAUUAAAACUUGUAACCCUGCCCUCCCGAGUAUAUAAGGGCGGGCAGGGACCCCCUCAAAGACAACAACUUCAACUCAUCCAAGUUCAAUACAACCAACUCACAGGAUGUAGGGUAUUACGCGAUCUAGCGGCCCGAACCUAUCUAAAUCGUGUUCCUUGUGUCACCAUUGACUCCUGGAUUCCCGACGGCCCUUACCGCACAAAAGACUACCUAGGGUACCCCCUAGGCGGGUUGCUGGCCUAAAACACCAACAUCGUCCCACUUGAUUAUGACCACCAAAUCCCAGUCAUGUUACAAAGCAAUUCAAAAGAAAGGAAAAUCAGGAUCCUGCUAACAAGGGAUCAAGAGACUAACUUGCAGGUAACCAUAACUCCCUUGAAGCGACAAAGGGAAACACUACAAAUGGACCAAGGAUAGAAGAACAAAUUGAUGCUUACAAGAUAUGGCUUCAAAACCUAGAGCAGGAUCAACCAGACACAGGUAGGUACAAUUCCUCCAGUCACAAUUUAUAUAAGCUAUGUGUCGGAUUAUCCAUUGCACUUACAUAUUCAUUACAUGUAGAAUUUAAAGAUGAUUACAGAGAUGAAACCAUCAAGACAUAUAAAGAAUGGUUAAGGCGUAAAGAGUAUCUUCAAGACAUUAGCGAUUUCUAUUCAUUCACUCAGCACCGAAAUAUAACAUUACUUGUGUGAACAAAAAAUGUUUAGACUGAUGGAUCCAUUGUAUGAUAUGCAGUAUCUUCUUUAGAUCAGGAUGACAAUGAUGUUGAAAACCUUCCUGAUGACGAAGGUCUUGCUAGCAUGCAAUUAGCACCAACAUAUAGGCCAUCUCAUGCUCGGCGUGACAAAAAAGUGAGAAAAGGUGUGUUAUGCAUUGUAAUUUUUUCUAAUGUAAUCUUGGUUACUGCAAUUAUCUGACCAUUUUUUACUUAAUGGAUUCAUAGGAGACUCCAGUGAAGGGCCCAAGCAAGGAGGAUGUGGUGCCCUCAAGGGUUUAUAAGUAGCCAUAAAGAGGAUAAGAAGCGGCUCACAGAAACUUAAAGUUGAAUUUUCAACAAAGCUAGGAGGUCCCAUAGGACCUAACAGCCGGUCAUUUGUGGAUGAAGUUGUAAUGUUUACAAGGAAAAGGGCUCCACUUAUUGGAGUCAAAAAAUGGAAAGACAUACAGGAAAAUGUGAAAAAUUCUAUAGCAUCCAACAUACUGGUACGUACGAUGUUUAAUUCUGUUGCCUGAUUGCUAUAAGAAAUCUCAAAUAGCCAAAUACUUAUUCUUUUGAAUGUGUUCUCACAUAAACAGAAUAGGUGGGAGCUUGUAAACGUUGAUGAUGAAAAGGAAAAGAUAAUGUAUUAAUUAUGAGUUUAAUCAGUGCACUACUAAUGUAUUUUUCUAAUUACACCAUAUACAGAAAUCUAGCAACCAGAACUCCAAGAACCGUAAGGAAGCAAAGACGAACCAUGUCAUGGGGUCUAGAUCAUUUUCCAAAAUGAGCCAUGAGUAGGUAAUGCUUGGACAUGUUGUAUGGUUAUUUUGCAUACAAGUCAAGCUAAUGUGCUUCAUUCAUGCCAGCUUAGAGAGACUCGGAUACGGGAGAAGAACCAAGUGAUUUAAAUCUUUGGUUGAGUAACUCAUAUGAAGAAUGGGCAAUGGUCAGAUGAAGCAUCUAAGGCUGUCUCUGUAAGUAAUUUACAUAGUUCACUAGUAACAACAUGAUUCAUAAUAAUUUUAAUGUCCAAUACUAACACCAUUGCUGCUAUUUAAAUUAGGACAAUGCAUGCCUAAUGCUUUCUGAGAGAGAACGCAAUGAUGAUGCAAAUCCCAUCUCGACUACAGAGGAAAACAAUGUUUUCCAAAUAUCCUACAAGCAAAGUACAAGAUGCAAAACCUACAGAAACCAUGGUCAUGGUUACUUGUCUAAAAAUCCAUCACGCAGUGAAUUGCUGAAAGCUCAGAUCCAAGUGCAAGCCCGUGCUACAGAAGUGGCCAACCAGAAAAAUAAUGUGCUCCAACAAAAGAUUGACAAGUUAGAAGAACAACUUGCAAAUGAAAAGGCUGAAAGGGAAAGGAUAUUGGAAGAAAAAUUGGCACAGAUUCAAGAAGAGGAGAAUAAGCAAAAGGCAAGCACUUAGGGAAAAAAUCAUGUCAUAGAUGCUAUCAAAGUUUGCUGAACAAAGAGAAACCCCAUUGCUUCAUAUAAAAGCAAUUUGGAUAUUUGUUACACACAUGAGCAUAUUGGAAUGUGUUUUGUACCUAAAUUAGUUCCACCUAUUUUUCCUAUGCAGACUGACCCACGGAGCAUCAUCCCAAAUGAUGCUACGCCAACAGUUGAGAAAAAUGCUAGCAAACAUAGAACUAGUACAGUGUCUCGAGGUCUUUUUCAAAAUAGCAAAAGCAAUGUCGCAGGAGGAUAUAUUAGUACACAGCAAUUACUGAAUGCUGCUACAAAACGUCUGCGCACAAGAAGCCAAUAGGUAUGCAAAAGCAAACCUGAUUUAUAAUCUAUGUUUAAGUGCUUCAGUAAACUUAGAGCAGUCUCCUGUGUGCAAAUAAUAUGAUCAGUGCCAGACCAGGCGUCCACAAGAACAAGACAAAUUAGCAUGAUCAAGUUUAUUUAGUACAUACUACAGCACUAUGAGACCCUUUUCCUAAUGCACUGCAUUCUGUUUUUGAAUAGGAACAUUCUUCUUCGAUGGAUCGCACGGGCUUGGAGUCAUUCCAUGGUUGACACAAGGAAAAUCAAUGUAGUGCAUGAUUCCUGUAGCCUACAUUAGAUAGAUUUAGUACUGUUGAUCACCCAACACUAGUUAUGAACUAUUUUCGAUUUGUAAUAUGUAUUUGGCACUUUUACUUUAUGAUUGUAGAGAUGGCUUCAGUUAAUAUUCAUGAUGAUACAAAUCAUAUUUCGGUGGAAUCAUUUGUUGCACAAAUGAUUAAAUAUCCAAAUAUAUAAAAUGCAAUGCGUUGCGAAAAACAUCUUCCUAUUGCGAAAAGAAAUGCAUCCACCUGUUGCAAAAAUAAAUAAAUGCAACAACUCUAGUUCGUUGCUUUAAGUACGUUAUUGCAACAAUUGCAUAUCAUUGCAAAACAAAUAAUGUGCCACAACCUAUAUUUUGUUGCAACAUCUUUUAUUGCCUCUAUAUAUUUUCAAUUGCACAACCACUUAUUGCCACAAAAGAAAAAUGUUGCAAUAAUACAUAAUAACCUUCACCGAUAAUUUGUUGCAACAUAUUUUCUUGGUUCUAAAUAUUUUCCGUUGCAAAAAGAAUUAUUGCCACUAAAUAUGUUUCAAUGCAAUCUAGUUUAUUUCCACGAAAUAAAUUGUGUUUCCGUAGGAUCUGUCACAACGUAAUAUUUUCCGUUGCAAAACAAAUUAUUGCCACCAUACAUGUUUCCAUGGCAAUAUAAGUUAUUUCCACGAAAGCAAUUGUGUUGCCAUAGGAUCUGUCACAACGUAAUAGUUUCUGUUGUAAAAAGAAUUAUUGCCACCAACAUGUUUUCAUGGCAAUAUAGUUUAUUUCGACGAAAGAAAUUGUGUUGCCAUAGGAUAUGUCACAACGUAAAAUAUGCGUGGCAAUAUAUUCUAUUGCCACCAUGUUUGUCGUGGCCAAAUACCAUAUUACCACAGUGUCUGUCCGUUGCAACUACGUACUAUAGCAAUGCCUACUUACGUGGCAAUACAUGCUAAUGCCACGGCUUCAAGCGUUGCAAUACUCUAUAAUGCAAUGAACGAGUGUGUGGCAAUUACCAUAAUAUUGCAAAAAUGUUGCAAUGUGCUAUUGCAACGCAGGUACUUGCCACGACUACCAACCAACCUAAGUUGGUUGCAAAUGCUACCUAUUGCAAUUAUUUUGGCCAUAUUGCCACGUUUUUCCUCUGUUACCAUAGGCCAAAAAUCUAGUAGUGACUCCAGCAGGUAGCGGAUGGGGGGUGGAGGUACUUGCCAUGGAGGGGGCUGUUCGGCGAGGGAGGGCGGCCAGGAAGCGGCAAAACGGACGUGGGGCGUCGUGGGCAAGGCGUGGCUGCGAGGAAUCGAGCUGAGGCUCGCUCACGGUGAUGAAUUUCUCGGGUGAAUGAUGGGGAAUAGUUGGAGCUUGGUUCUAGCAAUGGAGCUUGGGAGGAAGGGGCGAGUGGUUCUGGAGGGGCUAGUGCUGCUUAUAUAGUCGGGGCGAGGUGAGGAUAAGAAUGGCGAGGCGAUAAGGACGCCACGACGUUGCUGCUCGCCCAUUGGCGACGAGAGCAAGCUCUGGUGGCUACCGGCCACGUGGCGCCGGUGCUUUGCACGCCAACGGGCGUGCAUUCUGAUGAUGAGGAAAGAGAAGAUGACUUGACGGGUGGGCCCGACCAAGAAAUAAAAUGGUUCAACUUUGGUCCCUUAAACGACCUAGCUACAGGUAUCCAAAAAUUCCCCAAAAAUACUUGUUGAAAAGGUAAAAUCACCAAGAAUCCAAUGCAUCAAGAAUAAACUCAAAAGCUGCUAUGGUUUUCACGCAAUUGACAUAACAGAAUAGCUAAAUUUGAACUUUAAAUGAAUUUUUGGCACAAUACGUCUCUGAAAAAUUUGAUAAAAAUAUUUUUAAAUCACUAAAUGGUAUACAGUAUUCAAAUAAAAUAAUUGGAGGCAUAGUUGUAUAGAAAAAAUUGGGAUUUCUUCACAAUUUGAAUUUUUAACAAUAAACGACCAUUAUGUGACAUUAACAAUGCAUAACUUCUACUUAAGUUUGAACAUCUUCUCCUCAAAAUCAGAAAAAGUGCUAAUAACAAAAGUUGUUUGCUCUUAAAUGUUCUACAACUUUUAUAUUGGCCAAAAGUUGAGUUGUUAUAUGAAAUUUGAAUUUAUGAUCCACCACUAACUUAAGCUUUUAAGGGUCAUUUUGGUCCUUUUAAGUGCUAGAGUAACUUCUAAACACUCUACUUAAGCUUUGACAAGAUUAAUUAAAACUAGGGUUGUUACAUUGGUUAAAUCGCUUUUGUGUUUGUGUGAAUGCACUUGAAAGACAACAAAGUUGUAGCAUAAAGAAACGAUGAGUGCUUUGUUUUGUUAAAAACAUCACCCCCCCUUGGUUUCUUUGUGCACUGGCUUUGUUUGUCUUUUGUCCCCGUUACUGAAACUUGGGAGUUGAGGGUUUUUUGAAAAAUGUCACCCCUAUUUUCUCCUUUUCUUUUGUUACAUGAGCCUUGCUCGAGGCUAGGUUCUCGUGAGGGGAGAGUGGAGACAAAUGCGUUCUGCAGAAAAAACAUCGGCCCGCUUUUCUAUCUUUUUCUUAAAGAAGCAUUCAUCCCUACUUUUUUUUUGAACGAGGUUAAGUGCGUUUUGAUAGCUCAUAAAAUAAGUCAACUAAAAACUUGUUUUCGAGUUUUGUUGACUUAGAAAAAUAACAGUAGUUCGGUUGAUAUUGCAACCCUCAGUUGCUUCAACCUUGAAAUAUUGCCAACUUGCAGAGAUGAGGGAAGAAGGUAGUUUUUGAAAAGACGUUACCCCCCUUGCUCUAUUGCAGUAGUUUUGGCCGAGGCUAAAGCUUUCGCGUGUUUGGACAAGAAGAGUUUUUUCUUUUGAAAAAUAUCACCCUCCCCCCUUUGUCCUUUUUCACGUAGGUGGUUUAGCCUGAGGAUGGGUUACUCCAAGUGUUAUACGCACUUGCUGUGGCCCUUCUAUUCCUGAGCUGAAGCUCGAGGCUAAUCACCGUAAUGUCUUAAGCGAGAAAAUACGUUUCCCCACAUAUAGUGCGCUUUCCAACGUUAGGCUAUGCAGCAUGCUUUAAAGUAUGUUGCGUAGAAAUGCAAAUUUUCAACGCGUAGAAACACAUGGUUGGGCAACUUGUUGUUGCAUCUGAGAUUUGCACAGAAAUGCAAGUUUUCCUUCACGUGGAAACGUGAGGUUUAGGCAACUUGUUGUUGCAUCUGAGACUUGCGCAGAAACGCAAGUUUUUUCAACGUGCAGAAAUGUGAGGUUAAGCAACUUGUUGUUGCACUGAGAUUAAGAUCAUGGGGGGGAACUUCAUUUCAUUGAAUGAUGAAAAUUUUACAAGGAUCUGCCUCAUUAAAAACCUUACCUCCGGAAAGGAGCCCCCUUAGCAAGGAAAACAGUAUAGUCCAAACUCGAAAAUGUGAUUUGCUAAGAAGCAAAAUCAUUACCCUUGGCAUUAUUUAAAACUUCACAAGCCGAGGGUAUCAAUGAACAACAUGCUAAGGAUAAUACAUACGUAAGCUAUCAAUAUUCCAACAAUGUGGCAGCUCCAUGCCAAGCUGGUCCGCAAGAUUGAAAGACCCUGGCCUGUUGCUUCGCGUGACGAUGUAUGGCCCUUCCCCAGCUUCCUGCAGCUUUUUGGGGCUUUCCCAAUUUUUCUUCCUCUUGAUGACAAGGUCUCCUACUUUAAUUUCCUUAUGCACCAACUUUUUGUUUCUCCACUUUCUUAUUUCUUGCUAUUACUUGUCCAUGUUUUCUGCGGCUUGCGGUAUUUCAAGCUCUAUCAUGUCCUUUUCAAUUUUUACAUUGUCUUCAUUGACUUUAGAGUGCAAUACUCUCAAGCUGUUGUUCUUGAUUUCCUCUGUUGUAACAUCACUGGACCCGAAGAGCAGCCUGAACGAGGUCAAGCCCAUCACUCAAGACUCAGUGGUGUUGUGAGACCAGAUUACUUUCUGGAGUUCAUCGACCCACUUUCCUUUCUUCUGAUCAAAUAGACAUUUCUUGAUUGCUAGGAAAAUCAAACCAUUUGCUCUUUCCACUAUGCCAUUUGACUGGGGGUGGUAUACUGAGGCGAACUUUACUUUUGUGCCGAGGCUGGCGCAAAAUUCUUUGAAGUCAUAACAAUCAAAUUCCUUGCCUUUGUCCACAGUUAGCUCCCUGGGUACCCCGAACCUGCAGACAAUGUUGUGCCAGAAGAAUUUUUGAACUGAACCUGAGGUUAUCAUCGCCAGCGACUUGGCCUCAAUCCACUCUGUAAAGUAAUCCACUGCUACUACAGUAAACUUGCAAUUGCCCUGAGCUAUUGGGAGAGGGCCUACUAGAUCCAUUCCCCAUCUUUGCAAAGGCCAGGUUGGUGGGAUGAGUUGUAUUGGCAACGAUGGUGCAUUUCCCUGGUUUGCUUUUUUUUGACAGGCUUCGCAGCUUCGCAUGAGGCUUUGUGCAUCGUGGAUAGCUGUUGGCCAGUAGAACCCUUGCCUUAAUGCUUUGCUCACCAAUGCCCUUGAUCCUAUGUGUGACCCACAAAAGCUGAUGAGGACAUCGCUCCUUUAGUUACACAUGACACUCCUCCAAUUGUUCUGCAAGGACCAAUCACUAGAGCUCGAGCUAGACAAUUGAAUCAACAGGUGAGCUCAUUCUUGUGUACUUCUUUUGGUAAUUUUGAGAAUGGGUUGCUACCCAAUGAUGUUAUUGUGCUCAGUAAUAAUGGACAUGACCAGGGAGUACUUGAGCAGAAGCAUGAAGGUUGAGAGGUCCAGCAAGGGGUGUCCAAGUCACACAGAGGCCCAAUGCACAUCAACUUCGAGUCCACCUCGGAGUCGAGGAGCAGUUUGCCUUAGAUUGGGUGCCCAUGCUGCAUACGGAGUCGGAUUGCAACGUUCUAUAUAAGGAUGGAAAGAUAAUUUUAUAGACCUUCCAUUGGAGUUGGUCCCAUGCUAAAAUUCGAUCAGAGUCAAUGGGAAUCGUCAAAACAAGUGGAUGUCCAGAAUCUAUCAAGAUGUUGCACCACCAUCUUUCCAGCUGUUGGGCCAUGUAUCGUGUUGGAGCCCAUUAGGGGCGCGUCCAGGGGUCUUGCACGCCCCUAAAUACUUUAGAUUUAGUAGAGUUAGCCAAGUUAUAGUUUGGAUUUUGCUUAGAUUAUUUCUGUCAUUGACAGUCGCCGUUCAUCGGUUUGUGAGACCCCAACUUCGUGUGCUUAAAUUCAAUGUUUUCUGCAAUUGAGUUGCAUUCUUCCUUGCCCUUGGUUGUGAUCUCGAUUUGCAUGCAGGGGAUAGCCUUCGUGGUGUGGUCAACCGAGCUGUGCAGGGUUGAUAGCCAAAGGAGAAGUGGUGCUUCGAUUGCGGGUUUCGGAUCUUGCUAAUUAGAAGCCGGAUCGAGUGUGUUGUUUCUCCACUAUAUCAAGAGUUACCCUCACCUGACGGAAGAUCGGGCACCCUAGUUCCCAUCAAGUGGUAGUACCGACUUACCCUAGUUUAGUUUGUUUUCACCUUCAUCCAACAAUCCAUGAAAAAUCCAAAAAAAAAUCGUAGUCAUAUUUUCGUGUCCUACAACCUUUUGCUUAACCUUUGCACAAUUUGGAUUCGGAGUCCGCAGUUCUGAGUUUGUGUCCUUAGGUCGAGUCUGGUUGCUAGUUUAGAUUGUUCCUGUUUUGUUUUUGUUUCAUCAAUCCGUCCGCUGCCAUCCCCAUCCACAAUACCCCCCCGGAAAUCCACUCAAAACCCUGAUUCAGAGGUGCUUUCUUAAAAUGGCCAUAACUUUUCGCUAUAGUCUUGAAAUCAGGCAAUUUUUUUUCAUGUACAUCUACAUAACUUUCUUAAAUUUUGGUUUUUCGCUAGCAGGGUUUGGCUGAAAUUAUAUUUGCCAAAUUUGCCUCAGAAGAUUGUGUUUUUGAGCCGACAAGUUUGAAAUUGAUUUCCUAUGCACCUUGCAGUUUUUCUAUAGUGCACAUCUUAGCUUCGUUUGAGCUCAAACAUUUUGUGGUUCCUUCCUUUAUCUCUAAACAAAUAUCAAAAAAAAUUGAAGAAAACAAUUGGAGUGAAAAUAAAAAAAAGAAAAAAGAGAAAAAUAGUUGCACAAUGAGAAGAGACCCAUGAAGUGGUGCUGUUUUGUGCUGUUUUGUUGGUGUUGAAGCUGUCCAUUCAUACUUGUGCUAUCUUUGUGCUGUUCCUUACUUCACAUACCUAUUCUUGGGAAUUUAUAUAGGCUAGCAACUAGGACAAGUGCUUUUGGACAUUUAUUCAGCAUUGCUAUCUGUCUCUACUUUGUGUGCCACAUACUAACAUAUUUUUUGGCCGCCCAAGCUCCACAUACAUACACUUGUGAUUAGUACAGCUUUCAACCCUGCAAUCGCCUCAUUCACUCCCUCAAGGUGAGAAACAACUACCGGUUGUACCGUCCACUGCACUGUGUUGGUAAGAUCCUUGUAAGAGCUUGGUAAGAUAUGUGGGAGUGGGAGAGACUCCACUUCCCUUUCCUAGUAGUUGAUAGGAGUAAUCCUAUAUUCUUCUUCUGUUGUUUUGUGUUAUUAACCAUGACCGGAGAGGCAAACUUGGAGGAGUGCAUCCCACGCAAUGAGAUGAAGGGAUACAUGACAGACUUCAUGAAGGAGGUCAUGCAGAAGGUGAACAUGGCCAUUGAGAAAGGGGUCAUUGCAGCUUUUCAAAAGCUGGACAUUGACAACAGCCUUGAGAGGUUGGACAAGCGGGUUUCAACAAUGACGACAAGGAUUGAGGCAUUGGAGAAACACCCACCAUCCACCACUACCACCGACACCACCAAGGUCGACACCACCACCAACACCAACAACUUCACCGCACAUGAUGAAGAUUUGGGGUACACUAUUGAUGGUGAGUUCGAUGAAGCAGCAACACGUGAGAAAACUCUACGUCGACGCCUUCGUAACAACACUCAAGGUAUGGGAGGUAACAAUAAUAAUGACCCAUUUGCUAAAGUUAAGUUUACCAUUCCAUCCUUUUCUGGUGCUUAUGAUGUGGAGGCAUAUCUUGACUGGGAGAUGACCAUAGAACAAAAAUUUAACUCACACCAGCUUACUGAGAUACGUAGAAUUCGACAAGCUACUACUAAAUUCAAGGAUUUUGCUAUCCUCUAGUGAAAUGAGUUGGUAGUACAUGCUUAAGACCUACUAAUUGGGAAGCAUUAAAAGUUGCUAUGCGUGAUAGAUUUGUUCCUCCUUCCUACCAAUGUGAUUUGCGUAAGAAAUUGUAGCGUUUAGAACAAGGUAAUAUGUCUAUUCAGGAGUACUAUGCCGAGCUUCAAAAAGGUAUGAUUCGUUGUGGGGUAGUAGAGGAAACUGAGGACAGGAUCUGUCGUUUUUAUGGUGGGUUGAGGCAUGAGAUUCAGGAUAUUGUGGAUUAUAAGGAAUAUACUAUUGUCAACCAUUUGUUUCAGCUUGCUAUGCUUGUAGAGAAGGAAUUGUGGGGACGCCAACAGAAGAAUAGGAGCACAUUUGUCUAUUCCUUCAUGCCCAGAGCGGGUGUACUUGGACCCUCUCACACACCACCGCCUCCAGCGAUUACGCGUCCUUCACCACCAGCACCUUCCCCAACACCGGUUGGUAAAUCUCCUUCUUUGCAGGAUCCAGCAAAGGGUGCCUCCACCACCACUGCCACCGGACGCACCUCGGGCAUUCACUGCCACCGCUGCCAUGGACUUGGCCAUGUCAUGAAGGAUUGCCCCAGCAAACGGGCAUAUAUUGCUAGGGAUGAUGGUUAUGUUAGCAUUGAUGAUGUUGAAGCAUCGAUAGGGCAUGUUGACGAUGAUGAUGAAGCUACUACUAUGAGUACCGAUGAGGGAGUUGCUCUUGGUGGUGCUGCCACGGAGACUUAUAGGAACAUCAUUGUUAGUAGAGUUCUUAGCACUCACGUGCUACAAGCAGAGAAGCAACAACGCCACAACUUGUUUCAGACUUUCUUCGUCAUCAACAAUAGACAUGCUCGUAUUAUCAUUGAUGGAGGGAGCUACAACAACUUGGUGAGUUCAGAUGUGGUCAAGAAGCUUGGCUUGACCACACGUCCACAUCCACAUCCAUAUCUUCUUGAGUGGCUUAAUGAUUCUGGUCAUACUAAGGUAACACACACAAUAAGGGUGCACUUUUCCAUUGGUCCAUAUUCUGAUUUUACUGAUUGUGAUGUGGUGCCAAUGCAAGCUUGUUCUCUUUUAUUGGGCUGACCAUGGGAAUAUGAUACUGAUGCUAUACAUCAUGGUAGAAGUAAUAAAUACACUCUAAUGCAUAAAGGAUAGAAAAAUACCUUGUUACCAUUAACACCUUCUGAAAUUGCACAAGCUGAAAAAAAGAGAGCUACUGCUGUGAAACAAGAGCUUCAUGUUAAAUCUGAAAUGCAACAAGGCAUUAAAUUGAAAGGUUCUGUUCUGCUUGCAACUAAAUCUGAUCUUGAUGAUAUUGAUGCCUCUACUGUGUGCUAUGAUUUGAUAUGCAAGGAUGCUUUGUUUUCCAUUGAUAAUAUAGCUAGCACUUUGCCUCCUGCUAUCACUAACAUUUUGCAGGAGUAUGUGGAUGUGUUUCCCAAUGAGCUACCACUGGGGUUGCCACCUUUGAAAGGCAUUGAACAUCAAAUUGACUUGAUUUUGGGAGCUACAUUGCCCAGCCGAGCUGCGUACCGGGCAAACCCUCAGGAGACUAAGGAAAUUCAGUUCCAAGUCCAAGACUUUUUGGACCGCGGGUAUGUACAUGAGAGCCUUAGUCCUUGUUCUGUUCCUAUGCUUUUGGUUCCUAAGAAAGAUGGUACUUGGCGCAUGUGUGUAGAUUGUAGACACAUUAACAACAUAACUAUAUGAUACCGUCACCCUAUACCUAGCUUGGAUGACAUGCUUGAUGAGUUAAGUGGCCCUAUAAUUUUUACAAAGAUUGACUUGCGUAGUGGUUACCACCAAAUUAGAAUGAAAUUGGGAGAUGAAUGGAAAACUGCUUUUAAAACAAAAUUUGGUUUAUAUGAAUGGUUAGUCAUGCCCUUUGGUUUAACUAAUGCACCUAGCACUUUCAUGCGAUUGAUGAACGAGGUCUUACGUGCUUUCAUUGGCAAAUUUGUGGUGGUUUAUUUUGAUGAUAUCUUGAUCUAUAGCAAGUCACAUGAGGAACAUCUUGAUCAUCUACGUGCUGUUUUUGAUGCUUUGAGGAUAGCGCGUUUGUUUGCUAACCUUGAGAAGUGUAUCUUUUGCAUCGAUCAAGUUGCUUUUCUUGGUUAUGUUGUGACUCCACAUGGCAUUGAAGUGGAUGGAGAGAAGAUUUAUGCCAUUAGGAGCUGGCCGACCCCUGAGACUAUUACACAGGUGAGAAGUUUUCUUGGUCUUGCAGGCUUCUAUCUACGUUUUGUGAGAGAUUUCAGCACCAUUGCUGCCCCACUACAUGAGUUGACAAAGAAGGGUGUUCUAUUUCAUUGGGGUCCAGCAUUAGACCAAGCUUUUGAUGCUUUGAAAGAGAAGCUUACUUUAGCACCUUUGCUACAACUUCCUGAUUUUGGUAAGACUUUUGAACUUGAAUGUGAUGCUAGUGGAGUUGGCAUUGGUGGACUAUUGAUGCCAGAAGGUAAACCAGUUGCUUAUUUUAGCGAGAAAUUGCAUGGGCCUAGUUUGAAUUAUUCCAUGUAUGAUAAAGAAUUUUAUGCUCUUGUUCGUUCAGUAGAGACGUGGUAGCACUAUUUAUGGCCUAAGGAAUUUAUUAUUCAUUCUGACCAUGAAUUGCUUAAGCACCUUCGCAUGCAAAGUAAAUUGAACCAUAGAAAUGCUAAGUGGGUUGAAUUCAAUGAAUCUUUUUCGUACAUCAUUAAACACAAGAAAGGGAAAGAUAAUAUUAUUGCUGAUGCUUUGUCUCGCCACUAUACCUGUUGUCUCAACUUGAUUAUCAUAUUUUUGGACUUGAAUCAAUUAAGGGGCAAUAUGAAUUUGAUCCUAAUUUUAAAGAUGUGCUUUUGAAUUGCAAAGAGGCACGUUCGUGGAACAAAUAUGUACUGAAUGAGGAAUUUUUGUUUAGAGCUAACUGCUUAUGCAAUCUAGUUGGAUCCAUUCAUAUUUUGUUGUUGCAUGAGGCACAUGGCUGGGGUUUGAUGGGGCACUUUGGUGCCAAAAAGACAGAGGGAGUUUUGGCCACACACUUCUUUUGGACAAAGAUGAGGUGAGAUGUUGAGAGGUUUGUGAAUCAUUGCACUACAUGCUAAAAAGCUAAGUCACGCUUGAGGUUGUAUAUGCCUCUUCCUGUUCCUUCUAUUCCUUGGGCGGAUAUUUCUAUGGAUUUUGUUUUAGGAUUGUCUAGGACUAAGUGUGGCGGAUCCACUUCGGAUUAGCUUGAUUAAGCAGGGUUAAGCCGCUUAACAUGCGACACUCCUGCCUAAACCAAGUUAACACGAAAUGCCGUCGGAUUUCAUCCGAUUUAACCACUUGAACAGGAUCGAGUCUAGCAAACCCACACGAAGGUGAGUGGUUCCAGAGAAUACAACGAGUCCACUGAGUUAAACAAGUUUACCCAUUUAGCUCGGCCAUAAAAUCCAACAUCAGAGUUUUACAGGGUUCCAAGGAAAACAGCAAAAGAUAAAACCACUAGCGGAAGAAAUCGUCGGGGUCGGACAUCCCUGGUGAGGCCAACCGGGACGUCACAGGUUCCUCUCCUCGCGUCCGAGGAGGGGUCCCACUCGACCGUCCAGCCCGGCGGGAGCUGGGGCGGCCAAGCGCCAGCAAGAGAGGGAUCGGGAGCAGCAACUUCGCCUGAAAAACAGGAUCCACAACAAGGCUGAGCUACUAAGCUCAACAAGACUUAACCGAUAGGAGUAAGCUACUCCACACUUCUAGACAUGCAAGGCUUUUGGCUGAGGGGUUUGUUUGCCAAAGCACUAAGUAAAACCUUAUUUUCCAGUUUUAGCUCCAGUUUUAAGUUCAUUAGCCGGUCUAGGUUUUGCAACCUAUUCUAAGCAAUCAUAGAGCCAAACAAGAGGUGUAGAUAUAUCAACAAACAUGCCAUCAUCAGAUUCCUCAUUUACUCAGGGUGACAUAGCGAUCAAGCAAUCUCAAACUGUGAGAGGCAAAUGAAUCGAUUCGAGUUCUUUAACCAUGCAUGGUGAACCUAGCCUCACGUCCUCCGCGCACCCGGAGGUCGCUUCCUGUGUCGGCCUUCCCCAUCAAUCCCUAACCCGUGUCGGGCCCAUUUCCUUUGGUGCAAGGUUCCACAGACCCGGCCUCUGCCGUCCUGUGACCACGCUUGCCACCACGUGCGACAACUAGCAGGGGAAACUCCGUUCCAAGAACAAUGGGGCGACCGCUCACGUCUAGGUUCAAUCCGGUACUAGGCUUCCUCAUCCCAUACUAAGUAUGAGGCUAGUACUUUCAAACAAUUGAUCACGAACACCACCACUGUCGGGCCUUAGCAUGUUUUCAUAGACAGACGGGGCAACCAUCCGUCCACCAAAGAGUUACCAAAACCCUGCCCCGUCCAUCAUCCUUAUAGUUAUAACAGGAGAGUAAACAUACAACUCCUACAACUCGCGAGUGACAGGAGAUCACUCGACUUUUACCGUCUCCUAGUUAAGCAGGGCAACUACUCGGUCCAACAGCUAGUGCUCAGAUCAUGGGGAUAACUAGGUCAUGCAUCUAGGGUUUCAAACAACUCCUAUACGUAAAUGCACAAGCAUGUUACAGAAGGCAUGCGCAAGUCUGGUAAAACACAUAGGGUUUUCAUGCAACCGGGGCUUGCCUUCGAGCAAAGAGGAAGGAAAUUGCUCGACUUCUGGGGCGACUUCGGCUUCGGCGGGCAGGAGCUCGGCUACACCUUCUCCUUCUGGUGCCGGGUGCAGCUCGUAGAAGCCGUCGGCGAGGUGCAGCUCUACACGAAUGCAAUGCAAAGUUAGCAUAGACGGUUAUUUCAACAGCAACACUGGCUCGCCUGAGCCCAGAAACUCGCGACAAAGAGCAGGAGGGUAUGGAGGUUCAAGUGAGCUGGUGAUGAUCAAGAGGCAAGGGUCGGAAAGGAACUUAUGAUCUGAUCCUUGAACUAGAGAAUGUGAUGUACUAGGGGUCCUCGUACGCAAGCGCUGGAGGGUUCCUAAAUUUUACACAUACACCCUCGGGUUGAAGAAAAAGAUCACAGCCGAACCCUCGGGCGAGGCGGAUAAGGGUCGGCGGAACAGACAGGGUCGGGCGAGACGGAACCGGGGUCGGGCGGAUAGGAGGGGUCGGGCGAAGCGGACUGGGGUCGGCAACUCACCUUCUUCCUGAAAGGAAAGCUUGGGGUCGGGAAGAAGCAGACUUGGGCGGGGAAACUAAAGCUUGAACAACGGCUAAGACUGGGAAUGCUACGGUGGCGGCGAUGCUUCUUGCAGAUCACAAGAGAGCUUUUACGCAGCAAGGAGGAGCAAGCGGCUGGGUGACUUGGAGAAAACUGAGAGAGAAUCUGAGAGCAGAGCUCCUCAAGAACUUGGUGGGUGGCUCUAGGAGCUUGAGCAGGGAGCGAGAGAAUGGCUAAGGCAACAAUGGCGGAGGGAACUCCGGCGGCUGGCGCAUUCCUUUUAUAGCCGCUGGAACUGAGAAGGAAGCGGCGCGGGAGAGAGAGAAGGGGAGCGGCGCGAAGGCCGGGGAGAAGCAAUGGAGUGCUCUGCCGGGGCGGCGAUUGAGCGAAGAGGGUGGUGGUGCAGGACUCCGGGGGUGACGCCAGCAGUCAUUGGGCUCUGCCGUCAGGGCGGCGUAGAAGCGGGUAGACCGGUGGUUGAGAUUUGGCGGAAAGCGGGCGUCGCCGUGCAGAAGAUUUGCUGGAAACGACCGGUUUAACGGCGCUAGAAUCGAGGGCGCACAGGUGAGAAGACAGGCAGCCGCGGGAGCGCGGGCGAGCGCGGAGCAACAGAUUGUCGGGCGGCUUCUGACAGGGCGGGGAAAGGAGCUGUCGCUGCCGCGGUCGGGGUUGGCGAUGGGGGAAUCGUCGUGUAGCGGAGACCAGGCGGCGCGACUGCGGUUGAAGUGACGAAAAAGACGGGCGACAUCGGGCUCUAGGGCCGGGAUCUAGCGGCGUGAUGAUGGGCGCGGGAGGCGAGGUUCUGCAGAAAGGGUGCAAAGGGGCUUCCGCUGCCAUUGGGGAAGGGGGCGCGAGAACCCACUUGGUCGCGAGCCAGAGACAAAACUGCGCGGCGGGCGUCGGAGAAGACGAGCCACGCGGCAGGAAGACUCUGAAGUGGGCAUGCAACUCGAGUGCGCCUGUCGCGGAGGAUCUGGGGAAAAGAUUCUUGCGGGUCCACCGGUGGAUAGAACGGACGGUUGAGGAAAACUUAACAGGAUCCGACGGUGGGCUGAGCUCGCCGGGGUCGGGAGAGGAGCGAAACGGGAAGGGGUCGGGUCUUCCGGGGUCGGAACCGGGCGGAAAAAUGAGCACUCGGCGCGGUAAAACAAGACAGAUGACUAUGAUCAAGGGCUCCGAUUGAGAUUAACUUGGAAGGUUUAGGGGUCGGUCGUCACACUAAGAUGGGGAGGGAUAGCAUUUUUGUUGAGGUUGAUCAGUUUUCUAAUAUGGCACAUUUUAUACCAUGUCAUAAAUGUGAUGGUGUUGUCCAUAUUACUAACCUCUUUUUCAAAGAAAUUGUUCAUUGCAUGCUAUGCCUUCUACUAUUGUUUCAGAUUGUGAUGCAAAAUUUUUGAGUCACUUUUGGCGAAUGCUAUGGAAUAAGUUGGGAACAAAGUUGUUAUUUUCAACAACAUGUCAACCACAAAUAGAUGGUCAAAUUGAGGUUGUUAAUCAUACAUUAUCCAACAUGUUGCGAUCAAUCUUGAAGAAGAAUUUAACGAUGUGGGAAGAGUGUUUGCCGCAUGUGGAAUUUGCAUAUAAUCGGGCGGAACACUCUACCACCAAGGUAAGUCCUUUUCAGGUAGUGUAUGGGUUUAAUCCCUAUGCUCCUGUUGAUAUUUUGCCUCUACCUUCAUCUGAGCGUGUUCAUCAUAAUGCUAAAGAGUGUGCUGAUUUUAUUCUGAAAAUACAUGAAACUACUAAAGAUAACAUUGAAAAUAUGAAUGCCAAGUAUAAAAUUGCUAGUACUCACGGUGAUUUUGUGUGGUUACACUUAAGAAAAGAUAGAUUUCCUGAGUUGAGAAAGUCUAAGCUAAUCUCAAGAGCUGCUGGUCCUUUUAAAAUAAUUGACAAAAUAAAUGACAAUGCAUACAAACUUGAGUUGUCUCCCGAGUUUGGGAUUAGUCCCACAUUUAACAUUUCAGAUUUGAAGCCAUACUUGGGCGAGUAGGAUGAGCUUGACUCGAGGACGACUCCAAUUAAAGAAGGGGAGGAUGAUGAGGACAUCGCUCCUUUAGUUACACAUCACACUCCUCCAAUUGUUCUGCAAGGACCAAUCACUAGAGCUCGAGAUAGACAAUUGAAUCAAUAGGUGAGCUCAUUCUUGUGUACUUCUUUUAGUAAUUUUGAGAAUGGGUUGCUACCCAAUGAUGUUAUUGUGCUCAAGAAUAAUGGAGAUGACCAAGGAGUACUUGAGGAGAAGCAUGAAGGUGGAGAGGUCCAGCAAUGGGCGUCCAAGUCACACGGAGGCCCAAUGCACAUCAACUUCGAGUCCACCUCGGAGUCCAGAAGCAGUCUGCCUUAGAUUGGGCGCCCAGGCUGCAUAUGGAGUCAAAUUAUGACGUUCUAUAUAUGGAUGGAAAGAUAAUUUGAUAGAGCUUCCAAUGGAUCUGGUCCCAUACUAAAAUUCCAUCAGAGUCAACAGGAAUCGUCAAAACAAGUGGAUGUCCAGAAUCUGUCAGGGUGUUGUGCCACCAUCUUUUGGGCCAUUGGGCCGUGUAUUGUGUUGGAGCCCAUUAGGGGUGCAUCCAGGGGUCUGGGUUUGGGUUUGGGUUUUGCAUAGAUUAUUUCUAUCAUUGACAGUCGUCGUUCAUCGGUUUGUGAGACCCCAACUUUGUGUGCUUAAAUUCAAGGUUUUCUACAAUUGAGUUGCGUUCUUCCUUGCCCUUGGUUGUGAUCUCGAUUUGCAUGCACGGGAUAGCCUUCGUGGCAAGGUCAACCAGGCUGUGCAUGGUUGAUAACCAGAGGAGAAGUGGUACUUCGAUUGCGGGGUUCAGAUCUUGUUGAUCAAAAGCCGGAUCAAGUGUGUUGUUUUUCCACCAUAUCGAGAGUUACCCUGACCUGAUGGAAGAUUGGGUACCCUAGUUCCCAUCAAAAGCCCGUGUGGAUUUCAGCUAGUAGCUCUUUUCCACUUUCUAAGUCAAUGCAGCAAAGCCAAGGUGUUGAUAUUCCCGCCUUGUACAGCUCCCCAUCAAUGAUUGAGUAGCUCCUGGCCUUUUGCUUUAGCCUGGCUAGUUCAACUUUGUCAUGAGGCUCGAAGUACCCUCUCAUAUAGGCUAUGAUUUGAGCUCUCCAAUCGAAACUUUCAAUUUCAUUUAUCAUCUUCGAGGCUAGCUCUUUUGUUGGCGGAGUGUGAAUGACCUCAAAGAACACAUCUGGGGGCAUAGGUUGAUUCUGUGCUACUGCUUUUGCGAGCGCAUCUGCCUCAUUAUUUUCUGCCCUCAGGAUAUGCUGUACAGUGAAACCCCUGAAAUGCUUUUCCAUCGUUCUCACUGCAGCAAGGUACUUCACUAGCUCCGGCUGUCUGGCCUCGCUGUCCUUCUCUAUGUGCUCUUUGAUUACCUUAGAAUCCGUCUUUGCUAUGAACACCUCCUUACCUAGAGCCUUCAUUUUUCUUAGCCCCAGGAGCAGUGCCUUGUACCCGCAGCAUAUCUUAUUUUAACUCCCGAUGGAGAGGUUACAAUGGUUGAGAUUCCAGCCCUCCUGUCAAACCAAGAACCAUCACAAUGCAUGACCCACGGAGUUUCAACCUUGUCUUGGCUAGCACAUGGGGAAGUCCAAUCAACGAUGAAAUCCGCUAGGACCUAUGAUUUUAUGGCACUUCUCCUCUCAAAGUCCACAACAAACUCUGAUAAUUUCGAUGCCCAUUUGGUGAUCCUCCAUGAAGCUUCCCUAUUUGAGAAGAGAUCUUGGAGAGGUUGGUUUGUUACUGCCAUGAUUCUAUGACCUUCAUAAUAAUGGUGUAGCUUGUGCGCUACGAUGACCACUGCAUACGUGAUUUUUCCUAGCUCUGAAUAAAAUAGCUUCGACCCGGUGAGUGCCUCUGAUGCAAAAUAAACUGUGAUCUGUUUCAGCUUGCCAUCAAUCUCUUUUUCUUGAAUCAGGGCAGCACUGUUGGCCAUGUUCGAAGCUGAGACAUAAAGCAAUAGAGGUGAUUUUGGUUCCAGAGUGCACAAAUUGGUCAUAUUCCCCAUGUAAUCUUUUAGCUGUUGAAAAGUUUCACUCUGUUUCUCGAUCCAUUCAAACUUUUUGGAGCUUCUUAAGACCUUAAAGAACGCUAAGCUUUGCUCCACGGCUCGCGGAUGAACCUGUUAAGGGCAGCAACUCUUUAGGUCAACCUCUAGACAUCCUCCGAAGUUGGCUCCCUCAUGUCAAGAAGCGCUUGGGUUUUAUCCGGGUCAGCUUGGAUGCCCUUUGUGGUGACUAGACAUCCCAAUACCUUGCCUCGCUGAACUUCAGAUACACGCUUCUCAGGGUUGAGCUUCAGGUUCGCUGCUCUUAAGUUAGCAAAAGUCUCCGCGAGGUCAAGGAUAUGGUCUCUCCUCUUGUCAUGUUUUACAACUAUGUCAUCCUCUUAAGUUAGAAUGUUUCUGUGAAGCUAUUUUGAAAGGAUGAUUGUGAUAAUUCUUGAGAAGGUUUGGUCCGCGUUCUUCAACCCCUAUGGCAUCCUUACAAAGCAAAAUAUCCCAAAUGGAGUUACAAAUCCCGUUUUUCCCUCGUCUUCUUCUUUUAUUCUAAUUUGAUGGUAGCCUGAGAAUAGAUCCAACAAUGACAACAUUUCACUAUUGGCGGCAUCAUCUACUACCUUGUCCACCCUUUCCAAUGGGUAAUCAUCUUUCGGGCAAGCCUUGUUCAAGUCAGUGAAAUCUAUGCACAUCCUCCACCUUCCGUUCUUCUUUUUGACUGGAACAAUAUUGGCUAGCCAUUCUGGAUAAAUGAUGGGCUGUAUCAUGUUAGCUUCGAGGAGCCUUUCAACCUCAGCCUUCACCCCUUGGGCUUUCUCAUCGGACAUCUUCCUAAGCUUCUGCUUCUUUGGCUUCGCACCAAGCUUGAUAUCGAGGCUGUGUUUUAUUAUCUCCUUGUCAACCCCUUGGAGAUCACUCACGGACCAAGUGAAAACAUCUUUGUUCUUGUUCAAAAAGUCGAUUAACUCCUUCUCCUCUUCUGGCUCGAGGUUAGCCCCUAUGGUGAUGUGCCUGUCCAUGAUGUAGCCGUCCAAGAGGACUCUUUUGGUUUCACCAUCCGCACUUAUCUUUAUCUUCUCUUUGUCCCUCUUGGGCUCUACAUAUGGCUUCUUCUUUUCUUGCUCUUCAGCCUCGUUAGGAGUUGUGAGAUGGUGGACAUUCUUUUGUCCCGGGGUUACACCCUUUUCUAUGUUCCUUGCGGUUUGUUGAUCACCAGAAACCGUGAUGACUCCCUUCAAGGCUAGGAUUUUCAUGCACAAAAAUAGUUGCCGGAUGGCUGCAUCAAACUUGUUAAUAAACCCUCGCAUGAGGAUGGUGAAGUAAGGGUAGUACAUUUCAACCACGUCAAAUGUGAUGCACUCUGUACUUGCAUUGUCAAGGUUCCCAAAUGAAAUUGGAAGUGCUAUCUUUCCCAGAGCCUUGACCGGCCUUCCCCCGAAGCUAAGCAGUAGGACUUCUGCCAGCUCAAGAAGGUGUGGAUCAAUUUUCAUCUCUCUGAAUGUAUUGGCGAAAAUGAUAUCUGCAGAGCUACCAUUGUACACCAAGACCUUCCCUAUCUUCCAACCAGCAAUGAUAGCCUCGAUUACCAUCGCAUCUUUAUGCAAGGCUGUCUUGAGCUUGAAGUCUUCUUCUGUGAAAGAAUUGGCAUGUGUGCCCACUCUAGCUUUGCUGAGGUGCCAUUAGGUAUGAUUGUAUUCACUUGUCUGAGAUAAUCUCUUUUUUGUAUUUUGUUUUCAAACUCGAUCGAAGAACCACCAGCAAUUAGCAUUAUCAUGCCAUAAGUUGGUAUAUCAUUGGAGCUACCCUCGCGAGGCCUGGACUACAAGGAUCCCCCUGAGAUUGGCAUUAUCAUGCCGUAGGUAGGUAAGGCUUUGGGAUUGUUGUUUGGUGGGUUGGGCUCAGCUUUUGGAAUUUUGUUGGGCAGAUUUGGCGGUGGAAGUGGUAUUUCAUGGCAAGGCUGUGAGGGUGUGAAGUUUGCAUUCUGCGAGGUUGGUUGAAUCUGAGGCUGGAACUGUGGUGAGUGUUGCCACGUCAUGGUGGGCUAGAAAGUUGCGAGGUUGGUUGCGUUUGCGUAGUAUGGUGGAUGUGGCCAGAAAGUUGAGUCUUCGGUGCUUGGGCUGCUGCUUGGACUGCAGCUUGAGCUGCUUUCUUUUCUACUGCUAAUCUUUUGUUGGUUUCUUUGACUAUCGGGCAGAAAUUCGUUGCAUGGUCAAGUUGUUUGCCAUGGAACGUGCAAUAGAAUGGUCUGUGCUGUCUAGUUUGGUUGUUUGGCCUCAGAGGGCCAUUGCCUCAGCCUCUUCCUCUUCUAGCAUGGUCGCCUCUUUGGGCAUUCUCGAAGCUAGGUUGAUGUUGGUGAUAUUGGUUUUGGUUCUGGUAGUGGUUUUGGUUUUGGUUGUGGUUUUGGUUUUGGUGCGAGGGUUGAUUGCCUUCAAUCGCGAGUACUUGCUAGGUUGGGUGUGGGUGGUGAUGUUGUUGGUGGUUGUAGGGCGAGGUUUGCCAGUUUCUACCCUUCUCAGAAUGCCUUUGGUGGUUUCUUUCUGCCACCCUUCUUCUGUGGUCCUCAUCUAACUUGUCGUAUUUUUCUAGCUCUGCAAACAGGGCUUCCAUCAUUUUUGGCUUUUUUAUUGUUAGCUUCAAGGUUGUUGGACCUAGAUUGAGUCCCAAAAUGCAGGCUGAUAUAGUGACACUAUCGUCCACAUCUGGUGUUUGCGAUCUGAACUGGACAAAUCUCUUUACAUAACUUGCUAGGGGCUCCUUGUCCCUUUGCGCGCAGUUGAAAAAAUCCGCUUCGUCAGACAUGGCUUGAUGAAAUCCUUGGAAGUUUUGAGUUCACUUGGUUUUUAGGUCAAUCCAACUGUAUACUGAUUGUGGUAGGUGCAAAGAAUACCAAUUCAGCAUUGCGCCUUCACACGCGAUGAUGAAUGAUUUUGCCAAUAUGACAUCGUCUCCCCUAGCCAAGGCUAUGGCCACUUCAUAGCUCAUGAGGAACUGGCGGGGGUCUGUUUGGCUAUUGAACUUGGGUAAUGUGACUGCCUUGUAGGUUGCUAGCCAUGGCGCUGCUUGUAGGCAAACAGACAGCGUAGAGUUCUUGUCAAUAGUUGCGGACACAUUCGUUGUUGCUGGAGAGUUGUGCCCAUCGAGGCUAGGGUUUGGAUAUAUCAGGGGUGUAUUGUUGAUGUUACAAGUUUGAGGUGGUGGCUUCUGUGACUGCUGCAGUGUGUUGCGCAGGUACUCUAGCUCAUUUAGUUCUUGUUGCAACUCUGCCAGCUGCCUUUUAGCCUCGUUGAGUCUUGCGAGCUUGUUGGCCGCCAGCCUUUGAGCUUGUAGUUCUUGAGUAAAUCUCUCUUUUUCUUUCUUUAGUGCCUCUAGUUGUUUCAGUGCCAAGGCUAGCUCCUCUUCAGUUUCACUAAGCGAUUCAUCUUGCGUGCUUGUUUGCUGUGAGGUUUGGUUUCAGGUCCUCGGUUCAACUCCCUUUCUACGACCUUGUUCUUUGGUUGUCUUUGACUCUUUUGAGUUUUUCUGCUCUCUCAGUGUUGGUUGGUUCGACUGGGACAAGCUGCCUUUCUUGUCCAGCCUCAUCUUCAGUAGUUCUCUUCUUCUUGUGGUGUGGCAUCGUGGGUUACUUAGUCGCUCAGAACAUGGUGGAUGCCAAUGUUGGGUCGCUAACCUCGGUAAGGUUCAGGCACAAUGGGGUAUGAGGAAUGCUUAUACUUUCAUUCCAUAAAAAAGUGAACGUAAAAUUUUCAACGGGGUAGGACUCCCCUUUUAUAGUGACUCAGAGGGCACUUUUCAUUCCACAUUUACCCCUACCCAACCACUACAUUCCUAGAAUAUGCUUUACACGAAAGUCUUUUGGAGAUCACGCUUCUCACGCCUCCUGACAGCUCCGAGAAUCAUGCUCUCACAUAGUUCUAUGAAUUCCGCCUUGACUGCUUCAACGCUUCCAUGCUUCUUGACCUCGUGUCUGAAGUCAUGACCUCGUGUCCAAAGCUAGCCUAGCUUUGGGGGCCUGGAUCAUCUUAGCUUCGCAUCCAGGAAAUGCACAACCCUGCGCUUUGCUCCCUGGUCCAAAACUACAAUCCAGCACAAGGUAGCAGACAACUCGGUACUCGUGGUUAGCUUCGAGUCCUCGAGGUCAGACUUAGUCAAAAAGAUCGGCGAAUGUCUCUUGGCUUUAGGACAAGGUUGCUUCUUAGCAUUAUGUUUUCCAUCCGAGGUUAAGGGGUCUUACCCGAGGUUAAAUAUCCCAAUGGGUUGAUGACCUCGAGGGUGACCAUCUUUUUGGGCGAUCCCCAACAGACUGCUGGUUUUUCACAUUAGUUUCUUCAUUGGUGCCUGGGUCUUUCUGCAUGGUUAGUAGUGGGUUGGUUCCGAGAUGGGUUGCCCCAUCUAAUGGUAACUGCACUGACAUUCUCUGGUUGCCUCAGGAUUUUCCUAGGUUCUGGAAUAGGAACAUCAGCAGCAAUUUGAGCUAAUUGGGUUUCAAUCAAUUUAUUAAAGCUCACUUGAUUGUUAAAGGCUGAGGAAAGACUUUCUAUUUUAGCAUUGAUACUUUCCAAUGUUUUAUCAUUGGCAGCAAGCUUUUUAGAAAGAGAUUCAUUGAUUUCCGCUUGGCCAAGGACAAGAUCUUUUAGGGAAGGUUGGUUUGAAUUGUAAUUUGAAUUAUAAUUACCAUUAUUACCUCCCUGGUAUGGUGGACGCGACUAUCGGGGAUAAAUCCCCAGUACCCGCAAGGAAGGAAGAAGACGGACUCCUACUAGGAUUCCCCUGUAAUCCUACUAGGACUCAUACAUUGUAAUCCUACUAGGACUCCUCGUAACUGACUAGUAGUCCCGCCCUCUGAAGUAUAUAAAGGAGGUAAGGGUCCCUAAAUCGGUAAGCCAAGACCUCAUAGAACAACAAUGGAGGACCAAAUCCUCAAUACCAAACAACACCCAAGCGUAGGGCGCAAUAUACAACAUCCCAAAUAGGACGUAGGGUAUUACACUACUUUGGCGGUUCAAAACUGUAUAAAUCUGUGUCUUGUGUCCUCGCUCUUAUCUUCAAGUUCCAGGUCUGACGAUCCCCCACCAACCAAUCUACUAUCUCGGGAUACCCCUCGGUAGGUUGCCGGGCAUAAAACACCAACAUCGGGGAACUAGUCCCUAUAAUCCUACUACUUCAACUACUCGUCUCGGCUGGAAAACUAGUUGAGGGUGGGCCUCAUACUGUAGACAACUAGUCGAAAUCAACUACAUCUAAUCUGCUUCAUCAACAAUCGUUGCGGCUUCAUCGACAAUCGUCCAUGAAUCAAACUAAGUCACUUUUUUUAAUAAUUAUUUUUUCUUUCACUUGUUUUCAGCAUUGUUGGCUAAUGCGCUAACUACUUAUUUGUGUACGUCUAUCAAUGAGAAUUACCCUCUAGAGUUACACUUUGCCAAUUAUUCCGGGGGCAUGUUAAUCAACAGCCAUAUGCUUGGUACACAAAAUUACCGAGGCUAUAACCAUGGAUUUUGUGCACUGAGUUUCGGAAGCUCCGCCAAUAGGCUUGGUAAAUCGAAUUUCGGAGGCUAUAGCCACAGGUUUGGUGCACUGAGUGCUGGAGGCUCGAAGCGGCUACACUCUAAGGAGGCACAAAUCCUAUGCGCGGCAACACACGCUCUACUCGUCAAAAGGCAGAAAAGUCUUAAUGACUACUUUACGCGCAAUCGCGCUCUGUUUUUGUCAUAAUGUCGACUACUUAUUUUUGUUGUCUCCUAUUAGUGGUCACUAAUCUACUCGAGCAGAACACGUCUGAAUCCAUGAAAGCCUAGGAUCUUCUGUCAUACCUAAAUACUAGGACGCAUACAUGAGAGAAAGAUCUCAGACGUGUAGCAGUAGUGCCAGUACCCAUACAUGAGACAAAGAUGUCACACGCAAUGGCAAUAGCUAAACUAGGACUGAGAGCCCAAACAUAAUAGGCUAACUACUUAGGAGAAAUACAAGAGUAUGACAUACAAUAUUUACAUUCAUUACUGAAUAAAUUUCGGUAGUAUCUUCAAAUUUCUAAAAAUAUGCUACAUAAUGUAUGGAUCUCUUUUUGCAUGUCAAACUUUAGCGAUUACUUUCCAGGAUGCUCAGCGUACCUCCAAUGGCUCCGCUACUCCCAGGCUCGAGGGCUAAGCACUAAUUACUACUCGAAAUAUCUCCAGUAGCUUCGCUAGUUCUCAAGCUCGGGGGCUAAGCGCCAAAUAACUACUCAACGUGGCUUCUACGGCUCACCUGGCGCAUAAGCUCGGGGCUAGAUGACGCAAUACAACUCGAAUGAUGACUUGCGUGAAGACUAAAGACCCUUGGAUUGAUUAUUUAAUCAUUCCAAGGCUCGAGGGCUGAUAAACUAUAGCCAACAGUUGAUUUUUUCAAGACGAAGAAAGAAGAUUCAAGAUUUUAGUGACCUGAGCCUAAUUCUUCGAUUCAACAUAAGGCUCAGGACCUACUCCAUAUGGAGUGCGAUUUUCACCGCCCUCCAUAUCACAUUCCAAAGAUAAGGAUUACAAAAUCAAGAUGAUCAAGGGCAUAAGCUCAUGGCAGUUUUGAAGAACUUUGAAGAUUCAGCUAGAUAAAUUACUUGAGAAGCACUAAACUACUUGGUGAGGAUCCGAAAAAUACUCAAAGACUGCUGCAUUAGACUAUGAAGCGCUCGAGUGCUUGUCGGGAAUAGAUCCCCAGUACCAGCAAGGAAGGAAGAAGACGGACUCCUAUUAGAAUUCCCCUAUAAUCCUAAUAGGACUCAUACCUUGCAAUCCUACUAGUACUUCUCCUUGUAACCAACUAGUAGUCAUGCUCCCGGAGUAUAUAAAGGAGGGCAGGGGUCCCUAAAUGGAAAGGCCUCAUAGAACCACAAUAGAGGACCAAAUCCUCAAUACCAAACAACAUCCAAGCGCAUUGUGUAAUAUACAACACCCCAAAGAGGACGGAGGGUAUUAUGCUACUCUGGUGGCCUGAACCUGUAUAAAUCCGUGUCUUGUGUCCUCGCUUUUACCUUCAAGUUCCAGGUCUGAUUAUCCCCCACCAACCAAUCUACUACCUUGGGAUACCCCUCGGUAGGUUGCCGGCACCGACAUCUGAUUCCAUCCUUGACCUCCUUGAGGACGGUACCCGUUGUUGUUGUUGUUCAUGUAGGCGACAACUUCUCGGGUCUCGGGGCAGUCGUUUCCCGAUUGUCCUCCAUUUCCGCAAACCUCGCACGUGAGGUGCGAGUCCUAGGCUUGAACGGGUUUGAGCAUGAGUUCUUGAGGCUUCUCUCGUUUGUCCAUGCACUUGAGUAGGAGAUCAAGCUUAGCGGCUAGCAUGUCCGUCUCCUUGAUGAUGUGCCUGCCCCCCAUACGAGGUUGGAGUCAUUCUUUGCUCCACUCCUAUUUGAAGGCUAUCUUCUCGACCGGGGCCGUAGCCUUGGAAAUGGUGAGGUCAAGGAAGGCUCCUCCAGCAGCAACGUCAACAUGGGCUCAUGGUGACGUGCUUAGCCCAUUGUAGAAGCUUUGGAGGAAGAGCCCGUCGUCCAUCCUGUGGUGUGGGCACGAAAGGAUGCAUUGUUGCAGCCUAUCCGACACAUCUGGGAUCAUCUCCAUGCUUGACCGCUAAAGCUAGAAAUCCUUCCACGAAGGGCAUUGGUUUUGCCCAACGGAAAGAAUUUAGCGAGGAACACCGUUGAGCAUUUAGCCCAUGUGUUGACAGCACCCUUAUCCUUGUAGAACCACUAUUUCACCCUCCCGAGGAGGAAGAACGGGAACAUGUAGAGUUUGAUGGCAUCUUGAGUGACUUCCCUGAUUGUGACGGUGUCACAUAAGCCAAGGAAGUGUUAGAGAUGAGUAUUUGCAUCCUCGUUCAGCUUGCCACAAGAGGGGCUAGCCUGCACCAUGUUGAUGAGGUUCGUCUUCAGCUCGAAGUUCACAUCCCCAAGUCGACACCUAGAGGAUGGAGAACUCGCGAAGAAUCUUCUCAGCCAUAACCUUAGGAGCGGAAGGUGCUGGGAUGACUGGUUUAGUUGCCAAAAGAAUGAUCUGAGGAGGGAUGGUGUGAGAUCGGACCCUUCUCACAAGAUGUUCUAGAGACUAAUUAACGAGCUCCAGUAACCGUACGUUGGAGCUCCACGUUGAGACAAUAACGAGCUCCCGAGACACCACUUAAGAGGCAAUAACGACCUGGUAUUUCUUUAACAAACUGAUCGCCCCUCACCAGGCCAAGCUCGCCGGAUACGAGAGGGAACUCAUCGGCCUCGUAAUCGCAGUCCGGCACUGGAGGCUGUAUUUGUGGGGGCACCACUUCGUCGUCCCUACAGACCACUGCCCUACGUUUCCUGUUGGAUCACCGGCUUGCCACUAUUCCUCAACACCAGUGGGCCAGCAAGCUGCUUGGGUUCCAUUUCUUGGUACAAGCCAAGGUGCUCCAACACGGGCGCUGAUGCAUUGUCCAGACGGGAUGAGCUGCAUGAUGAACUCCUCGCCCUCUCAUUUCCCCACUUUGACCUCUUCAACGAAUUGCUCCAGGAGAUUGAGCAAUCAAUGGACCUAUCCACGCUCCAUGCGGCCAUAUUAGUAGGUGACAAGCCAGCAUGCUGGUCCGUGGUGGAUGAACUAAUCAUCUUCGAUAGAGGGGUGUAUGUGGCACCCACGUCUGCAUCCUUGCCUGUUGUGUUGCAGCUCUCACAUGGGGUUGGUUAAGGGGGAGUUCAGAAGACAUUGCAUCGCCUCCGCCCAGACUACCAUAUGGUCAAUGACCGCUGGGCUGUCCAAGAAUUUGUGCGCGCCUGUGUCGUCUGCCAGAGGACCAAGGUCCAACACCUUCAGCACGCUGGGUUGCUACAGCCGCUUGAGGUGCUGUCAGCAAUCUGGACGGACAUAUAGCCAUGGAUUUCGUGGAUGGACUGCCAAAGGAUCAGGGAAAAUCGGUGCUCCUCACCGUGGUCGAUAGAUUUUCCAAAUAGGCGCAUUUUAUUCCACUCGCUCAUCCGUACAUGGCCACAUCUGUUACCAAAGUCUUCAUCGCUUAGAUCAUGCAUCUGCACGGCAUACCGGUAUCCAUUGUUAGCAACCGGGAUCCUGUGUUCACCAGUGGGUUUUGGAAGGAGCUAUUCCAUCUGUCGGGCGUCCGGUUGUAGCUAUCCUCCGUGUUCCACCCAUAGUCGGAUAGCCAUUCAGAGGCAACCAAUUGCAUCAUCGCCAUGUACCUCCGUUGCCUGAUGGGAGAUCGGCCGCGCCACUGGCUCCAGUUGCUUCCUUGGGCCGAAUUUUAUUGCAACACGGUGUUCCAGGCAUCGCUCCUCAUCGCCGUUCCGGAUUGUGUAUGGCAGGGACCCACUGUCUGUUCAUUCCUAUGAACCAGGCUCAGCCCGCCUGCCUGCCGUCUCCGAGACCUUGUUCGAGCGUGGUGAGUUUCUGGCUGAGGUGAAGAAUUGGCUUGAGCAGGCGCAACAGCAGUACAAGACCUUCUAGUAUAUUUGGAACUAUAUUUGGUAGUUGCAGAUAUGCGUAUUGUAGACUACUAUAUGUAUUGGGGAGCCUUAACAUCAAGUCUCCGUAAUCUAUAUACCGGCCGAGACCUCGAUGCAAUAUAAUACAUCAAUUAUAUACAAUUUAUCCCUCCUACAUGUAUCACGAGUUUAGCAUUUUUUGAUCUUAAACCACAACUUCCACUGUCCUCGCGCGCCCUUGAGGAGAUCGAUCUCUACCAGGGGCAGCCCCUUUUUCAGUGGCAAAUUCUUUCAUCCUUCUGCCUUGCAACGUCUCAAGCAACAACAGAUCGGAAGCGGCGACGUCGAGGUUGUCGCUGUCGCAGGCUCCGCAGUUGGGCCGUGCGUCACUCCGCCCGUCGGACUCCGCGAUGCCGGUUGCCAUCCUCAGGCUCUUGCGUUGGCGUCAGGCUCUGCUGUGGGAUCCAUUGGAGCGGCCCGACCGUCUUGAGUGGCCUGCUGCUAUCUUCUCCGUUCUCUCUCUGUGCCAACGCUCGGUCAACAUGAGGAAAGGAAUAUAAGGUGCUAAGGGCUAGGAGCACCCGCAUCUUUACCCGAGAUGUGGUGCUGUUUUUUUAGUUUUUUCGAUCCGAGAUCGGGUUUGCGUUGCCCACCGCAAAUUGACUCUGCGCACCUCUUCUUGGACAUCAUCAUCAGCCUUCUUCUUCGACACCCGUGUGCCCCGGGAUGGCAUGCAAUGCGCGUAGGGACACCUCCAGCAUGGCCGUUAGGCCCCUCCACCACAUGGUCCCCAUGCAGGUCGUCCCGGCAUCGCCGCCACCACUCCGACCUACGCGGCAUUGUCAUCCGUCAUCUCGUAUGUGCGCUCUCGGUCUGAUUAGCCGAUCAGUGCACGGUCGCGGCACGUGCGUAUCCUGAGUACGCGUCCAUCUCCACCGACACGAGGGUUGCAGCUACGUCACCUCUUCAGGCAAUAGCGCCGCCCUCCUUGGUCCUCCCCGUCAUUGCAUCUUCAUCGUUGUCGAUUACGUGCUCGACCAUGUCCAUGUCAUCUUCCUCGACAAUGUCUGCGACCUCGUCCACGACUAUGUCAUUGUGUGCAUCGGACGCAUGGUCUUCAUCAAGCUAUUUAAAUUCUUUGCCGUUUCCUUCGAGCUCCGCUGCCAAACCAUCCCCUCAAUGUGUCACCGUCUUCGUCUUCGAGGUCUUCCCUUAUGUGCCACCAUCCUCCUGGCACUUCCUCGUGCGCCCGCGGCUUCACGUGCGGCUUCCUCAUCUUCAGCAACCUCGAUAGCUACAUCGACCACGACUAUCCUACGCACAGCAUCCUCAACCAUAGCUAUUGACACUCAUCUCGGCUACAAAAGGGGGGUCCUUUAGUCCUGGGUCAUUCACCCGGGACUAAAGACCCUGUUAGUCCCGGUUGGUAAAACCAACCGGGACUAAAGGGGGCGCCACGUUCAGGCGCAUGCACGUACCCCCUUAAGACAUUUUUUUAAUUCUUUUCCAUAUUAAUGCUAAUUGUGGCUUCACAUAUAUAUACGUAUACAUACUUAGUGUACACUACUUACAUGUAUACGCUCGUAUUGUAUGCAUGUCGUACAUAUAUUUCAUGAUAAUACUCUCUCUCUCUAUAUAUAUACACACAUCAAACUUAUACAAUUACUAUAUAUAUAAUAAUUUGUCAUCUUCAUUCUUAGAAUCCUCCCAUCGUAGUGUUGCUCGGUUUGGCUAUUGAAUGUCCGUCAUAAUAAAAUUCUCCCGCGGGAUUUAUCAUCUUGUCCACCAAAAAUUCUAUGAGACCUUCUUGGAUUGCCAAAAUCCUCUCCUUCUCCAAGAGUUUUUCUUGAAUUUGCAUCAUUUGUAAUUUGAGAAUAUGUGAAUGUUACACGAACAAUUAAAUAUAAGGAGCUAGAAAAUAAAUAAUUAUUAAUAGUUUUAUUUUACGUACAUGUAUAUAUUCCGACGAUAUCACCUUUUCAUGCACAAAAUUAUUCAUGUGCUCACAGACGCAGUAUCCACAUAAAUUGUUGCCUUGCUCCUAUCUCAAGCACUUUAAUGGGAAAAAACAAGUUAUGAAAUAUUCGUAUUAUAGAAUGUACAAAAUGUGCAAAUUUCAUACGUACCGGGAACGUAGUAUUGAAUGUAAGUUUUUCUUUGAAUUCACCAUGGUGAGUCAUACGAAAUCAUUUCCAUGCGCUGUGGAUUAAAAUAAUGAAUGAUACAGUGUUAGGUGAAAAUUUUUAGGAAACAAACUUUUGCAUAGAGAUAAAGGUCCAGAAUUAUUACAAGUUUAGCAUGUCCUGAAUGUCUUUGUACUCCGCCGGUGGUUUACUUAAUGAAUUGAACAAUAAUGUGGCUCUUAUCAAUCAUAAUUACUAGGAGAAUCCAGUGAAAUCUGCGUACAUAAUUGUUCAUAUUAGAACUCACUAACAUUAAUUAGGAAAGGAAAACGAAAACGAAAAUAGACGCUACCUACACUUAAAGUUGUAUGGCAGUAGUAUGUAUUCCUUGUAUUUUUGUUUCUCCAAGAAAUUGUAUAUUGCGUCCAAUGUAGGCUUUGGCUGAUCCUGUAUCCGAACUUCAUUAACGAGAAAUGGAUCCAUGAAGCCAACGUUGAAGUACGAUUCUCUACGGCACCUCUAAAUUAGCAUCCUACAUAAAAUGAAAGACAAAGUUAGUAGAGCGACCCAUACACAUAAAAUAAUCAUCUGAGCUAAAAUUUACAUCUUGAUAAACAGACACUUACAGAACCCAAGUGUUGAUGAGAGAGACGUCAAGGGCAUCCUAAUGGUACACUUCAUAUAUCCUUGAAUUGCAUCCACAAGAGUUUCUCACUUUCGCCGAAAAAAUCAAUCGGUUUAACACGGAGAGCGAACAUGAGCCUUUCCUUGGCCGACUGCUCCAUGUACCAUUGAUGGAAUUCGUACAUCUUCGCUGAGAGCUUUCGUACCAAUUCAGACCUUACUGGAGGCUUGCCUAUCUCAAAGGGUCAUUUAGGUACAAUCUUUUCUGGAGCUGGCAGUUCAACUUGCCCUAGAACUUUAGCAAGCGACAUACCUGUAUCUUCCAUAAAUGUAAUGACUUGAAUUUGUUAUUCUAAGGGCAUUGCUGCUAUAGUUUGAGCGUCUUUAUCUGCUUGCUCCUCAAGUUGGGGGACAGUACGACUGGAAGACGACUCUCCUCGCUUUUUCUUCUGAUCAGACUUAACAACAAAUGCUCGUAGUUCGAUAGUAAAAUCUUCUUUACUUCUUUUUUCAUGCCAAUAAAUUUUUUUAAUUUCACUGGAUCUACUGGUUUUGGCUCCAUCUCCUUUUCUUUUCUUUAUUCAGUGCAUGCUUUGAAGAUCUCCCUCACCGUUGCUUGCGAUGCCUCCCGCAAUUCCUCAAUAGUCAUAUCGGCAGGUAGCUUCUGAAUAGGUUCAGACUUCUUUCGCCUUUGGCUGCCUUGGCUUGGAAGACGGUGGUCGCGACUUCUUGACAGGUGCUGCAGGUUCCUUGCUCACACCAGAGUUUAGUCCCGACGACGGUGACCGGGGAGGGGUGUUUUGGUCAUCGUUGCAGCAUCACCAGGAUUCGAUGGAGAUGGAGGCGGUGAUCGAGCAGGAUGCGACGGUCCCGGUGAUGACGACAGUCUUGGAGGUCGAUGUGCUGGAGAUGAUGGUCUUGAGUUAUGAGGAUCUAUGGGAAGCAAUGAUGCCUCUUUGCCAGGGAUGAUGAUGUAGCAUUUGCGCCAUAGAAUGAUCCUGUGAAGUGCAUCUCAUAGUGUCCUUUCCCUGACAUCUCCCGAGAGGUCGAUCUCUAGGCUUUCAUAUUGACUAUCACAAAUCUACUCUAGGCCAACGCUGGAGUAGCCAUGUGGAAUCUCCAUACCAUGGCUUGUCUGCCCUGGCAGGAUUGGUAAAGCACUUCCGUAUGCCACCUGUACAUAUAGGAGAAAUAAAGAAGUUAUUAAACUCCCGAGGCGUCGAUCAAGUGAGAAGAUUGCAUAAAUUAUAUAUAUAUAUAUAUAUAUAUAUAUAUAUAUAUAUAUAUAUAUAUAUAUAUAUAUAUAUAUCACUACUAGGAUCCAGCCCUAUCGUGACGCCUAUAUUGGGUUGCAAUAUGGCUAUUUUGGUUGCAAUAAGGAUCAAUUACAUCUAUGUAUGGUCGUUGACAGGUGGUUGCAUUUGGAACGGUGCAAUAGAUUUUUUCAUCCUUUUCGAGUGGUGUUGCAAUAUGCUGGUUUUGCAAUACACAUAAAAAAACUAAUGCAACUGCGAUUUAGUUGCAAGCACGGAUAUUGUGACCAACAGAAUGGUUGCAUGAAUUAUUGUUGCAAUGAAAUACAUGGCUGCAAUAUGACAGUAUUGCUAUGAACAAAUUUAUCGCAAAAUAGGUUUAUUGUCACCCCGUAGUUACAUGGGAAUAUGGCCAUAUUGCCAUGCAAUAUGCUCCAUUGCAUCAAAUAAAUAUUGCAACGUAACAAAUUUGGUGGCUAGAGUCACAAUUGCAACAUUCACUUGCUGGUAGCAAUAAAAAGUAAUGCAACAAAUCAUUGUUAGUGGUAAUAGAUGGAAAAUGCAACGAAUCAUGGUUGGUGGUAAUAGAUGAAAAAUGCAACGAAUCAUUGUUGGUGGUAGACACGUCCUAUAGCAACACAUAAGGUUUGUGGCAAUAAUGUAUAUUGCAACAAUAAACUCUGGUUGCGUAGUGGUUUGUUGCAACAAGGGCAUUUUGGCUAGCAUCUUUUUAAUUUCGUUUUGUAGCUAGAAUUUUAAUUAUUUUUACAAAAUAAUUGUGCCAUGAGCAUAUAUUUCAUCAUCACAUAUAAGAACUCAAACCUUUAACUUGAAAUAUAUGUCUCAAGCAAAGUAAUAACACAAUAACCAUAGUGCUAAAAUAAACAUGACCACAACAGAAUAAAAACAUCAUCUCUGACUACAAGUUUGCAACUAUGUUUGGCAUAAUAAAAUAAAACUAAAUAUGAGUUCUCUUAUUGAUAUAUUCAUGCCCCCAUCGGCACCAGCAGUCACCAAUAAACGAAUUACAUUCUUCUAGCUGUCCAUCACCAGCAUAUAGACAUAAAGCUUUCUUUAAAUAUUUUGGUUGUCCAUGCUUUCCUACAAUUCAUAAAAACACAUAGAAUUUAUUAAUUUAAUAUAGGAAUCUUGGUGAUUAAGUGCAUGGAAUAACUAAACACAUGCAAACUAAAUGAUCAUAGUGACAUAGUAAAGAUAUAAAGUAAAUUAUACCAUCCAGCUUCAAGCCUGACACUUGCUAAGUUAGUUUACAACCUGACACUUCUACUCCGUUUGCAAUCAUUCAGCUUCAAGCCUUCAACCCUAAUGCUCGAAAAGGAUGGCAUGACCUACAACAAACAGAAAUGAUAAGAACAUGAACUCUCAGGAAAAAGGUUUGAUUGACUACUAAAAAUAUUCUGAUACAAAUACCAUGAAUCUGAAGUGAGGGAAGGGAAGAGGACAAGGCAGAUGAGCAAUCAUUCUGCCAAGGAGUGUAGAAAAUUAGAAAUAAUUGAAAUUGGACCUGAUUUCACAAGAACAGGAUAUAGACUAUCCGAUCAGGAAUUUAGGAAUGAACCGAUGAAGCAUACAUGUUUGAACAAUACUCUCCAUCAGCUUUGAGAAGGAUAACUGCAUACUCUCCACAACAAAGAGCUUCCAAUCAUCCUUGGAAACAAAAAAAUGUGUGGUUUUGCAAUACAGCCAGUCAGCCAUGAUGUCACAGUGAAUGAAACGGAAGAAGCCAUUUUAAUUUAGAAAGGGAAAUCAUCCCUACCUUCUUUGGAGGCUAUUUUGUGGGUGUCACGGCAUUAAGCAUGAGAAGAAAGAAGAAUAAAUUUACUACUGAAUAGAUGGAAAAAAAUAUGAGUGCUUACUUGCUGCAGGUAAUUUAGCUGUGAGUGAAGGAUACAAAUAAGCCAUCUCAAUUGCAUACAUUGAUGGCCUUAUUAUUGGUUGUUACUGAUUACAAGAGUUCAGACAACUAACAUUGAAUUGCAUCUCAGAAAAAAUGAAAACCUAAGAGAAAUUUCUAAUUAGAAGGAAACUGGAAAUAAAUUUUGUAGGGCAACAAAAAGCUAGGAAAUGUUAAAUGAAUGCAAGAGAAUGGAGGGAGAGAGACUUACAUCAGACAUCAAUCAUCAAUGAUCUGAAUGCCAAGAGUUGCCAUAACAGAAGAAAAUAAAACGUAUUCCCUAAACAAAACAUUUUAAUAAAUGUUUUAGUAGAGUGAAAUUAAAUAAUUAGACUGAGGACUUCAAUCAAAGUUUUUAAUUUAGCAUUGGAUUAAUACCCAGAGAUGGCUUAGAAGCAAGGACCAUGAUUUCGAUUAUUCUACUACAUAAGUCAUAAGCUCUGUCAUAUUUUGCCCCUUCCCUUUAUAUGUACUUUCUAGAAGAUAAUUCUCAGUGGAGGAGCUGGAGAUGAAUGGGGAAGAAAAGCAGCUCUCAGAGAUAAUUCAUAGACUUGGUCUCUCCACCAGACUGCAUUAUAAAAAUUAAGAUAUUUGACCUAUCAAUUUAGCUCUUGCGAAGAAUCAGAUUGAAAAGGGGUUCAUAGAGCUGAAUCACCUCUCAAUGGAAAUGAAAGAGAAUAGCGAGAUAAUUGCCCUCCAACAGGUGCUAGUCGUAACGAAAUGUCCUAAAACAGGUGCUAAUUAUUCACUACACCAACACAGGUAUUUAAAGCACGGCAAGCACCCAUUCACCAACACAGGUAUUUAAACCACGGCAAGCACAGAUUCAUGAACUGGCUUCUCCUGUCACAACUGACAAAGUAACCAUUGGAAACAAAUCAAAGAAAUUUAGUUCAGCAUAAUUAUUCAGGAAUCCAACUGUUUCAUAACAUCGAGAGUCAGUAUUGGAUGCGUUCAGACAGCAAAUCAAUAACAAAUUGGUUGCUGGGGCUUCAUUUCAGGAAAAGUUUCACAUUCAGUGAUUCAGGACAAGUCGACCACAGAAAAAUUGUACAACUCCUGAUGGAACAUCUGGAUCACAGUAUAGUGGUUUCUAAAAGGUAUAUGCUAGCACGUAUCCCACCAACUUGUUGGGACACUAAAGAGCAAUAAGAUUAGGUUCUUCUCAAAGGAAAAAAAACUGCAGAGCUUUUACUGUAAUGCACAAAUGCGCGGUAAAAAAACUGUAUCUAGGCUAAGGCAUGGAACCUGAUUGAGAAAACUUUAAUGACCAGAUGAAGUUCUUUUUUCGUAUGCAGUAACUCUACCAGCAUGUAAUCAAGGGAAUUGAUCCACAAAAUAAAUGCACCAGAUUAGCUAUACCACACAUCAAUUCAAGUAUGGAACCCUAAAUUUCAGUAAAGCAUCAAAAACUGAAGCACAACAGAGCAAUGGUAGAUACUGAAAACUGGGAAGAACAAGGACUGGGGGUUGAUUAGUGAACUAAUCUGAGUCCAAAUACAAAAAUUGAUGCAAGGGAUCGACAGCCAUGCCGUGCAGCGCAGCAGCAGCUCCCAUGGACGAAACCCUAGAUCAGGAAUCAAUUCAAUCAGAGGGAAAUCAGAGAAAGGAAGGAGAAGAGAGAUUUGAUGCGUGAAAGAGUAGUAGGAGGUACUUGACCUGGAGCUAACCACCACACCAUGCUCGACUCGAGCGGCCAAGCGAUGCCGAGCUCCCAGACUAUGGCGGCACAAGCUGCUGCCUCCUCCUCCCUGCUCGACCCGAUGUGUCGGGCUUCGGCCGCGAUGGUGGGCACGGGGACCGGGCGCACACCGUGCUACCAUAGAAGUUCUUCAUGGAUGGAUCUAGCGUUGUGCGUGCUGCAGGACUGCAGCCGCUGCGCGCUGCCCCCAUCUCGGGGAGAGGAGAGAUGGGAGAGGGAGGGAGAGAGAGAGAGAGGAAUGAGACGAGGGUCAGGGGAACAAAAAGGAUAAGAUCGUGGAGGAGGGGGGGGGAGGGGUCAAGUGCAAAAACACCGACGGGCGCCUACUUGCAAAGUUACCACGACCACGAUUUCUAAAUUUUCUGUGGUUGGUGUUGAAAUAUUUUGGAACACAGGGGGUGUCUCAGAAUAAAAAUGAACGUAUCUACUAUGGUCGGAGGGCCUCCCUUGACCCGACCCGAUUAGCGAAAAAUUUAAGAGUUUUUCUGAACUGUUAGGUAUUUUCCUCUAUUGUUCAAUAUUAUAAACUGAUCUCUUUUCUUGAAAGAUUCUUUCAAUAUUAUAAGCCGAUCUCUUUUCUUGACAGAUUAUUUUUUUAAAUAACUUUUCUUGAAAUAUCACAGAGUAGUUUCAAAACACAAAAUUGGACAGAUACGAUCAUCAUAUACAUAUAUAUACUUAGGCAAUAAAACACCAUGCCAUGUAUAUGCAUAUAUUAUGAGUCGAACUUUUCAUCUCAGGUUGUGGUCGUCAUAUGAUGAUCAAUCUUCAUUAAUGUGACACUAUUGGCUCACUCAAGAGCACGUACUCAAAACUUUUAUCUCACAUCAUAGUCGUUGUAUGAUGAUCGAUCUCCAUUCAUGUGUUGACAUUAUUGGUCUUCUCGCCUCUUCCAUGAGAAUGAGGCAUAGUUUGGGCACACAAGUUUAGACAAACAUGAUCACCAUGUAUGUGUAUAUAUGUACGAACUUUUAUCUCACAUUGUAGCAGUCGUAUGAUAAUAGAUCUUCAUUCAUGCCGAUUCAUGCUGAUAGUAUUGGUCCUCUAUCGCUUCCUCAAGAACACUGUGUAUAGUUUGUACACACAUGGUUCGAUUAAACUAAUGAGCUCAUACACAUAGUGAGGUAACAUUAAAGAACAUAUAGAAAUUAAUCUAUAUUACUUGGGUAAAAUAGAAAAAAAUGGUUGUUUUGCUCAAAAAUGAAUUGAAACAGAAGCAAAAAAAAA